UUUUUUUUUUUCGGUUGUGUAUUCAAAUAUGAAACCAACUGGGGAUGCACUAACAAACUAUAUGAUAUAAGCAAUUGUUUUAUCUGGUUAAACACUAAUAAUUAGCCGUUUAUCAUUUUUUUUAUUAAAUGCGACUUUUAAUAAUUAAUGUUUGUGGUCUACUUUAUGUACAUUCACAAUCGAUCGGCAUGAGCAUUAUUCAGUAGUGAGGGACAACCCGCGAUCGACCCGAUCGCCAGCAGUGUAUUUUAAAUCAAAUUGCACUUACGCACAUGUUCCAUGCACAUAAUGGUUAAUUUAUGGGUUUCCUUAUUUUAUUUCCCACAAACGACAGUAUAGACAACACUUCCCCGUGAUUAAUAACAAAACCAUUUGAACUGAAAAUUAGAAAAUCUAAGAGGAAGUGAUGAAUUUCAUUGUUUCUCAUGUUGCUUUCCCUGGGUCAGCUGGUCCUCAUUUAUGAAAGGUACACCUAGGGCCGUCUCUGAGAUUUUGGGGGCCCUGUGCGAAAUUAUAAAAGGACCUCUCGUUAAGAUAAUAUUAAAAAAAGUAAAACAAUGUAUUGAUGUUAUAAAACAAUCGCUUAAAUCAACACUGAUUGCAAGUUUACAAAUGUCAUUAAUUAAAAAAGCUACAAACAUAACCUUCACUAGAUAAUCAAAAGCAGUUCAAUCUUAAACAAUCAAACAUGAAGAAAAAAAAACUUCAAAAACUCUAACUUUAAAGUUCACUUGAAUAUAUAACCUUAUUAUAUAAUAAAAUUGGAAAACUAUUGUUUUUAGGGUGUUAUUAUUGACAAUCAGAAUAUGUCAGUGUACUAAAAAUUUUUAUAUUGAGUAAUGCCAGGGAUACUAAAUUUGUAGACAAAAUUUUGUAAAUUAAAUGAUGUAUAAGUUGAUGAUUGAAUUAUUACUUAAGCAUUGAUAAACGUGAUCAUUUCCAAUUGGUGACUCAUCAUUUAGUUCACAAAUUUAGUAUCUCUAGUAUUACCCUUUUAUAUUUAGAAGGGAACACAAUUUAUUCUUAUGAGGAAUGUAUAAUGAGAUUUUAAAGUACUAAAAAAAGCAAUUUUCUAAAUAUAUAACAUUAGAUGGCAAAAAAUUUGGGGGUCCCUUCAAAUUUGAGGCCCUGUGCAACUGCACCUUUCGCUCCCCUUCAACGCCCCCUCUGGGUACACCAAAAACGAAAACCUAUAUUGAAAGGUUAAUGUGAGUGUUAUAUGAUCUAAUUUCCAUCUACAGAUUAUAAUCUAAUAUUUUGUUACAUAAUGACCACCUGUAAAAGUAAGGAUAAAAACACUUAAAAACACUUGCAAGAGUGCGAUCUUGUUGUAGUAUAACAACUCAAGUAAGGUUGUUUCCACAGAGAUUGAAUGAAUAAUUUAUGUAAAUACCAUAUCUUAAUUAAUUAUUUGAAACCAAAGAUUGGAAAAGGUUGAUUUUGAAUUUAAAAAUAAUAAAAACGAAUUUAAUUAAAAAGGUUAAAGAAAUUAGCAAAGUAAAGAAAACAAAGGAAAAUGUUUUGAAAACCAAAUUGUAAAAGCCUAAGGUUCCGCAUCCUCUUAACAAUUGCAAUUUUACCAAUUACUUAUGAAUUUCUACAUACAUGCUUUGAAGGUUAGGUUUUCUAAUACAUAUUUUCCUCGUGAUGUUCAAGCAAAAACGUAUAUCUAACAUGCAACCCUUCUGUGAUGUUCAGAUCAAAUAUAAACAUGCAAGACUCAUUAAGCUUUGUGAAAACCCUUUGAAAAACCAUGCAACCCUUAAGAGCGUGAUGUUUACCUUAAUUCAUCCGUUUGAUCACUUUUUGCUCUAGAUGAAGUCGAAUGUCCUACAUUGAAAAUAUAUAACAAAGUAUCAAAAUUCUACCAAAAUAACCAAUAAACUAGAACUAAGAAUAUGGUAAAAUAUAUGGUAUAAUAUGGACUCAUCACAUAACAACUUUUAACAAUUUUAUAGGUAAAGCGCAUUUUCAACUAAUCACCUUUGACUCAAACAUCGUCCUCUACAUCGUAGUUUUGAUAUUGUUUAGUCUAGAAAUUACAAUGCUUGUGUGGCACGCAUGUCAAGUAUUUAUGAUCUUACGUCCUCCUUCUAUAUGCCGGCGUGCUAACUCGCAACCAAGCUCGAUUGGGCGAGUAGAGUAGAUAUGGUGGUUAUGGUGUCGAAUGCACUGUUGACUUCUGCACUUGAGCAAUUAGGGCCUCAGAUGGAACACAUAUAGGCCUUGGGUUCAAGAAAAUGAAGAGCCCAGAUUAGUGGGAAGUUCGGGAAUUCCUAAACUAGUGUUGUUCACUUAUUCAAAUUGAAGAUGUAUUGAUGGGAGGGAUAUCAUAGUUAGUGUUUUGCUUAGGGGUGUGAGAAUGGUUAUACAUAGAGUGUUUGAGUUGUUUGUUGAGUUGAAAAAGGCACCAAUUAGGGCCGUCCCAGGCCCAGUGUGGGUAGGCGAUUGUCCGUGGCCCAAAAAAAUUCGGGGCACCAAAAUUAUUAGGGUGGUAUAUUUAUAUAUGUUUUCAUAAGAAUAUAAAUUUAUAAAAUUUGGAUUGAUGAUAAAGAAAUUUAAUUAGAAGUGGUGGUUUUGUCAUUUGAAAAUAAUGCAGAGGUCUUGGGUUCAAAACACCACAUAUGCUCAUUUACUUUCCAAUUUUUACAAAUUUCUUUUCAUAAGAGUAUAAAUUUAUUAAAUUUGGUUAAAUGAUCAAUAAGUUUAAUUAGAAGCAAUGGUUUUUGUUGUUUAAAAUUAACGAGAUUUUCUAAGUUCGAAAUGCUAUAUGCGUGUUUAUUCUUUUCAAUUUUUACGAAUAUUUGUUUGGUUGUUAAUUUAUUUUUAGCUACUAGCUAGUAGAUAUGUGGGUUGCUAUUUUUAAAUAUUCGUUUGAAUUCAAGUCUAAUCUUCUAUAAAGAGUAAUACGUAUUCCAAAAUUUUAGAGCAAAUUUGCGAAUCAUAUGACGUGUCAUCAAAAUGUUUAAUUUAGUGCCCAUUCAUUACUUAUACAUAUAAUUAAAGACUCGGAAACAUCAUUAUUUUUUUAGUCUCAAUUGACAAGGUUAGUAAAUGAGAAAAAAACACCUCACGAUUAAUACAACAACAUUUUAAAGGUUCAGAUGGAAAACAAACCUCAUCAUCUAUCUACAUGUAAGACUAGAGUUUUUUGGUUUCCUUCUCUGGAUACAAAAUAAAUUAGUCUCUCUGUGUUUCUAAAUUUUUGAGUUUGAGCUGCUUUUCUAAGUAUAAUUUUAUCGAUGUCUUAUGUGUGAAAAUAAAUAAUUUCUUAUAUGAAGUUAAGGCACAUUUUUUGGUGUCGCGCCGAGCCUCAAAAUUCUAUGGACCAGCCCUAUUGAGUGAAACACAAGGUAUAACUGCGAGGCAAAUGAUGAUCGAGGUGGUAUCGUCUAUCUACUUGUAAGCCAAGAGUUUUUUGGUUUCCUUCUCUUAAUACAAAAUAAAUUAGUCUGUGUUUUUAAAUUAUUGAGUUUGAACUGCUUUUCUAAGUAUAAUUUUAUCGAUGUCUUACAUGUGAAAAUAAAUAAUUUUAUUAUAUGAAGUUAGGGAAAUUUUUUGGCAACGCCGCGGGCCUAAAAAAUUUAUAGACGGCCCUAGCACCAAUGUUGCAGAGCCUCCUUUAUUUAUAGGCAAGGCUUUUAUGAUAACAAGUCUAUCGAGGCAGAGUUUCGAUGGGACUAUGCUUGCUCGACAUUUACUUGAAUAUUUCUUUUAUCUCAUUAAUUCCCUUUUUAGCCAAAACUUCAUCCAGACUCAUCAUCUUUGACUCUAACUAGGUCUCUGAAUUUGAUCUCAUCAUGCAACUUUUUCAUCUUUAUCUAAUCGUGUAGGCAUUAUGACCCUGUGAUGGUUUGUAUUUAUUCAAGGCUUAUUAUGAUCCUUGGCAAUUUCAGUUUGCAUAGGACUCAACUGAGCGCAUAAGCACUUAAUCUUAACAUAAUCUUACUUUCAUGAGGACUCAGUCGAACCAACCCUGUCUUGGGCUAAAAAGCCCACUGGCCUAGGGAUACUUACUAAGCCAAGUAUCGUGGCCUUUUCAACCCAGGUCAACCCAUCUCAGCCUAAGUUGGUAUUUUAGGCCUAAACAUUGCCCUCCACUUCUGAAAUCUUUGCCCAUUGACACUUGGCAUAAUGGUUUUUAAGAAAUUAAUAUUCUUUAAAGGCUAAAUUGGAUUGUUCAUCCCUGUGGUCAUAUGACACUUGCAUGAUGACCCCCGUGAUGAAAAAACUAGGAAUUAAACCCCUGUGGUCUAGAAUGUUAGCAAAUUUAGUCCAAAAGUAAGAUUUUUGUUAAAGGACGGUUAAAAGUUGGGGUAAAACUGUAUUUUCAGUUCCAAUUGACAUUGAAUUGCGGCUUUUUUUAUUUAAAAAAUUAAGCAUUAUUUUUUUUGUUAAUUGUUAUAAAAAAAAAUUAUUUAUUUUAAAUGUCAAUUGGAACUGAAAUUACAGUUUUACCUAUACUUUUAACAGUCAUUUAACAAAAAUCUUACUUUUGGACUAAAUUUGCUAACAUUCUUGACCACAAGGGUUUAUUUUCUAAUUUUUUCACCACGGGAGUCAUCAUGCAAGUUUCCUAUGACUACGGGGAUGAAUAAUCCAAUUUGGCCUUCUUUAAAGGGAGUUUUAACGAAAAGCCCACCGUAUUAUUUACUUUAACGAAAAACCACAUUUUUACAUUAAAAAGUCAAACCUGGUACUAUUCACUUUACCCUUUAUUUUGUCCUUAUCAUUAAAACUUAAAGUUUUCAAACCAUUUUCAUUAGUUUUCCUUUCUUUAAAUAACCUACUAUCUUGCAUUAAUUGCCUCAAUCCCAAUUUACGUGACAACCUUGCAUCGACUAACACACUUCUCUUUGCUCCUACUACGUGCCAGAUUCUUAGGGACGGCUGUUCGAACUCAGCUACUCACGUGCCACGAUUUUCUAGACAAAGUAGCUACCAAAAGGUCUUUGGUCUUUCCUUUAAUAUGACUGCCUUAGAAAUUAAGCAGUCACUUUUAAAAAUUUCGUUGGGCAACGCAAAAAGACCAACCGGAGCUGUUCGAUUCUUGCAAUCAUUACAUAGCAUACCCCGACAUUCCUCCUAGAUUCUCAGACAGAAACCGUAAGGCUUCUUACUGAUUCAUCCAUAAAACCCCUGGAUUCUCUUUCUUUCUCUUAUCUUGUCUUUUGCUUAACAAGACUUUCUGCUUUUAAACUUCGAGCGUUCAACAUCUUCUUCUAACAAGUUUUAGCAAAACUCAUAAUUUCCCAAAAUCCUACACCUUCACCAUUGGUUUUGAACAACAUCUUCAAUGAUUCCAAAACUGGUUACUUCAAUCUUGAUUCAUGCCUUGAACACCAUCUUAACCCUAACUAAAACACUGAUGGCAACAUAUCUUUUUUAUUCUUCAUUCAAGAAGACUGUUUGGAAAAGUCGUGUAUGGGACCAUGAUUUUCUAGGCCCAUGACACGUGACAAGAAGGAUCGGAAUGCCCAUAGCCCAUGAAACACAGUCCGGCAAGCUAGGCAUAGGCCUAUUGAAGAUAUUACUUGCCUCCCAAGUAAGGAAACCCUAUUUAAGGUCAAAUUAGGAUAUUCUGAGGAUUAGGCAACAUAAUCAAGAUUAUAGGAGGGUUGAGUAUCUUAUAUUAGAUUUCCUCCUAGACAGUCUGUCGAUUUGAUAAAGAUUAUUUUCCCUACAAAGACUCUUAAGAUCCCUAUAAAUACUCUAGCCUGGGUAUUUAUCAAUGGGACAUCUAUCUCUUUCUGGGACUUCUCUCUAAGUCUGAUAUUCUCUACAAUACCACAAUAUACAUAUUCUAUCCAUGCCUAAUAGAGACAUCGUCUACCUGUAGACACAUCCAUGAAAAUGAGUGAAAGAUACAAUCAAAUCCAUCUUUAAAUAAUUGAAAAUGAGUAAAGAAUAAUGGUUGAAAAAUGAGUGCAAAAAUCCAAAAAAAAAAAAAAAAAGAAAGAAAAAAGAAAGGAACAAUUUAAAGCAUUUAAUACCCCCAGAAACUACAUCUUCUUAUAAUUUUGUAAGAAACAAAUAAUUAAAUCAAAUUAGAUAAUUAAUAGUGAAAAAAGAACGAAAACCAAAUAAACUCAACUAAAUAAAAUAACGUAGCAAGAAAAAAAAAACCACAAAAAAUGUUGAAAAAGGUGAGGAUCGGUAAUACGUUAUUGACCUUAGGUCGGAGGAGUCUGUACUAUAUCGACUCUUACCUGGGGGUCGUAGCAUUUUGCCGAUCCCCUCCUUCUUCAAUCUUUUUUAAUAACACCAAAUUAUCAUCUUUCUGUAACGGCCUGUCCCGAAUAUUACGGUUUUUAUAAUUUUAAAGUGUGGGUAUGAAAUUGCCUUUCAAGGAGAAAUCAUUUUUUGUUGACCCUCGUAUUGUGUGACGUAUGACUCAUUAUGUUAGUAUAUUCUUGUAGUGCUCAAUGUUACGAGCGUGUGGGUGUAAGUAGACUCGAUUUCGAAACUACGACGGAGACUUUACAGAACUACGAAUCCAAAAGAUACCAUUGUAAAAUUACUAUUUUAGAUAUUUUAAUAUUAUCUUAUUAUUUUAAAUAAUUAUUGUUGCCUUGGGGCCCACAUACCACUUCCCCCUUCUCCCUCGUGUGUUUUCUCUGGAACUCUCCCGCUCUCCCAUCUCUCUCGACUUUCUCUCUCUCUCUCCCUUUGUCAUUGUGCACAACUUUCCCAACCACCACCACUCAAACAAAGAACACCACAAGCUUUGUCUCAUUCUCACGGAUCUAGAACACCCAACCUAACCUCAAACUUCUUUCCGGAUCGUUGGGAUCGUAAUGAAAUCAGGCGGCAACAUUUUUGGUUAUUUUUCGGCCAAACCAUGACGAGCUAGCCAUCAAGAAAAGUACCAUUCUCUUCGUCUCGUCGAGAGGUAUGAUUUUCAUUUUUGAAUCAUCCAAUUUCAUUGAGUAUUAAAGAAGUUAUAACCAUUUGAAUUUUUCCUAGUUUUCGGUGACCUCCACACCUUUGCAGCCGUUUUAUGGCCAACUCUGGCCUCUUUUUAGACUCCAAACAGGUAUAAUCUUGUUCUUAUCUUCGUUUUGAUAUAUUAUGGGUCGAAUUUGGUUGAGAAAUGAGAGAGAUAUAGCCAUUUGAAAAUUGCCCAUAUUUCUGGCCAUUUUCUGCAGAUUCCGGUGGGUUCCCGGCGGCCGGCAGCGGCUCCGGUGACCAGAAAAUUCCAGGAAUAUUUUUCCUUAUGUCGACUUUUACGAAAUUUUCUCAGGAACUCUCCUAAUCUAAUUUCGAUGCUCCAAGUUUGUUUUUGACAUGCAUUUAGUGGAAUUCCAAAGUUUUAACGUAGUUGAUUGGCUCGACGCUCGGUUGACUUCUCGUUGAUUUUUUUACAAAUUUUUUCCAAUACCCCUCUUAGGGUAAUUCGACGCCUUGAUUCUAAAUCUGCACUCCAUUUCCCAAAUUCAAUCGUUUAAGUAGGGUUUUAUUAAUUAUUCCUUUUAUGUUCUUAGGUGCGUAUGUUAAUGCAACCCUGUUUUCUUAAAUUUACACGGCUCUUCGACGACAGAGUUUCUGUGAGUGGACCCCUUCUCAAAUUACAUGUUAUUUUUAUAGAACAUUAGGCUUCCAUACAUUUCAUAUUUCAUGAAUUGAGUAUGUUUUAUAUUAUAUUUUACGGAUUUCUAUAUUUAUGGUUUAUGGAGAAUUUAUGAUUUAUUUAAAUUGCUUUUACAAGAUAUUUAUGGUUUAUCUAUUUACGGUUUAUAAAAUGGUAUGUUUAUAGAAAUCACGUUUAUGAAAUUUCUUAUGAUUUCAGGUGAUGAGGUUUUGGUUUUUUUUUGAGAUACAUUUUAUGUGCUUAUCUAGUGGGUAAUCAUACAACACAUACACACAACCUGAGUAUGUAUACAUCUAUAGCCAUAGAACACAGUUGAGGAUAUUUAUGACCUACCCCCAACUUCACUAGCAAAAUCAGUGUCAGACAGCUUCACUAGCUACGGCUAGUGUCAGCGUGUUAUGUAUAUUUCUUCUUUGAUGUAACUCAGAGUUGUACAGCUUCACCUUCGGGUGAUGGGACCUACCAUAUAUUUUCACUGGUGUAACCCAGUGUCGUACAACUUCACAUUCGAAUGAUGGUUAUGCCUUUGGGCAACUAUGAUAUGUACCCCUAGUUGAGUACUUUAUUAUUUUGAGUUUACGAAGGUUUUAUGGAUUUGCCUUUGGGCUACUAUGUUAUCAUUACUGAGCACUGUUUUAUACAUACAUCUUUUACGAUCAUUUUCAUGGCAUGCUAGAAUUUUCAGAAAACCUAAUAUGUAGUACUAUAUGAGUUUUCAAAACAGGGGGUUAGUAUGUUCAAAAGGAGAAUGGUUUCUUAUUAUUAGUAUUAUUAUUAUAAACUUUGGUCAACUCACCCUUUGUUUUGUGCCCCAUUCAGGAUUUAGAAUAGAGGCAUACGAUCCCGACGUUAGGGCACUUCCACAUAGAUAUCUUCGAGUCUUCUUAGUGUAGGACUCAUUCCUUUGUUCGUACUUUUUUAUAGUAAUUCUUUCACAUUAUUCUUGAUUAGUUGUAUACUCUGAACACGUUUCCGCAUUUGCAUAUUUCUUUAUGUUUGCAUAUUUUAUUUACCAAUACCACUUGCAUGUAUAUUAAAAUGGCUUCGUCACUCUUGGGUGUCAGCUAACACGUGCCUAUUCUGAUAUUUGGAGAUAUCAUAGUCGGGGCGUGUCACUUUGCAUGCUACAAAGUAUACUUUUCGAUGCAAAAUCUCUUAUAAUUCAAGUUUAAAAUACUCUAAAAGCAAGAUAAUACUUCUACACUAGAUUCACCUCCAAUCGUGAUUCCAAGGGUGGCAAUGCCUGUCUCUGCGCAGUUGGUGGCUUGUGGGAGGAGUGUUUGAUGUUGAAAAUCAGGCUUACAUUGAAGUACAUUCAAUCAUUAAAAUCGAUUGUCUCCAAACUUAUUUCGAUCUUAGUGGCGACGUGCAUGGAUAUUUUUCCUGUGGUUGAUCAUAUGUAAUAUGCGUUUUUUUGCUUGAAAAUUCAUUUUGUUCCGACGUUAAACGGGCUUCCAAAUAAUGGGAUAAUGCUAUCCACUGCCAAAGAUGCUGUAUAAACCCUGAAAAUCCUUUUAAGAUUCUUUACAAUCCUUUAUUUUCCUACAGUUGUAUAAAAGUGAUUGCACAUUGGUAGAUGUCUGAUAACUGUUUUGCAUAUAUGAUAUGUAUAUGAGACCUUGGCCACUCACCCUAAAGCCAAUAAUUAGUUGUUCAGUGAAUUCUACAUCCAAAAAUUAAUGCCAAUUGGUUUUACAGUACAACCUUAACAUUCUUUAUGAAUCAUAAACAGUUAACCCACAUGUAAGAGGGAGGAGAAGGGAUUGAAAGAAACUACUCCGAUGCUAAAAUUAGUGUUUAUGCAUGAAAUUCUUUAGCUUUAUCCAUGUUUCGUGGUGGUGGGUAUAGGUUACUUAAUUAUAUCCCGACUCCCCCAAGUUUAUGGUGCUAGUCAUUUAUUUUUUUGUACUUAAUUUUACUCCCACUUAUGCUUCUUUUUUAUCUCCAAACAUGUACCCUUUGAGAGUAGCAACAACAACAACAAAGUCUUUUCCCAUUAAGUGAGGUCGGCUAAUGUGCCUUGAGUACAUAGAGAAAUAUUCUAUGUGGAAGUUCAUAUCAUUUGAAAUUUCAUUAUGCCAUAUGCAUGAUCUUCGAUCAUGACAUGUGAUGUGGUGCGGAGAGGAAUAUUCUAUGUGCAAGUUUAUAUCAUUUGAAAUUUCAUUAUGCCAUUUGCAUGAUCUUCGAUCAUGACAUGUGAUAUGUGAGGCCUUCCCCUGUUAGUACUAUGUUGGGAGUUAAGUGGGUUGUUAUUUUUGUAGAUGAUUGCACCCAUAUGACUUAGUAUCGGAGCUAUAGAAAGCAGGAUCAUAUUACCAUGUGAUGUGUGGGUUGCCUUGGUCUUGUUUGAUGAUGCUAGGUCCCUUGGCCCACGUGUUGGGUGAGUACCUCGUGGUUGUCGAUAUGUGAUUCUCUCACGUGUGAUUCACUAGUUGGGUCCCAAGUGAAGGGUCGUGUUGAAUAUCCCACAUUAGGUAGAGACAAAGAGGAAUAUUCUAUGUGGAAGUUCAUAUCAUUUGAAAUUUCAUUAUGCCAUAUGCAUGAUCUUCGAUCAUGACAUGUGAUGUGGUGCGGAGAGGAAUAUUCUAUGUGCAAGUUUAUAUCAUUUGAAAUUUCAUUAUGCCAUUUGCAUGAUCUUCGAUCAUGACAUGUGAUAUGUGAGGCUUUCCCCUGUUAGUACUAUGUUGGGAGUUAAAGUGGGUUGUUAUUUUCGUAGAUGAUUGCACCCAUAUGACUUAGUAUCGGAGCUAGAAAGCAGGAUCAUACUACCAUGUGAUGCGUGGGUUGCCUUGGCCCAAUGUGAUGAUGUUAGGUCCCUUGGCCCACGUGUUGGGUGAGUACCUAGUGGUUGUUGAUAUGUGAUUCUCUCAUGUGUGAUUCACUAGUUGGGUCCCAAGUGGAGGGUCGUGUUGAAUAUCCCACAUUAGGUAGAGACAGAGAAAAUAACAGUUUAAAUAUCCAAACCCCACACCAACAUAUAUCGAGGCCUUUGUAAUAAAACCUCACACGUGUUGAAGUGUGCAAGGGAAUUAGACAAUAUCGGUGUUGUUGGAAGUGAGCAUUUAGACGGUGUCUUUGAUAAUUUGACAUGAUCAACAUAAGGACUCUCAUUAUAUUGCAAUGUUAUGCGUUGCCAAGUGUUUUAGUCAAACAAGUUCGGAUGAUUGAUUUAAAAUAUCGUUACAUUAGUGUUUCUGAAACUUUGAGAUGAUAUUUAGAAUGGACUUCUUUGAUUGAGCUCGAAUAGUAAUGAGCAAUAAUAAGUCGAGCUAAUAUUUGUACAUUAUUUAAUCGACUCUAUGUCACGACUUUAGUUUUGUUUUAUGCAUGCAUGCUUCUUUGUUCAUUUUAUGUAUUCUACUAUAUGAAGAAAGUUGAGGUUCAACUACAAAACCAAUUGGCAAUAUGGGGAGUAGCACAAUUACUCAUAAGCACAUGCAAUAUCAUUUCUUUCUCCGUUGUGAGAUUUACUCUCAACAUAACCUGUUAGGUAUGGCGAAUUUUCAAGUCUAGCACAUGUACAAUACAAAUAAAGCGAUGUACAUCACGUGUAGCGAUUGGACAUCACACGCAUGACCACAUGCUCUAAUAUCAUGAAGAAACUUUUUAGGCCCAUCAUGGUCUACCUCUAAUAUUGUCGAUAUUGUCCCAACUUAAUCACAUAUUAUUGGGUAUUAAGUUUUGUCACAAAAUGUCUCGGUAAUAUUACUGGUGGAAACUCUCAUAUAGUAAUUGUAUAUUAUGUCAUAUAACUAAUAUACAAUCCUAUUCUCCAAUAUGCAGCCUCACGAGUUGCCUAACAUGGGGUCACAAAGGGAACCCAAAUGCCACAUUGGAAACUAAUCAAGCCAACAUUCCAAAGCUAAUGCAAAUUUUUUAAGAGCUCAAUCAUCAUUCAGGGACUAGUGUCAACGGAACUUUUCGAAACCAAUCAGUCAAUAUCCUCAAGUUGGUACUAGCGCAACUUUUCGAAAGCCCAAAUUAAGGAGGUAAAUUUGAGCCCAAAAAUGGGGGUCGAGACGUGUCGAAAGAAUAGUCCGCUCUAAUACUAUAAAGAAAGUUAAGGUCAUAUUCUCUAACACACCUGCUGAUUAGUGGCCUGACACGAGGUCACAAGGGAAACUAAUUCCCACAUCGGGAAUUGAUCAAGUCACCAUACUUGGAGCUAACAUAAUUUUUAAAUAUAAAGCCAACAACCUCUUUUGGGGUCACAAGCUUCACCAAAAAAUUUUGGACAAAAAUGACCCCAAAACAAAAAAUUUCAAAGGUAACCCAAAAUAAUACCAAAUAAUGCAGGGGUAUUUUUGUCAUUCUAACAGCGUUUGUUUAAUAAUUAAUUCUUUUUGUACAUUUUUUAAAUUAGUACCUCACAAUAGGCUAGCAAUAAUGUGAUUCAAUCAGUUGUUCAUUAAAUAUUAUUUUCUCCAUUUUUGAACACGUUCAAAACAUCCUAAAAGGCGUGUAAUGCCGGUUAUAAAAAAAGUCUUUUGCACGUGCAUAAUAAUGUGAUUAAAUUAGUUGUUAAAUGAUUUGUUUUUCUAAAAACAAUAUUAUCUAAAAAAGGUCUUUUGCACAUACAUAAUAAUGUGACUCAAUCAGUUGUUUAUUAAAUAUUAUUUUCUCCAUUUUUAAACACGUUCAAAACAUCCUAAGAGGCGUGUAAUGCCGGUUAUAAAAAACGUCUUUUGCACGUGCAUAAUAAUGUAAUUAAAUUAAUUGUCAAAUGAUUUUUUUUUUCUGAAAACAAUAUUAUCUAAAAAAGGUCUUUUGCACGUACAUAAUAAUGUGACUCAAUCAGUUGUUUAUUAAAUAUUAUUUUCUCUAUUCUUAAUCUAAAUUCAAUAGAAUGUAGAUGAAAAUUGAGAAAACGAUUUUAUUAUGUAAAUUUAGCUGCUUUGAUUGGUUUGUGAGGAGUUUUUCUAGCACGAUCUAAGAUUAUUCAUUUACUUCAAUAUUUGACUUUCAUUUUGUCAAUUUACGCAUAUAAAUACAUUUAAAACGUGUAAGUCACGCGUAGCACAUCGUGAUUUAAAAAAUGCCUUCAGUACGCGCUCUAGUUUUUCGAAAGCCAAGUCAUCAUUGAGGACUAGGGAUUUGAAUCCUCUCUUGAGCUAAUGGAGAGGAUCCUCCUGACCAAUCAUCUUGAGCCGUUGGAUUUUUAUCCAACGACUAUAAUUAUUAUAACUUUAAAGGGAUCCCCCUGUUUGUAGCCGUUGGAUAAAAAUCCAACGGCCCAAGAUGAUUGGUCAGGAGGAUCCUCUCCAUUAGCUCAGGAGAGGAUCCAAAUCCAAGGACUAGAGCCAAUGCAUCUCUUCGAGGCCCAAUAUUUUUAAGCAGGAGUUUCGAAAGCCCAAUUUAAGGAGGUGAAUUUGAUCCUAGAAAAUUGAGCCAGGGCACGUCGAAUGAAUAGUCUGCUUUGAUACCAUGAAGAAAGUUGAGAUUCUAUUAUAAAAUCAAUUGACAAUAUAAAAAAUAUACAUAUAAGCACUGCAAGAUUCUAUAUUUGUCUAAUAUGCAAUUGAUACUCUCAACAAUACAUUUAGUGCUUGUCAUAAAAAACCUAAUCAACUUUAAAUCCCUAGUUUGACGAGUCAGUAGGUGGCAACCGUCACGGGAAACGUUGAUCAAAGAUGCGAUAACAAAUGCUAAACAAUGCGACAACAAAAAUUGAAUUAUUAAAAAAGUCGGCCGUGUAUAACAGCGCAAUACACACCGCAUCCGCAUUGCAUUGUAUGAUCGGACAAAAAAAAACUAAAUUAUUGUACGUUAUUUGGAUAAAAUUAAAGGAAAACUAAUGAAAAUUGUUUGAAAACUUUGAGUUUUAAUGAUAAGGACAAAAUAAAAGGUAAAGUGAAUACUACAAGGAUUGACUUUUUAGUGUAAAAAUGUGAUUUUUCGUUAAAGUUAACAGUACCGGAAACUUUUCGUUAAAGUUCUCUAAAAUUAUUUUUCUCUCAGCUUUGCUUAAUGAUUCAUAUCAGCCAGUCUAUGGGCGCACGCAGCCCAAGCGGGUUUCAAGAGCCCACAGACAAUAUUGUUUUAUUUGGGCUAAUAUAUAUGAUCAUUUUUUUUAGAGUAAUGCUAUUCAAAUCAUGUUUUUAUAUCACAUUUUUAUAUCACUUUAGGUGUCAUUUGAUGUGAACAACCACAUCAUUUGAAUUAAUCAGAUUUUUAAAUUUAGUUCAUUAUUUAAUAAACUAAUAAUUAAGAAAAAUUAGUUAAUUAAAUGAUGAUGUGGUAUACAAGGAGUCUUUCUCUUUCUUUUCCUUGGGCUUAACAAAUUUUUCAAAUGAUGUGUCUGUUCACAUCAGAUGCCACCUAAAGUAGUAUAGAAAUGUGAUAUAAAAACAUAGUAUGAAUAACAUUACUCUUUUUCUUAUAAAAUAGGAAAUGACAGAGAAAUUAAAAGAAGAUUAGGUCAGUCCACCUCGCGGAGCAAUUGGGCAUUUCUUUAUUCAAUUUCCAGAUGGUCAUUUCCUUGAUUGCAUUACAAAAUUCCUUGUACAAAAGUAAUGGUUCCCACGUCUACGAUGAAUAGAACCCAUUUAACAGUUAGGAGCUUGCGUAAACCUUUUGAUCAACACCUUCAGCCUCAGCCUAUAAAUAUCAAUAAUCCUCCUCACUUCUUCACAGCUCAAAAUCUCCCAAUACAUCAUCUCUUUUUUAGUCUUCCUCUUCAUCCGUUAUUAUUUUCCCACUUCCUAAACACAUCUCAGAAUCAUGGGUGUUUUCACAUACGAAUCCGAGUUUACUUCCGUCAUCCCCCCUGCUAGGUUGUACAAUGCCUUUGUCCUUGAUGCUGACAACCUCAUCCCCAAGAUUGCACCACAAGCAGUGAAGAGCACUGAGAUCCUUGAAGGAGAUGGAGGAGUUGGAACCAUUAAGAAGAUCAACUUUGGUGAAGGUAGCACAUACAGCUAUGUGAAGCACAGAAUCGAUGGGCUUGACAAGGACAACUUUGUGUACAAGUAUAGUGUGAUUGAGGGAGAUGCCAUCUCUGAGACAAUUGAGAAGAUCUCUUAUGAGACUAAGUUGGUAGCUUCCGACAAUGGUUCCAUUAUCAAGAGCACCAGUCACUACUACACCAAGGGUGAUGUUGAGAUCAAGGAAGAACAUGUCAAGGCUGGCAAAGAGAAGGCCUCCCACCUCUUCAAGUUGAUUGAGAACUACCUCUUGGAGCACCAGGAUGCCUACAACUAAACAUUGUUUUCUGCUGCAUUUAUGUGUGAUUCAAUCUCGUGUCAUCUUUUCCAUGAAAUAUUGGUGUGGUUUUAAUCCCCUUUAUAUUUUUUUUCCCUUCGAAAACUGGCUUCUACCGUAAUAUUGAAGGUUUGAUUAAAGAGUGAAUGCUGCUGUAUUUCCUUUCAUCUGCAAUAAUAAAUAAAAAUGAAAUUUAUGGAUCUGAUGAUUCUUGCAAGCUUUUUAUCAAUAUUAUCGGGACAAUAAUGUUAAGCUCCAAUUUUAUAGCUACAUGAGUUUGCUAGUCACAUAAGAAUCGACCCUCCAGUGUUUCAACUUCUCCACCCAGCAACCCCAUGAACACCCACCCACCCACGGCCAAAGAUUCGAUGAUGACGAUGAGAACAUUGUUUUUACCUUUUCUUCCACUAUGACUAUAUGAUCGUCGACUCGGUAAUCGAAGGCCAUACAACAAUAGCCGGAGACAACUACGACGGCUGCACCAUUGCAGCCAUAAAAUUCGAUAGCGGCCUCACCUAAAGAACCAGCCCUUUCUCUCUUGGCGAGGACAUUUCUGUGCACAUACAGAUUUUGAAUUUUUUUUUGAUUUGGGAUAUAUUUUCUUGGCGGGGACAUUUGUUAAGUUUUCUUUAUAAAAUAAAUCAGAGUUACAGUGGAAUAAGAGGGAUGGCUUGUUUUAAAAAUUUAAAAAGAUAUAUUAAUUAACAAGUUUACUAGGGUUAGAAGAUGAGACACAUGACAACUAAUAAAGUGUAUGGUGAGCAUACACCAAAGUUAAUGUGGGUGAGCAAAAAUGCACCCUACCAACUAAUCAUAAAUCCAUAAAAAUUGGAUACAUUUGGAUCUCUACCACGUAAUAGCAUAAAUUAAAGUGAUGAAAUGAAAAUCUGAUUUCAUUUUCCUUGUAAACCAAUUUGCAAAUCAUACCAUAAAUACGUCCAUGAGCUAACACACCCACGAUGAUGAUUUAAGAGUUUGUUUCCUCAUCUUUGGUGUAGCAUGACUCACAUCUGUUGGCGGUUCUUACUUCUUGCAAUCUAAUUUUUCUUAGUUGGUCUGGCUUCUGAUUUUUCAGAUUAGUGCACAUCAUGGCAUACAGGUUAGAUUCACUUUCCUAAUGUGUUAUUAUAUUUUUAUUCCGAAAAUAUUUGGUGUUUCAAAGCUUUAUAAUUUUUAGAGGGGUUAGGCUCAUGACAUCCCCUAUUUUUCUUGUAUAUCUCAUUUUGCUUUCAAGAAGGAUCGCUUUUAUGUCUCCCCUCUUUUAUUUGUAUUUUUCUUGUUGCCUUAAAGAGGGUUAGAUUUAUGUCUCCUAUUUUUUUCUUGUAUAUUUUUCAUUUUGUUUUAGAGGUAUGAGGUUUAUAUUCGGCUCAAUUAGGUGUAAUUUUUUUAUUCAAUAAUUUUUCUUGUACCAUCGAAGUUUUUUAUGAGCAUAGAAAAUUAUCUAAAAGUUAGAAUAAAUAUGAAGGAAAGAGAAUCCAUGAGGGGAGUUUGGAAAAUUAAUUUUCCCAUGAAUGUUGCCCAUGCUAAUAGGACAUACCAAUAUCUUACAUUAAUUUUGGCCAGAGAAAGCAGCAAGCCGCCUCUACAACUUGAUCUAAAAAAAAUAAAAAAUCAAGCGUGGUGUGCUAAGUCCAUAUAUAUCAUGAAAUUUCUAGUGGAAUAUUCUAAAUCACUUGUCCGCAUUCAUAGUGAGUCAAUUCUGGUUGCCAAGUACAAUUAUAUCGAAUAUACCCUUGAUUAUUUUUCUUAAUGCUUUAGAAUUAUCAACUGUUAUAUUCAAAUAUGUUAAGGUUCUUUUUUUUUUCUUUUUCUUUUUUCUUUUCGAUUCUGUUAGAAGAAAUAUUACAUCCAAUUACUAAUGUUUACAAUGUGCAGAGAGACAGUACUUUCGUUAUUUAGUAGUUGGAGGGUAGGAAAAUUCAUGAUCAAUUGCUUCAUAGCUUUCCUGCAACUUGUUUUGAUUUUUUAUUCAUAUAAUAGUGGCGCAGGCUAAAAGGAUUACAAGAGUAGAACAGCAAAGUUCUGGAGUUCAACAGUUUGGAUAGAAAAACUCCAAAGUUUAUUUGAUUAAAGAUUAUUUCUUGAAAGUUACAUUGGGAGCCAAACAGCUUAAUGAACACAGCGUUGCGGAAGCGUAGGGACUGUAGGAAAUUAAACAACAGAAAUUUGAAUGAAAAUAUGAUUAUUUUUUAACCCCUUUUCACAAUGUUAGUAAUUAAGAAAAAAUGCCUCAUUAUAUAUAUAAAAAUAAUUUAAAACUAAUUGAACAACUGAAAUUACAAUCUACGUUUAAUUCCUUACUGAAGUAUAUUUGGACCUAUUGUUCCUACACUGUCCGAGGUAGCCUUGUUGUGUUACAAGUGGGAAAUGAAGCGUAAUGAAAUGAAUGAAACAAUGACAUGUAAUGCACGCAUUAUGGCGCAAGGCUUCUUGAUUACAGCUAUAUCAAACUGGUUAAUUUUUUUUUCAUUGGGAUAUUGAUACAGAGAUUUACAUGUAAGUUGCCAAAGAAUUACAUGGACUAAUUCAAAUAGUUUGAGACCAUAGAACACCCUCUCAAUUCAAAUGAGGUGUUCACUUAGAUUAAGCAAUUUUGGGCAGAUGUGGUAUACCCAUCUAAGUGAUUAUUUGAUUAGUCAGGGAUAUGAUUAAAUGCCCUUGUCUGUUCAAUUAAGAAGUCAUAUUCCGAAUUGCUAGAGUUGCAGUUUAUAUCGAUGACAUGAAUCUCACUAUGACUCUGGAAGAGCUUCAAAAACUACCAAGCAUGUGACGAAAUUUGAGAUGAAGGAUCUUGGGAAAACUCGUUAUGUCUUGACCUGUAGUUCAAGCAUUGUUCCGAAGGUAUUCUAGUCCACCAGUCGAACUACACCCGGAAGGUGUUACCUUUUGAGUAUACCUUUGAUCAUUCUUACGCUAUAUGCAAAUGAGACCCUUGAAGAGGUUAUGAAACCUGAAGUUGCAUAUAUAAGUUUAAUUUUCUACUUUGUUCUACUUAAUUCAUUGCAUUAAAUAGGACAUCUUCUUCAUAGUUCAUCUAUUGGUGAAGAUGAAGCACUGGGCCUACAUAUAGCCAUUAAGUUGGCAUAAAAGAUGUUUCUCCGUUACAUUGAAGGUACUAUGGAUUUAAACUUUAGCCCAACGAUCCCGAGCAGAUUCAACCCCCUUGGUCCUCGGGAUGUGUUUAACUUGUUGUUAUGCUAACGCAAGUUACCUAUCAAGCCCGCACAAGACAUCUUCCUAAAUGGUUAUGUCUUUACCUUUAGGAAUAACGCAAUAUCUUAAAGGCGAAAAUAUAGACCUUAGUUGCAAAAUUUUCGGAUCGUUUCAAGGCCCACCGCACCUCACUAUGCCACACAUGAAAGACAUGGUUUAGAGCUCUUGUUGAGCAUAUUCGAAAACUUGCAGUUUUUCAUCCACCAACAAAGUCCAUGAAGACUAUGCUGUAUGUAUCGACUAGACCAAGAUACGAUACAUCAACACAGUCAAUGCUAAGCAUAUUACGUCUAUAUCACAUCAGCAAAGCAUCAAGAGAUUGAAGUCAAGCAAUCUAAUCCCAUACAACCUUGUCGACCUCUUCAUAAAGUCACUACCAACAUCAGCCUUCAACAAAACUUGUUCGAGGAAUUAGUAUGCAUAACUAUUUAUUUGCAAUGAUUGUAAUUCUCAUUUGGAAGUUUUGUAAAACUCAGGGGAGUAUCUAGAAGUAUACUCACUUAACCUUAAUGUACUUUUUUUUCCUACACUUAGGAGCAUUUUCCCCACUGGGUUUUUGUUACCUGACAAGGUUUUAGGCAUCCAUCCUAGGUUAGUCAUACCCUUGUGUGCCUUCUACUUGUGUUCUGAAGACGUAUAUUUUUGACUUACUGCAAAUUCUCUUUUUUAUCCUCCCAUCCUAGGUUUUACCAUAGUGAGGUCUUGUGAGUUUUACUAUCUAUGCAUUCUUUCGUUGAUUUGAGACUCGCAUUCGUUCAUGUGCCGACAACUUCAUCAACUAUACUUACUUCAUCGAUGAAGACAUGAUGCACCAUUUACUUGAGUUUUUACACACUCAGGGGAGGGUGUUGCGAUUUUAAUUUAGUUAGAAAUUGAAUGUGAUUUUGUAAAUCCUAGUAAAUCUUUAUGGGAUUCUACCAUUUUUUUUAUAGCUUCCUGAUUGUAAUGUAAUACCCAAAGGGUAGGGAAUUUACCUUCCCUACUAUUAUAAACAAAGGCACAAUGGGGUGAGAUAAUACACACCUCAUAAUUCACCUCUCUGUGUUGCCGUACCUCUUUCUAUAAUUCUUUAGAUUUUUUUUAAACAAACGAUAGUAUGUACACUAAGGGAGUGGGGAGUGGGCUAAGCCUUACAAUGGGCUUCCUAUAAUGUGGUUCAACUUCGCCUUUGCUGAGAAUCGAACCAAAGAUACCUUUCAUUUACAAGUUAAGAGGAAUACCACUAAUCAUACCACUAAAUUUCUACUUAUAAUGCUUUAGUUAAAUAGGCUACACUAAAUGCACUUUUUUUUAACAAUCAUUUUCAAGAAAAUAUUUCACAAUUAUUAAGCAAAAAUCAAGAAAACGAGCAAUUUAAAGCAUCAAAUACCUCACGAACUAUACCUUCUUAUGAUCAUCAUAUCAAAUUGGGUAAUUAAAAGGGAGAAAUGAAUAUUGAAAGUCAAGAGUGGGUAUUUGGAGCUAUUGGUUAGGUUGAUUAUUAGGGUGCAGUUGUCAUCUUACUUCUAGUUAUAUCGUGUAUCUUCUUUCCCAUACUUAUAGGGUGGUUAUAGCUUUUUAACUUUUUGCCUUACCUUACUUUUUGCUCCUUGUUUUAUGAAGUUGUCGUGUAGGAGUGAUUCAAGGGUGAUCAAUGUGUUAAUCACUCCUUGCCCUAUAUAUCUUGUAUCCUUGUGUUGUUGUUUCCUUAUGAAUCAUAAUACAAACAAACACUUAAAACUCAACAUGGUAUUAGAGCAAGAAUAACUUGUCUCUGUGAUACUUGUUGCUCUGUUCUUCAAGUAUUCUUCCAUGGCUGACGAAAACCCUAUCUUCGAGUCAGAGGCUGAUAGCUCACUUGGAGCCGGUCACCAAAUUCAACCAAGAUCGAUGUAAAUCCAAAUCAAAGGUUAAGUUCUGUGCUUCUAAAUGAGUUUAACUACUUACCAUGGUUAAGGGCAGUUUCACUUGCUAUACGAGGAAGAUCAAAGCUAGGGUUCAUAAAUGGAAGUAUCGAAGCUUCUGAUGCUUCCUUUCGCAUUUAUGAAUCUUGGCUCAGCAAAGAUCAGUUGGUCAUGUUAUAGUUCCUCAACUCCAUGGAGAGGAAGAUAGCUGAGAUAUUCAUCUACUCUGAGUCAUCUUUCCAGUUAUGGAAGUCCAUGCAAGAGAUGUAUGGAAAUUAGAAUAAUGCAACCUGUAUGUUUCAACUUAAAAUGGAUAUCGCGAGCAUGCAACAAGAUGGAAAACCUUUUGUUCAGCUUCUUGGAAGUCUAAAAGGUAUGUGGAAUGAGUUGGAGGUAUAUUGUCCUCAUACAACGGACUCAAACCUACUUCUUAAAAGGGUUGAGGAAGAUAAAUUUUCCAGCUUCUCUCUAGUCUGGGGUCUAAAUAUGAGGAUAUGCAUAGCCACAUUCUCAUGAAACCAGAGCUUCCCACGUUUGCCAAUGUUUGUGCAACAAUUCAAAGGGAAGAAAUGAGGAAAAAUGUUAUGAACGCUGGUACCACGACGAUUGCCUCGGAAGCUAGGGCUUACUUUUCCAGUGAUAAGAAAUACUUCUCCAAUGAUAAGAAAUACAAGGGAAGAAAUCCUCAUCUCAAAUGCAAACAUUGUGAUGCCAUCGGACAUGUGAGGGAUCAUUGGUAGAUUCUUCACCCUGAGCUCAAACCAGACUUCAUGAAAAAUGAAAGGUUUAUUCAAAAGAAGCCUCAGUUCUCCAGUUACAAAGCUAAUCAUGCCUUAUCCCUGUCAAUUAAAGGCUCAGAUGAUCUUUUGAAUUUUACCUCCAAUCCUACCACACUCAUAAAUGAGUUCGCUGCAUACCUUCAAAUGAAGAAUGAAGUAUCUAGGAGUGAUGAAGCUGCUACCUCUGGAAAUGGCAACUCAAUUACUUUGCUGGGAAAGUUUGCAGGUUUUCUGGCUGACUCGAAAAAGCUCACUCAGGACAACAUGCAAGGUAUAUUGACAACUUUCAAAACUACUCUAAAUAUAAAUCAAUUGCAUGAUUUGUGGGUCAUAGAUUUUGGUGCCACAUACCAUAUGACAAACCAAUUUUACAAGCUCCAUGAUUUUAAAAACUUCCGACAUCUUCACAUGUUUUAGUUGCUAAUGGGGAGGGAGCUAAAAUGUUAGGAAUGAAAAAAUUACAUCUAGUGUUUGACAAUAUAGAGUCUAAAGCCUUGUACGUUCCUUCAUUCUCUUUUCAAAUUCUCUCAGUUGGAAAAAUCACACAUGCCUUAAAUUGCUCAGUUACUUUCUCCCCUUACACUGUCAUUUUUCAGGAUUGUAUCACCAAGAAAAAGAUUGGUGAAGGUUUUUUCUUAGAUGGUCUCUAUUACCUAUCCAAGGAGACUUCAUUUCUCAAGGGAUUUCAAGUCAAGUCUAACUUAAGUCAAGACCAAAACCUGUGGCAUCAAAGAUUAGCUCAUCCAUCCGAGCCCAUUUUGUCAAGAUUGUUUCCAAACCUUUGUAAAUAAGUGAUCCUGUGUGUUACUUAUCACUUUUGUAAAUCCACUAGGUUACCUUUUGGUUCAUCCUCAAAUAGGACCAAACAAGUUUUUGAACUUGUACAUUCAGAUGUAUGGGGGCCAUUUUUUGAUUCUUUUAAUGGGUAUAAGUAUUUUGUAACUUUCAUAGAUGAUUUCUUGAGAGUUACUUGGUUAUACCUUUUGAAAUCUAAGAGUGAAGUUGUUGAAGCAUUCAUAGACUUUCAUAAUCUUGUAAAAAAUCAUUUCAAUUCCCAAAUCCAACUUUGAGAUCUAAUAAUGGCUCGGAAUAUAUGUCACACAUCAUGAAACAAUAUUCAAGCAAUAAUGGAAUUUUGCAUCAAAAUAGUUGUGUUGGUACUCCACAACAAAACGACAUAGCUGAGAUAAAGAACCGUGAUCUACUUGAAAAAACAAGAGCUCUAAUGUUGCACAUGAAAGUACAAAAAAGAUUUUGGUCCCAAGGGGUCAUGACAGCUGCAUAAAUCAUAAACAGAUUACCUAGUCAAGUCUUGGAGUUUAAAUCUCUAAUGGCAGUGUUAAAAGGAAGGGAUGUUAAUCUGUCACACCUUAAAGUCUUUGGGUGCACAUGCUAUGUUCACAUCUAAUUAGUGGUUUCAUGUCUGACCAGAAAGUUUCACAAUCUUAUGUUGCCUAUUUGAACACCAUCACCAGUCACUGUGAGCCUCAAACCUUUCAAGAAGCAAGCUGCUAAGAAGUGUGGAGAAAUGCCAUGGAGGAAGAGCUUCUUGCUCUCACCAAACACAACAACUGGAGUGUAGUUAGACUUUCACAAAAAAAAAAAUGCAGUUGGUAGUAAGUGGAUAUACAAGAUCAAAUUCCACUCAGAUGGAUCGAUUGAAAGAUAUAAAGCUAGCUUGGUGGCUAGAGGAUUCACUCAAACAUAUGCUGUGGACUAUAAGGAAGCAUUCGUUCUAGUUGCCAAGAUGAACACUGUAACGGUGUUAUUGUCUGUUGUUGUGAAUAAAGGAUGGUCUCUAUACCAAAUGGAUGUGAAGAAUGCAUUCUUACAUGUUGACCUUGGAGAUGUCUACAUGAAGCUACCAUCGGGACAUCAUCAAUACAAUGAGCCUGGCAUGGGGUGUAGGUUGCACAAAUCCGUUUAUGGAUUAAAACAAUCCCCAAGAGCUUGGUAUGCCAAACUUAAUUCGGUUCUUGAAAAAACUGGUUUUCAAAGAAGUCAUGCAAACUCAUCCAUGUUUGUUCGAACAUGAGUGGUUGGAAAACUUGUAGUGUUGAUCUAUGUUGAUGAAUUAAUAAUCACAGGGGACAAUGCUGAUGAAAUCACAAACCUCAAGGUCUCCCUACAACAGAAGUUCUCCAUCAGAGAUCUUAGAAGGUUAAAAUAUUUUCUGGGAAUAGAAAUGACCUCAUCAAGUAAAGGGCUAUUUCUUAACUAGAGGAAAUAUAUCCUCGAUCAUCUCACGGAAUCAAACAUGAAGGAUGCCAAGCCAGUUCAAACUCCUUUUGACAGCAAGCUCAAGCUUAGCUUGGAAGGUAAACCUCUGCCUAAUAUUGGUUACUAUCAACGGCUUGUUGGUAAGUUAAUUUAUUUAACUAUCACAAGACUAGAUAUUACAUUUGUAAUGAGCUUAGCUAGUCAAUUCAUGCAUGCACCUACCAUAGAACACUUCAAUCUCGUUAAGAGAAUACUUCGGUAUCUCAAAGGAUCGAUUGGAAGAGGAAUUCUUAUGAAUAAAAAUGAUAACACUCAAGUUAUUGGUUAUUGUGAUGCUGACUGGGCAGGAAACCAAAUAGAUCGAAAGUCUACCACAAGUUAUUACACGUUUGUGGGAGGAAAUCUAGUAACAUGGAAGAGUAAGAAGCAAAAUAUCAUUGCAAAAUCUAGUGCAGAAGCUGAGUAUAGAUUGAUGGCAUCCACAACAUGUGAAUUAAUAUGGCUUAAAGGUCUUUUGAGUGAUUUGGGGUUCCAAACAAGGCAACCUAUGUCAAUGUACUGUGAUAAUCAAGCUGCAAUGCACAUAGCAUCCAAUCCAGUGUUCCACGAACGAAGAAAACAUAUUGAGGUUGAUGCCACUAUGUCCGUGCUUAGGUGAAAACUCAAGUGAUUGAAACUCUCUACACAAGGAGUGUUGAUCAGUUAGCUGACAUUUUCACCAAACCAUUACCUCCAAAUCAGUUUAAGUGUCUUCUAUCCAGGCUCGAUUCCAUCAACAUUCUGGACCCAGCUUGAGGGGGAGUAAUGAAAGUCAAGAGUGGGUAUUUGGAGCUAUUGGUUAGGUUGAUUCUUAGGGUGUAGUUGUCACCUUACUUCUAGUUAUAUCAUGUAUCUUCUUUCCCAUACUUAUAGGGUGGUUAUAGCUUUUUAGCUUUUUCCCUUGACUUACUUUCUGCUCCUUAUUUUAUGCAGCUGCCGUGUAGGAGUGAUUCAAAGGUGAUCAGUGUGUUGAUUACUCCUUGCCUUAUAUAUCUUGUAUUCUUGUGUUGUUGUUUCCUUAUUAAUCAUAAUACAAACAUACACUUAAACUCAACAAUGAACAAAAACCAAAUAAACUUAAUUAAAUUAAAUAUAGCUAGAAGAAAAAAAUAACACCAAAAAAAAAAAAAAAUGGAGUAGGAGGAAAUUUAGGUACUAUACUACUGAUUUUUAUCGGAGGAGUCGAUAGCAUUGUACUGAUCCCCUCCUUCAAUUUUUUUUUUCUUUAACACCAAAUUAUCGUCUUUCUAUUCUACAAAGUGUACUUUUUUGGUUCAAAAUCUCAUAUAAUUCAAGUUUAUAUACUAUGAAACAACGACAUAAGACCUAAACAAAUAAGUUAAUGACUUCUGCAUUAGACCUCACCUUCAACCGUAGUUCCAAGGAUGGCAAUGCCUUCCUUGGCGCAGUUGGCUGCUUGUGGCAAGUGUGCUUGAUGCUUAAAAAAUUAGGCUACAAAUGAGUCCAUAUUAUACCAUAUAUUUUACCCUAUUCUUAGUUAUAGUUUAUUGGUUAUUUUGGUACAAUUUUGAAACUUUAUUAUAUAUUUUCAAUGUAGGACAUUUGACUUUCUCUGGAGCAAAAAGUGAUCAAACAGAUGAAUUUUGAAGUGAUUUCAAUUGAAGGAUGUUCAUGCCUCUUUAAACAUGAUUAUGUCAAAGUUUCAGAUUUUUCUACCUAGCCGUUUGACCGUGGCGAAAAAAUAAGGACCCAGCGCGCAGCUUUCCCAGAUUGACGUUUCUAGACAUUUUGAGUUUUUUGGAGGUCAAGAUGGCAUAUUUUAAGGAAGAUUUCCUUUGAGGAUUUGUAGGGGACGUCUCAAGCUUUCAAAAGAGACAUUUUUAGACCAAAUCGGAGUUGAUUUGAUCUGUCAAAAGACUAAUUUUCUGAGAAGUCCGAAUUUUAGUUCAAAUAGGAAACCUUUUAUUUUCUGUUUUAUUAUUUUAUUAUGUUUCCUAGUUUUAUUCUAAGACCUUUUAGGGUGUGUUUGUUGAAUCAGACUAUCUCGGACUGGACUAGCUUCAGAGACUAUGUUAGACUGGCUUAGACUAGACUAAGCUGGACUGAUUUAGUGAAGGGUUUGGUGCAGCGGACUAAGAAGCAGGACUGCAAUAUUAUAUUAUUUUAUAUUAAAUUAAUAUUUUACUAUUACUUUAUCUUUUUCCUUUUUUAUUUUUUUUAUUUUAUAGAAUCCUCUUCUUUUUACUUAUACAAUCUUUGUAACCAUUUUUCACCCCACCUCUCCAUCCCAUCAAACCUCUCUUCCUUCUCCCUCUACCUCUUUUCCCGUCAAACCCCACCUUUGCUUCUCUUGAAUAACAAAACAUAAGGCCCAAAAUUUACAAGUUUCUCACAUAUCACAAAAUUCAAAUACCAAAUUUCACAACUUUCUACUAAAUUUCACAAGUUUCUCAGCUUCUUCCCCACCACCGAAGAAAACCCCAACUGGUACUUUGGUACGCUUUCAGUCCUGACUUGCAUCUGGGUCGCGCACGAAUGCGGAGAUCGAUGGCGAGCUUCUGGUGAUGGUCGUCUGGUGGUUGCAACCAUGAUGAUUAUGCUGAGAAAGAGAGUGAAUUGAACGAAGAAGAAAGGAAGGGAAUCAGUGGAUUGUUUUUCAGUUUUUGUUUGAGGUAUGGGUGUAGGCUUUUGGGUGGGAUAGUGAAGGCCCAAGGGAGUGGGUGAAGGUGCGAAUAAGAAGGGAGAGGGCGAAGGAGAAAGGAGACGACGAGGGAUCAGCGGCGGGGGAAAGAACGAGACUAGUAGUCCACUUGAAAUUGAGGGGUCUCCUUAAGAACGUUUAGUGAAACGUUUAGUCGGGAUGAGUCCCCUUUAGUCCCAUUAAACCUAAUCCUUGUCCAGACCAAACAAGGGACUACAGUCUAGUCUAGUCUAGUCCCCCUUAAUCCGGUCAAACAAACACCCCUUAGGGUUUUAUUUUGUAGUAGUAUAAAUAAGGCUAUUUAGCCAUUAGAGGGGAAGAGGCAUCAAUUUAGAGAACUUAUCUAGGCUUUGACGAUUUGUAUUUCGAGGUGUUUUCUAUCUUUUUUUUUAUUUCAAUAAAACUCCUUUGUUUAUAGUUGUUUGUAACUAAUUUCCGUUUGCUAGGGCGAAGCCAUGAGCCUUAGCAUGAAUAUGUGAUUUUAUUAAUUUGCUUAUGAACGGAUGCAUGCUUGCUUUGAAUUAUUAAUCACUGUGAUUAAACUAUCUAAUUGUCUUAGUGAUUCGCGACCAUUAGGGUUUUUAGACAAGUAAUUUGAUGCAAUUUCUGUUGGAACAUCACCUUGAAAUUGAAGAGGGCUUCUUGUAAUUAGUAAUUGUAAGUUCACUUAAGGCGAACAUCACGCUCUUAAGGGUCGCAUGGUUUUAAAAGGGUUUUCACAAAGCUUAAUGAGUCUUGCAUGUUUAUAUUUAAUCUGAACAUCACAUAUGGGUUGCAUGUUAGAUAUACGUUUUCGCUUGAACAUCACAAGGAAAAUAUGUAUUAGGAAAACCUAACCUUCAAAGCAUGUAUAUAAAAAUUCAUAAGUAAUUGAUAAAAUUGCAUAUGAUUGUUAAAGGGAUGGUGGAACCCUAGGCUUUUACAAUUUGGUUUUCAAAACGUUUUUCUUUAUUUUCUUUACGUUGCUAAUUUCUUUAACCUUUUUAAUUAAAUUCGUUUUUAUUAUUUUUAAAUUCAAAAUCAACCUUUUCCAAUCUUUGUUUUCAAAUAAUUAAUUAAGAUUUGGUAUUUACAUAAAUUAGUCAUUCAAUCCUUGUAGAAAACGACCUUGCUUAAGCUGCUACUAUACUACGACAACCUUGUACUCUUGCAAGUAUUUUUAAGUGUUUUUAUCCUUACUUUUGUAGGUAGUAAAAAUUCAUAUCAAGAAAUUGGCACCGUUGCAGGGGAUUGUUUUAAAUAAUUUGUGUUUAUUAUAUUCUUAGUUAAUUAUUUUUGUACAUAACUUUUUAUUUACGUUUUGAAUUUAUUUUUAUUUUGGCGGCAGUGAGGCACAUCUGAAUGGCAGCAGUGAGGAAAUAAGAAAGGCGGCCUCCAUUUAUAUUGAAGCUCGUUAGGCCAUCUCCAACCGAUGGCUAGCCAGAUGGCUCGUUUUAGCCCUCUGGCCCUCCAAGAUCCUCUAAGAUAUUAAUAUUUUAAUGAACAGUACAUGACCAUAUUUGCCCCCGUCUCCAACCGAGGGCCAAAGGGCCAGAUGGCUCGUUUUAGCCCUGUCACAAAAAAUCGUCUCCAACCGAGGGCCAAAAGGCCAUAGGGCCAAACAUAAUUUAUUAUUUAAAAACUACAACUUAAAUGUUGUUUAAGUUUUAUGUUGUUAAAUGUUUUUUUUAUGUUGUAGAAUUUUUAUGUUGGUUAAAGUUAUUUAAUGUUGUUUCAUGUUACUUAAUUUAAUUUAAUUUAAUGUUGUAUAAUGGCUUAGGAAGUUAUUGGAAAAAAAAAUAGAAUUUAAAAUAAAAUGAAACAAAUUUUGUUAAAUAGAAGUUAUAGGAAAAAAUGGGAAAAAAAAAUAUGAAACAAAUUUUGUAAAAUAAAAAUUAUAGGAAAAAAAAUAUUAAAAAUAUAAGUUAUAGGAAAAAUUUUGUAAAUAAAAAAUAAUAAUAAAACUGUAAAAAAAAAAAAUUCAAAGCAUUCCUGUCAUUUUUAACCGACAUGAAUACAUUCAUAUUAUUUACUAUAAAUGUAUUACUGUCGAUUAUAACCGACACAUUUAAAAAAAAUUUGGCCAGCCCGGGGUUGGUUGGCUGGCUGGAAGUGGCCAGCCCUCUCCGAUUCCAUAGGGCCCUCUCAGAUUCCACAGCCAUCUGGCCUGGCCCUCGGUUGGAGACGAUUUUCGGACUAUUUUCGAUCAUCUGACCCUCUGGACCCUUCGGUUGAAGAUGGCCUUAGGGUUCCCAUCAGCAUGUGUGGUCCGUGUGAAGAGGCUCAGCAACUUAUGUUGUUCCAGCAGGUUACGGGUUCGAUACAAGCGCGCUACACUUCAGUGCUUUCUUUUUCAUUGUUUUUCCAGGGCCUCUGUUUCUUGCACCAUGUCGUCACUUCGAAUCCUCCCCAGGUGCAUUCAUUUCCUUCUUUUUGUUUUAUUUUCUGUUUUGUUUAAUUUCUUUCCUUUUUGUUUUUUUGUUUUUUGUUUUUAAUUGUCUUUUAUUGUCCGUUUCUUUCAUAAUAUUAGCUAUUGUUUAUAUUUAUUUUUCUUUUUAUCGGCCUAAUUUGUUUUGGUUUAUUUUUAUUUUAUUUUUCACACCUUGAGGACAAAGUGUCAUUUAAGUUUGGUGGUGGGAAAUAAGAAUUUUUAGGUUUUUAAUGUUUGAAGUGGGGGCAUUUGUAGACAUGUAAAUUUCAUUGUAUACAAAAGGUGCAUCACAAAACUCAACGUGACAUAUGACCCAUCACAAAUGGAUAAGUCAUCAAAGACAUAUGGCACAAAUCAAGCAAAGGAAGUACAAAACCAUCCCAAAAGUUGGCAAAAGGAAGAAAUCUUCUUAAAAUCGGCAAGGGGCCCAAAUAGCUCCCAAAACCGGAAAGAAAGCUAAGGGCUUGUUUGAUAUUUGAUUUGGAUCCAAUGUUUUUAACUCAAAAACAAGUUUUGAGUCACAAAUUUAAAAUCUUUGUUUGGUAGUGGAUUUGAAUACAAUUCUCAAAACCAUAACUAAAAAAUAUUUAAAAACAAGGGCUAUUGGAUGAAAACACAAAAAGUGUGUAUUUAGACUUUUUAUUUUAUGGAUUAUCACUCCCGUCUCUCUCUCCCUUUCUUUCCUCUAUCCCAUUCGAUGUACUCCCUUCCCUAUUCCCUUUUCAAUCCUCUUUUCUCUGUUGCCUUUCCAAUCCCUUCUCACUUAUAUCCACCAUUGCCACCACCUCUAUCCUUCUCCCUCCGGCCAAGACAAAUCAAUCUCUCUCACCUCUUCAGUCCUCUCUUCUUUAUUGCCUCUUCAAUCUUAUCUCUUCUCACUUGCAUCCACCAUAGCCACCACCAUAGCACCAUAGCCACCACAUCUUCCCUAUGGUCGUUGGAUCUUAGGUUUGAGACCGCCAACAUGAUUAGCCUCUGUCAGCGCGAGUUUGGAGUAAGGAGUUGGUAAAUAGCCAAAGGAGUCACCACUAGGGAAGUGAGGGAUGCGGUGGUUGGGAAAUUGGUCUUUUGCCGCUAGGGAUGGGAGGGAGGCGGUGGUCAGGUAAUUGCUUGGGUUGGGCGUUUGACUUUUUCUGUUUGGAUUAGUUUUGAGAAAAUGCAUACCAAAAAAGGUUUUGAAUUUUAAAUUUUUAAAUCAAAACGUGUUUUUAGAAAAAAAAAUAAAUUUUUGAGUUUUGUUCUCAAGUUAGAUAUCAAACAGGCCCUAAAUCGUCUUCAUAAAACAAGCAAGAAUUGAAGAUUGCUCACAAAAUAGGCAAGAAAGCCCUAUAAUUCGGCCAAGCAAGGGAAAAUGGCUGAAGUUAAGAUACAAAACAUGCCUAAAUUCUCCCAUGGACGAAUCAAGACACAAAUCAAAGCCAAAUCCACCCAAAGGCAUGACUUUGGAAGUCUAUAAGUACAAGGUCCCAAGACAAGCAUAAGGUUGACAAUUUCUACAUUGAAGGGCCGAAAUUCUCACAAAAGGAGAAUCUCUGCCAAAUCUUUGAAGACUAAUACACUGCCAAACUUCUCUUAGAAGAAUGCACAACCAAAGCCAAAGCUUUCUUUCGACCAAAACCAAAGCAUUCCCUUGAAGAAUCAACAAGCACCUGUGCCGAUUCCUUCAAGACUUUGUUGAAAGAUCAAAACUUGUAACAACAUUUGUUUCAAGAUUAAGUCUCCAAUACCCUUGAAUCAACGAAAUCCUACAUCAACACCACCUUUGCCGCUGCCCUAAACCUGAGGUGAAGACUAUCCACGCAUCGUUUCAAGCUCAAAAUUUGAAGCAAUUGUUUUAUCGUUCAUUCGAGAUCAAGUCAUCUCGACCUUUGGAUCAACAAUCUAUGCAUCUACAUCAAAUUUGAAGACUGUAUCAGAGGAAAAUUGUAAACAGAUAUUGUAACCCUACAAAUUCAUCAAUACAAAUCUACUUUGUACAUGUGUUCUCGUUUCAUUCAUUACAGAAUUUUCGUGUUUACAAAUUUGGCACGCCUGUUGGGACUUCUUUGCUUCUCAUCUAUGUUUUUAAAUCCACAAGAAACACACAUGGCAUCAAGAAAGGAUCAAGCUGUUCCCGCAAUCAAUGUGAAGAACAAGAACAUCAUUACCGUAAGUGGAGGCACUUUGGGUGUUACAACCGAAACAAGGCAAGAGCUUUCUCUGCCGUGCCUUCCACCCCUACAUCAACUCUGCCAAAUGAGCAAGAGCACCCGAGUCACGAGCACGUGAUCACCCUCCCCUCGCUAAGAGCACCAAGGGAAGAAAACCCGAUAAGGUAUUCCGAGUUGUUGACUUCUGAUGCUGACUCAAGCAUCAGCUUGUAUCCUGUAGCUAUGCAAGUUAUGACUAUUGGUGCGACGUCCAUUAAGGAGCAAUUGGCCCAAAUGAACGAAGCAAUUGCAAAGCUGACAAAGACAGUGAAGGAAAAUGACUUACAGAUUGCUACACUUGUCAACCGUCUAGAGACGCAGCACGAUGAGAAAGCUGACCCAAAGGUUGAUUUGCCAAAUGAGGAAACUGACAAGAAAGAGAAGCCUCUGGUAGAGAAAGCUGAGGAUAAGCUAGAGGUGAACCGAGCUACGAUGCUCAGGGGAUUUCUCUCUAUCCAACGGUUGCAAAAGAUGAUCAUGAGCACAAUCAAUGCGUAGUACGAAGGAAGCUUACAUGACUUAGUGCUGUAUUCAAAGCCGUACUCUAAGAAGAUUGACACCUUGAGGAUGCUAAGGGGUUAUCAGCCGCCAAAAUUCAUGCAAUUCGAUGGGAAAGGCAAUCCCAAACAACAUAUUGCCCAUUUUAUCGAAACUUGCAACAACACUGGGACGUAGGGAGACUACCUCUUCAAGCAAUUCGUGCACUUGCUGAAAGGUAAUGCCUUUACUGGUACACCGACUUUGAGCUCGAGUCUAUCAAUAGCUGGGACCAGCUUGAAAUGGAAUUCCUCAAUCCAUUCUACAACACUCGCCACACCGUAAACAUGCUGGAGUUGAUGAGUAUGAAACAGUGGAAGGAUGAACCUGUUUCGUUGACUACAUCAAUAAGUGGCGUUCAUUAAAUUUGGAUUGCAAAGAUCGGCGUUUUGAAACCUCUGCCAUUGAGAUGUGUGUUUAAGGCAUGCAUUGGGGGUUACAUUACAUCCUCCAAGGCAUAAAAUCGAGAACAUUUAAGGAGAUGGCAACUUGCUCCCAUGACAUGGAGCUGAGUAUUGCCAAUUAUGGGAAGAAGGAGCUGAUCACCGGCUUAAAAAAGGAUAAGGUGUUUGCCUCAAAGGUAGACAAAACUGGGAAGAAGCUCGCCAAUGAAGCUUUUACCAUCAAUACUACCCUUAUCAAGACCUCAUCUACACCCGUCAAGAUCUCCUCUAAGAACAAAAUGAAUGAGAUAAAGAGAAGGGAGCCUUCUCGCACCCAAGACAGGUACAAAGACACCUUGAGGGAGCUGGAGCAGAAGACGUACCCUUUUCCUGACUCUGAUGUGGCUGCAAUGUUAGACGACUUGCUAGAAAAGAAGGUGAUUGAGCUACCCGAAUGCAAGCGCCCUGAAGAGAUGAAUCGCGUUAACUAUCUUAGGUACUGCAAAUACCAUCAUAUCGUGAGUCAUCCUAUUGGCAACUGCUUCGUUCUCAAGGAGCUCAUCAUAAAGCUGGCAUAACAAGGCCAAAUCAAACUCGACCUGGAAGACACGACCGCAACGUACACUACUACGAUCAUGUUUGGAUCAUUCGAUCCCGUACCUCUCUAAAUAACGCAUGACCACUCCCGUCAAUGCUCAAGCCACAUUGCACGUUCUGCAUAACCAUCGCUGGGGGUAAGUGACCAAAAUGCACUUACCGACGAUGAAGAAUGAUGGACAUUGGUGACCUACAAAAAUAUAAGGAAGCCAAGACCACAAGCCACACGGACAAAUGUGGAACAAGGGAGAAAGCAUCGCUGCCGCAACAAUAGAAAACCCAAAAGAGACGUCAGAGAUGUUAAGCCAACGUACGCUGGGGAACCUAUGGAACAAGAACCACACAUUCCCAUUUCCUUACACGAGUACUUCUCGAAUGACUUCUUCCAACAAUGCAUUACCGUUGCUUGUCACAUGGUUGAAAUAGAGAUAGAAGAGCCCUUAAAAGGUAAAGCUAUUGUCAUCAAGGAAGGGAAGACCCUCACACCUAAAGAAGGCCUGCCGGCACACUUUAGCAUCGAGGAGGCGCUGCAAUUUCCCAAUGAGAUGCGAAGAGCAUUAGUAGCGGUCUUGGUGAGUCUUGACGCAAACAAGGACGAAGGCUUGAAGCUUUGGCCACAUGAAUAUGCCACGUGUUGUGCUGCCCAUGAUGCAAUCAACUUCACUGACGAAGACUUGUUGCUGGGAUCAAAGCCUUACAACUAUUCUUUCUUUGUCUUUGGGUACGUAAAGGAGCACAAAGUCAACCGCAUACUUGUGGAUAAUGGAGCGGCCAUAAACAUCAUGGCAAAGUCAACAAUGACCAUAAUCAACAUCAAGGUGGAUGAACUAUCUCGAAGUUGCCUCCUAAUCCAAGGUUUUAACUAAGGAAGAUAAAGAGGGAUGGGCAUGAUUUGAGUGGAGAUGACCAUUGGCGAACUUAAAUAAAACACGAUAUUCCACGUGAUUGAUGCAAGAACUUCCAACAGCUUGCUAUUAGGAAGGCCUUGGAUCUACGAGAAUGAAGUGGUGCCGUCCACUCUUCAUCAAUGCUUAAAGUAGAGAGAGAAAAGAUGAUACAAGGCGACACUAAGCCUUUCACCGAAUCCAAAUCACACUUCACGGACGCCAAGUUCUACAUGGAUAAAGACAUGGUGCACGAAGCUUUUCCAAAAGAAAUCAAAUCCAUAGGCAAAGCCACACCUAAGAAAUAAGAGUGGCAAGCCGUGCCCAAGAAACAAGAAGGGAAACUGUGCCAUUUUCAAGCAAAGACGAUGAUGAGCAUGUAAAGCCCUUAACAACCAAGAGAGUGUGACGCCUUCAAAAGGACCAAACACACUCGUCUUUCGAUACAUCCUAGUAUUAAGAAGAAAGAAUAUCUAAUCCCCGUUCGAAACUGGAACAAGAAAAGCUGACACACAAUUGCACGAAGGCUAUGUAAAGCUGCAUAAGACAAAUGCAGUUUUACCUCUAACACAGCUAGGCGACACUAAAAAUUCAAAACCACCACAAGGUUUCUUAAAACCCUUGCUAAAGGGGACAGAACCAAGCUCUCUUCGAACCAAAAGGAUCGAAGAAUGUUUCGACCCAAACACCUACAAAGUCCUGUCAAAGGCUGGGUACGAUUUCACCUCAUCUUCAAAUCUUGGAAAGAAGAAUAACAACAAAGAACAUGACCUCAGCGAGACUAAAAAGAAGUUGAAUGAGCAUGGUUACGGGAGUUGACAACAACAAAGCUGGACUUGGCUUUACACCAAAUACACCUGUGAAGAUUUCAAGCGUUGAACAAAAUCAAGAUGAGCGUAAACCCGCCCCUCGAACGUCAGUCUUCGAUAGGCUGAAUUGUUCAAAACCCAGAAUCUCGACACUUGAUCUCAUUGGUGGUCAAGACCAAUCUCCAUUUUCAAAAGGCUUAACACGCUAACACCCUAAAGCUCUGUUUUCAAAAGGUUGUUAAAACCCAAAAAACAAAGCAACACGGCUAGCUCUCCUCCAUGACGGUCGGCUAUGGAAAGACUUGAAAAAACCAAUAAGCCUUCUAGGAAGAAGAAGAUAACGCCAAAGGAAGAAAAACGUGACGUCUAUCAGAAAAAGACGACUUUCGAAGCCUAAUUCCUUCAAGGAUGAAAAGCCAAGCAACCUUGGAAGUUGGCAUAAAAAGAUAACUGAAGGUAAAGAAGCGCACCAUUAUCUACACUGGCUAAUCUUCACGCCAACAUGCCCAAUAGGACAACACUGAAAAUGAGGUCCAAGACGUCUUCCAUAUCACAAUCUAAGAAGACAAAGAAGACGAAAUCCUCGAGGAAGACAUCACUGUUGCACCACCACAACUUGAGGAUGGGGGCAAGUCGCAGUCAAUGACCUCAAAGAGCUCAACUUGGCCACAAACGAGGAGCCAAAACCUAUGUUCAUAAGUGCACUAGCUGCAACAUGCUACUUCUCCAAGUGGGCUAAAGCCGUACCACCAAAGGAAGUUAAGAAGGAAACUGUUGUUCAUUUCAUCAAAGAGCAUAUCAUCUACUGAUAUGGUGUGCCUCGCUACAUCAUCACUGACAAUGGAAAACAGUUCUCCAACCGACUCAUGGACGAGCUCUGCAAAAAAUACAAGUUUAAGCAGCACAAGUCUUUUAUGUGUCAUGCUCCAGCCAACGGUCUUGUAGAAGCAUUCAACAAAAUGUUGUGCAACCUCUUGAAGAAGGUAAUUGGUCGAACAAAGAAAGGCUGGCACAAAAGAAUAAGCGAAGGACUUUGGGCAUAUAGGAUGACACACAUGACUCCUACCCAAGCUAUGCCUUAUUCUCUUGCAUAUGGCGUGGAAGUUGUUAUGCCGCUCGAAAGUCAAAUCCUUUCACUAAGGAUUACUAUAUAAAAAGGCUUGACUGAAAAGGAAAAUACAAAGCUACGACUUCAAGAGUUGGAAGCACUCGAUGAAAGAAGGCUCGAAGCUCAACAACACUUAGACUGUUACCAAGCACGGCUAUCCAAGGCAUUCAACAAGAAAGUUUGCCCAAGGUCUUUCCAAACUGGAGAUCUUGUCUUGGCAUUACGAAAGCCUAUCAUCACAACUCACAAAACAAAAUGCAAGUUCACAUCAAAGUAGGAUGGACCUUACGUAAGACAAUAGGUCUACACCAACGAUGCCUACUUAAUCAUGGCUGAAGACGGCUUAAAAAUUUGCCCCCAUCAACGAUAGGUUUUUAAAGCGAUAUUACCCCUAAACCAAACUCAAUGCUCUUCAUUUGCACGAACCUAAGCUGCACAUGGAAACAAUGCUCCUCGCCUGCAUGAGCCUAAACUGCACACGGCACAAUGCUCCUCACUUGCAUGAGCCUAAAAUGCACACGGCACAACACUUCUUAUUCGCACAAGCUUAAAAGGUGACACACAACGCUUCUGGUUCGCAUGAGCUUAAAAGGUGACAUACAAUGCUCCUUGUUUGCACGAGCUAAAAAGGCAACACCCAAUGCUCCGGGCCUGCAAAAGCAUAAACUGUGAAUGGCAAAAUCAAAAAUCAAAAUCAUCAUCAAAAUCUCCACCAAAACCGUAAAAAAACAAUCUAUCACUCAUUUGAACCACGUCAUGACUUGAUCCCUCCUCAACCAAGGAUACGUAGGCAACUUGAAAUUUCAAAACUUCAAGUAUAGUCACAUCAUCAAAAAAAACAAAAACACUUUGAAGAAUAAAGAGCAAAUUCAAAAUGUGAAUACUUUAUUUCUUUAAAGGAAGAAUUUGGCUACAAAGCCUUAGCCUUGGUUUGGUACUGAGGUGCUUCUGAAAAAAGUAGGUAUAAAAAAAAGCUCCCAACUUUUUUUAUGUUUGGUAAACAUUCAACAUUAGCUUUUUUUCACAGGUUUGGGUGAAAAAAAGCGAAAAACACAAAGAUGCAAAACCCAUCUUUGAAAAACUAGCUUUUUUUGCUUGCCUAGCUUCUGCGCAAGCCGAUUUCGCAAGAGGUGCUGAGGCUUUUAAUGAAAUUUUCCAAUACCCAAAAUGGCCUUUAGCAAUUAAAUAAAUUAUACAUUAUAAUCGUCGACUUCGUUGUCGACCUUGCCACGUCUCUCUUCCAUCAUCUUCGACUCUGAGCUUUUUCGGAUUUCUGGGACAAGAGCGGCGAAAGGUUCAUCUGAUUUCUGGGUUUUGUCGAAAUUUGGGGCCUCUUCGUCGAAUUUCUGGGCUUUGUCAAAAUCUGGGUUGCAUAAAGAAUGCUAGAUUUGCACCCUUUUGCUUGACACCCAAAAUCUCAAUGGGAAAGCCUCGAUGCCUUCACCUCUAACAUCGACGGUAAGUCCUGAAAUCGGAGUUGAAUCGGUUGAUGAGACCCAACCUUCCUUUCCCGACGACCUAGCCUUCCUUAGGAUUAGGUAGAGAGAGACAGAGAGAGAGGGAGUGAGCGGCGGAAGAUAGAAUAUACAAAGGUUCUACAAAAAUAAAAUAAGGACAAGGUAUAGAAUAAACGACUCUUAGAGAAAAGAAUAGAAUAAAAAAAAUUAUAAAUAUCUUAAUAAAAAAGGUAAAAGUACAUUCUUCGAAGCUCACAACUGUUUAUAAAUAGUUUAUAUAAAUCUUAUAAAUGUCAUAAUAAAAGAAACGAUAAAAAAUUUAUUAUGUAAUAUUCAACAUCAUAAAUUUUUUAGUCAUUUUACAUAGUUGCAACGGUUUUACAUAAAGAUUUACCAAACACUUUAACAUUGCUUUUUUUUUUCUUCUCUAAAAGCACUUUUACAAAAAAAGUUUACCAAAAACUCUACUGCUUUAUUUCAAACUGUUUAUUUUCACAGCACAACAUAAGUUGUUGUUGUUUUUUUUUUUAGAGCACAGCAAUACCAAACCAGCCCUUAUUACAAAAAAGAGCAAUAACAAAGAAGGCUUAAAGUACAAAAAAUGGAAGACACUACUUGAAAGCUACGUCCCUAAAACUACGAUGACGAUCUUCAAGCAAGCCUUCAAAAGUCUUCAAAGUCUCUACAUCGGUAGGAUAUAAGGUGGGCACUUCCAUGGCCGCACCUUUCUCUUGCUCUAGGCGUAAAAUCUCAUCUUGAUUAUGAGAAAAGGUAGCUUCCUGCUCCGAGAGAACACCUUGAAGUCGUGAUGCUUCGAUUUCCAACUACUCUUGCUCUCGCCCAAACGCUUAUAAACGCGCUUGGAUGGAAGCUAAAAAAGUCUCUAUGGCUUGAUAACCUUCCCAAGUAGCUUGCUGAGAAGACCAAACUUGGGCAAUUGAUAAGUUUAUUGUUGCAAGAUGCUGAGCUUUAACCUUUGGAUUCAACUUCUUCAAGGAAACAACAUGCAAAGAAGAAUACUCAAUUGAGGCGACCAUAAGUUCGGAAAUCUUGACUCUUAAGAGCGAGGAAUCAAUGUUAAGGUUGUCAAUCGUAGAAACAAGCUUUGACAAGUACUCUUUGAGCAAUGUAAGGUCCUCUAAUGGGUACUUUGAAAUCUUCUUCUCAAUAUGGCUCUUGAUAUUGAUGGCCGCGUGAAGGUUAAUGCAAUGGAUAAGCUGCUGAGUGCCACUAAGGUUCGGCCCUCUAAGUGAGAUCUCGGAGCUAGCUGGCAAAGGUGUUGGACGCAUGAUGGGCUAUUGCAUACCUACACCUACGUAUAGCAAACUAGGGCAACUUGGCGGAUUUGGAACAAGCUCUGCACCAGGAGAAUCCUUAAUCUCCUCGUUUAGAGGUAGAUUGCCUCCAAAUAAUAUCGUCGUAAAGGAAUGAAUGCCCGCGUUCGCCAAAUCAAAAGAACAAGAAGACCCAGCCAAAAGAAGACAAAGAAAGGUGUUAGAAACAAAAGCUAAACCAAUGAAAGCAGAAGAAAUCAUAAGAAAGAAGGAAAUACAUACAUAUUUCUUAUGUGACACACGUUCAUCAAACUAAGGAGGCCUAAACACUUUCUUCUUCUUAUGAUGGAAAUUAAUGUCACUGUCAUUUAGAGCACCUUUAUACGGUCGCUUGUUCAAAACUUGUGGACGUUGUCACAAAACAAGUUCAUCCUCGUGUGAAUCAACUUCAUCACCCACCUCUUUAGAAGCAUCCAAAUGUUGAGAAGACAAGCACGGGCGUUGAGGAGCUAAAGCCAUAGGUCUAUCUUGCAAAAGAGCUGCACUCGGCGCAUCAUUAUGUGAAUGAGAAGAAUUAGUGUCACUUGUCGCCCCCAAGUCUUUAUGAUAUACCUUUGACCACCAGCCUAUAUAGGCAUAGGUCACUGGAUUACUCGUGAACUUGUCUUUGGCUAACAGGGUGAUAGAAGCAUUUGUACAUGCACGAGUGCAAGACUCCUAAUGUAUAUACACGGCUUGGAAGGAUUCUGAUUGUGCGUUUUCCUUCAGCUUGCCUGGCAUAUGCUGGACAAAGUAAUGUGAUAUAAACUAGCACACAAAUUAAACCCUCUUAUUGACAAUUGUAGUAAAGAUGUAAGUAUGGAUCGUUCUAGGCCAGGGAUUAGGAGGGAUUGCUAAUCUACUUAAAACUGACUCAAAAACACAAAACUAGGUUUGAAAACACUUAACUAGACUCAAAGAACUUGAAACAAACUAAAGAGACUCAAAAUAGCACAAAAUAAUCAAAUAGACUCCAACUAGACAAUAAAGGGUGAUUUGGACAAAAAAUGAUUUUAACUUAACUCAAAACACUUAAAAACACAAGUUUGGACAUAUUCUAACUAAUUUGACACGACAAAGUAAAGGGGAUUGGGUUUUUGACAAAUUUAAAGUAAAGACAAGUAGAUUAAAGACUUAAACAAAUUUGCACGAAAUUGGGGGGAAAAUAUGGGUGAUUGGCUAGCUAGAGGGUCCUUCUCUACACAUGACACACUUGCAUACAAAUCGAUUUCCAGUUGCUUUUCCAAUAAACCAUAAACCUCAACGCCCCAGAUUAACCGUGAACAGCACUAAUUAACCUUCAAAUUUUCCUUAAGUCAUUGAAUUGGAUGGAUAACACAUCGGCAACAAAAUUAUUCUUCAAUAGUUCCCUACAUGAGCAGCAUAAUAGAGAUACAAUAAAAUAUCAUUAAGCUUUGUGAAAAUCAUAAGCAUUGACAAGGAAUUUACUUAACACGAUUGUGACUAGCAACCUCCACUACUUACGAAUAUAAGUUCAUAACAAUUAGGUGAAACUCCCUUAUAUUCUAGCAUCAAAUUCAUGCAUGCAAACUAAGUAUGCAUCCUUAAUCAACAAACAAUAAUAAGUUCCGAAUCAAACAGUUAAGUAAAUUGCAUUCAUGAUUUAUGAAAUCACAACUGGAAGUAAUCAAUUUAUAUUGCAAAUAUGUUCAUGGCUUUGAAUUCUCCUUUAGCUAAAACGAGUUUAGCUCCUCAUAUUCGCAAAACAAAGAUAACUUAAAUUAAACAUCGAAAACAAAAGAUGGAUUACACCUAAGAAUGUUCCAGCAAUCCAAGCUUGGAUGGCAAACACGUCCAAGGGUCUUCAUUCUUCUUCUUUGCAGCGGCACAAGGUAUGGGUGAAUGGUUCUGUGAAUUGGAUGAUUGGUGUAUGGUGAAUGGGUGAUGACAGAUGGGGUUGUGAAUUUGGAAUGGUGUGUGUUGUGUUCAAGAGAAUUCUCAAAUGGUGCGGCAAAACCUUUUAUUUAAAGAGAAAGGGAAUCACAACACAAUUAAUUUUGGAGAAGGAUUAGAACUCCAGAUCCAUAAGGAAAAAGGGUAAUUAAAUGUCAGAAUCCAUGAAGAAAGGGAAUGUGGGGUGUGGCACAAAUUGAGAAAAGGAGAAAGAAGAUAUGUGGCAGAUUUUGGAAGAAAGGGUAAGGAGAUAUGCGGCAAGGACUAGGAGAAAAGGGGAAAGUCAUACAAGGCAAGGAAAAAGGGUAAGAAAGGUGCGGCACAGAUCAGGAAUGAGAUUAGGUCUUCUAGAAUCAUUUAUUUAGUGUCCUAAAAUAAUUAGAGAUCCUCCUUGCAGUUGGAAAUUAGGUGGUGUAGGAUUAGGAAAGGAUUAGGACAAAAUAAGGUAACUUGGCUAACAUUCCUUCUUUAUUGCUGGGCUCUUUGAUUUCUUUUGUCUUGAAUUUAUUUCCUUUAUUUCUUUGCUCAUUCUUAGCCUCCUUUGAUCUUCAAAUUCGUCCAUCCACCUUGCUCCAAGCAUGUGCUAUCCAUUCUAAGCCCAAAACUGCUCCAAAAUGCUUCAAAUUGCACUUUCUUGCUACUUUAACCCUUUAGACCUACAAACACACGAAAAUAGCUUAAAAUAUUAAAAUAACUAGGACCUAACAACAUAAAUGCAAGAAAACAAGCUAACUAAGUCGCAUAAAUAUGCUCCUAUCACAAAGCCAAACUGCCUGCUAAAACGAUGAGGACUAUACGACUAAACAAUACAUCAGUCUCAUUGCCGCAAAGAAACAUACCUUGAGUGAAGACUUGUGAAAUAAGACAAGUCUGAGAAACAAAGGUGUGAAUCAUCUAUGAGGCCUCGCCGUGCCGAGCCACCUCUCGCAAGAUGGUCCAUCCUCAAACCGUCACAGCUUCUAAACAACGUUUGUGCCUGCAAAUCAUCAAGGCUCUUUGUAGAAAACACGCCAGAGUACCUUGUCAUCAAAGGCCCCAGCUUGAUUAAAGAUGAUGAAGAAAGCCCCGACUUGUCUAAACUUGACGAAGAAAAAUGAAUGCCAAAGUACUCAGCCAACCAACCAUACAUAUAGUGGUAGGGAAGUACCGCAACACGAUCUUCAGUGUUCCCAGAGUCCGAAACAACACUCAAGCCAUCAUAAGUAUUGGCUAAGACUAGAAUAGCACGGCUAAAAGAUUCACCUGUAGCCAUCUUGCUAGCCAUUUUGAAGAUUCUAGGGCGGAUAAAGUUAACGUCGGCUUUGGGAAAAACAAACUUACAAAGCCAAUAAGCUAAGAAAACGGCUAGGUAAGAUUCUUCCAUGUGUUCUAAUGCUACGCCAAGAUCCUCAAACGCUUUCAACUCAGCAGGGGCACAACACUUAGCCAAACCAAUGGCACCUGAUGGGUCUGAGUCUCCCUCUGGCUUAGUGGUCUUUUUACGACCACUUUUCUUCGAAAGCUUUUUGUACUUCAUGGCAUCCUAAUACCAAAAUCGGAUCCAUGAAGAAAUAUUCACAUCUGGUUUACCCUGAGUCUCAUAAGAAAGCUUGUGAUAUGCCCAAAACAAAUAGCGGUAACUUCCAAGUAAUCCUCGACUAUUGCGAUGAUAAAUUUUCUCCAUGUUAAGAACAACCUCGUCGUAAAACUUACCCUGGAUUGGCAAGCCUCCUAUAUUGUGGAGAUCCCAAAGUGAAAUCGACAUCUCCCCUUGUGAUGUGUGAAGUGUGUUGGUCACUGAACACCAAUGCUCAAUGAAUGCACGAAUGACAGAAGGAUGUCGAUCAUAACUAAACAAAGAUGCAUAUACGGCAUGAUAAAGGCCCACGUUAGUAACCACUUCUUUGGAUCGGCUCAAGACAUCUUCAAGCCAUUCCCAAUAAAACUCAACAAAGAUGGCUUCUCCAGUAGUCGACAAAGUGCUAUUCCAAGUCACAACUCUGCUAAGGAUGUGAUCACCAAGAAGCUCAAACGAAGCCGGUGAGUUAUCACGAACAUGGUGCAAAGGAUUCAAGAUAAGAAUCCUCGAUGUACAUGCAUUUUUCUUCGUAUUUAGUCGACCAAAAUCUAUCACCUCCCAAAAUACUUCAGAAGACCACGACUUGAUAUGCAUCAAGUUAUAUUUCACAGGAAGAACAAGCGCUUUUGGGUCAGUCAACUGCGCACAAAGCUUCAACGUCGUUCCCCUAACUUGCGAAUCACCUUCCUUCACAAGAAUGGUGAUGGUAUUGCUCUUAAAGCACUUGAAAAAUACCAUGGCUGCAACAAAACAAACAAGGCAACAUAAGCAUAUGAGUGGGGCGGCAAGAAAAAAAAAUUGCUUAAUUAAAGCAAAAGACAUGCGAGACGAACCUUGUGAAUGUUGAAAGAUGACGAUGACAAAGUCACAACAACGAAAAGAAAUCAACCACAAAGCUUGAGAAGCACGGCAAAAAAGGUAGCUACAAGACGGUCCUUCAAAGCACGCUACAUUAACAAAAAAAAUCAAAAUGCUACGUAAUCGCACUACGUAACCCCGCAGUAAUUACGCAAGUAGUUUCUUGCACUGCACAACAACAUCACCAUCGAAGGAAAACUAUGACCAAAAUGCACUAUACAACGUAACAUCGCUGCAGUCUUUUGCACAACACUGCAAGAAGCACCAAAUAACGAAACUCACGGCACCAACCAGCAGCAAGCACAGUGGCAGUGCACAGCAAAGUUUGUUGUGGCAAAAACACACACCCAAUUGUCUUAUAAAUAAGGGUCAAUUGCUUCAUAAUGCUAUAAGGAAAAUACAUACUGUUGAUGCACAAAACGGAAGGUCUUGGAACAACGUAAAUCCGACCGUGAAUCAUGCAAACGCCCAAGAACACAAGGAUGUAUCGUGGUUCACCCCAAUGUUUGGGCUACGUCCACACUGAUGUUGAUUGUAUUCCUCUGUAACUGUAUGUAUGAAUUACAAAGUGUUAUUGUGUUUGUGAGGGUAUUGCCCUCUUUUGGGUUCACAUAGUCUAAUUUGUGAGGGGGGAUGAGUCCCUUUUUAUAGAAUAAGGGGCUCCUCCUUUUACAUAAUUAUGGGCUGGGUAAUGAGGCCCAAAUGUUGAGGCCCAAUAUGUGUGGUUCCAACACAUACCAAAUAGCGAAAGGAAAAUCAAAAGAAGGAAGUACAUUCCAACCAAAAGAAGGAAGAAAAUUUCAAGCAAAAAAGGCAAUGUAAUUUCGGCACUAAGGAAAAAAAAAGCAUGGUGUUUUUGCACCAAAAAUCAACAAAGAAAGGAAAAUGAAACAAAAAAAAAGAAAAGGAUAGGGCUUUAAAAUUUCCAAAACAUCAAGGGAAAGUACCAUUCCUUGCCAAAAUACAAAAGGGAAUCCCUCCAAGGCAAGGACAACUCUUCAAGUUUCCCAAACCAAGAGGGAAAACACCCAUUGGCCGACAAAAAAAGAAGAAAGGGAAAGAAAAAAAUGCAAAUCCUACUUACCCAAGGACAAGCAUUAAAUCGUUCCAAAACCUUGAAGGAAAUCACCAAAGCUUCCCAACACUUCGAAGGAAAUUAUCCUCAUUACCAAAAUUGAAGGAGGUUCCUACCUAAGGAAGGAAGAACAUUUUUUUUUUCCUACAACCACAAAGAAAAAAAAUUAAAAAUACACCAAAUGUAUUUUGUCAAAAUUAUGGAAAAUCAAUACGCACAAUAAGCAUGUGCCGAUUUAUCCAUUUCCAAAAUUUCUUUCAAGAUCAAGCCUCUACGGCCCUUGAAGAAAAAUUUCAUUUUCUUUCAAGAUUAAGCCUCUACAGUCGUUGAAGAGAAAUUUCAUUUUCUUUCAAGAUCAAGCCUCCAUGGCCCUUCAAGAAAAAUUUCAUUUUCAUUCAAAAUCAAGCCUCUACGGCCCUUGAAGAAAUGUUUCUUCCAAGAGAUACGCCUUAACGGCCCUUGAUGAAAUUCAUCAUUUCAAUUCAAGAAAUACACCUCAACGACCCAUGAAGAAAUAUUUUCGUUCAAGACAUACGCCUCUACAGCCCUUGAAGAAGCAAACUAAUUCAAGAUCAAGUCUUGAUGACCCUUGAGUUGGAACAUUCACAUUGCAGGACUUCAAAACACGUUUCCUACAUGUGACAAGCACAUGCCUACAACGCGCCUUGAAGUGGGGGCAUUUUUAGAUAUGUAAAUUUCGUUGCAUACAAAAGGUGCAUCACAAAGCUCCAAGUCGCAUAUGGUCCAUCACAAAUGGACAAGUCAUCAAAGAUAUGUGGCACAAAUCAAGCAAAGGAAGUACAAAACCUUCCCAAAAGUCGGCAAAAGGAAGAAAUCUUCGUAAAAUUGGCAAAGGGCCCAAAUAGCUCCCAAAACCGGAAAGAAAGCUAAAGCGUCUUCAUAAAACAAGCAAAAAUUGAAGAUUGCUCACAAAAUAGGCAAGAAAGCCUUAUAAUUCGGCCAAGCAAGGGAAAGUGGCUGAAAUUAAGAUACAAAACAUGCUUAAAUUCUCCCAUGGACGAAUCAAGACACAAAUCAAAGCCAAAUCCACCCAGAGGCAUGGCUUUGGAAGUCUAUAAAUACAAGGUCCCAAAGCAUAAGGUUGACAAUUUCUACAUUGAAGGGCCGAAAUUCCCACAAAAGGAAAACCUCUACCAAAUCUUUGAAGACUAAUAUGCUGCCAAAGCUCUCUUCGAAGAACGCACAAUUAAAGCCGAAAGAAAAAGCUUUCUUUCGACCAAAGCCAAAGCAUUCCCUUGAAGAAUCAACAAGCACCUGUCUCGAUUCCUUCAAGACUUUGUUGCAAGCUCAAAACUUGUAACGACAUUUGUUUCAAGAUCAAGUCGCCAAUACCCUUGAAUCAACGAAAUCCUACAUCAACACUACCUUUGCCGCAACCCUAAACCUGAGGUGAAGACUAUCCAUGCAUCGUUUCAAGCUCAAAACUUGAAGCAAUCGUUCAAUCGUUCGUCCGAGAUCAAGUCAUUGCGAUCCUUGGAUCAACAACCUACGUAUCUACAUCAAAUUUGAAGAUUGAAUCAGAGGAAAAUUGUAAACAAAGAUUGUAACCCUACAAAUUCAUUAAUACAAAUCUACUUUGUACACGUGUUUUCAUUUUAUUCGUUACAUAAUUUUCGUGUUUACAGAAGGAAGAUGAGAGAAAUUGAUAAUGAACGUAUUUGGUGGUGGAAGAUAUGAGCAUUGGAGGUGGUAUUUAUAGGUUAUUGGUGUGAAGGGCUGUUGCAUAAUGUGAACCCCUAUGGAUAGAAAAGCUUUUGUUUUUUGGUCAAAUAUGGAUAGAGAUGUUUGGACAAUAUUUAGUUUCCCAUUGGUUGUUUCCAAUGUGAAUAUUUUAGUCAAAGAAAGGCACCUCUCGAAGUUGAUUAAUUUUGUAAAUUCCAAUUUAAUACAACUAGCUGGUGUGCUAAUUAAUAAUAUGAAUUUUUUUUUUUAUAGAAUGUUUUAAACACUUCAGGAUCGGAAUAUUACAGCAGAACGGUGUGCUAAGUCUUUUAACUGCUGACUCAAGUAUAUAUUUUUCAGGUACUGCUAGGUAGAUUAAAUUUUUUAAUUAAAUUUGUAAAUUAAAUGAUGUGUCAUCAAUAGAAAAUAAGUACGUUAAUCAACACUUCAAGUAUAUUAAUUCAAUCAUCAACUGAUACAUUAUUUGAUUUGUAAAUUUGAUUUAAAAUUUUAGUAUACCUAAUAUUACCCAUAUCUUUAUUUAUUAGAAUAUGGAAAACUAACCAAAACACCCUCAAAACUUUACUUUUAAUCAUAAGGACAGAUUUUUUCAAAAAUGCCAAUCCUACCCUUCACACAUAUGUACAAGAUUGGGUCAGUUUUCUGCAAAGUUCAAGUGCAUACAUCCCAAAGAAGAAAAAGGAGAUUGACAUUUUCAGAAAACAUUUGCAUGCAAAAGAAUAAGUGGCAAACAUGCAACAACCAAGACAAUACAGAUUCACAUGCAAAAGAAAAUGUGGCAAACUCUGCAGCAACCAAGACAACAUAAAUUCACAUGACAUUCAAGCAAAGACAAGAUAGCCAGCUUUCAGAAACAGUGCUGACAGUUUUCAGAAACAGUGUGCUGUCACUAUUCAGAAAAUUGUAAAUAGAUGAAAUGUUAUUUUAAAGAUUUAGAUUUUGUAUAUAAGGGAGUCUUUCCUCCUAUACAGAACGGCUCUCUCAACAUCUGAAAACACCAUACUCACUUCAUACACUCUAGCAUUCGUAGCCUUCAUAGCAUCCUUGUAAACACUUCCUUGUAAUCACUUUCUUGUAAACAACUAUCACUGUAAACAUUCCAUAUAUCAAUAAAAGUUCAAGUGUACAUAUUCAAGCAAUCUCCAAGUCUUAAGUAAGUUUUCUUUUCCUUACUUAGUGUGUUUGUUUAAUUAGACUUCUAGUCCAAAACAGGGAAACACUAUUGUGGUUAUAUUAUUACCCUACUAAACUGACGAUCAUACUUUGUUCAAGCACUCUGUUAUAGUUGAAUGUUUGCCAUACAAAUAACUGGACAUUAACCAGGGUACCUCUGAGUUCUUCGUACCUCUGAGUUCAGCCUUUAAGGCCUUAUACUUGUACUGUGGGUGGCCGUCAUGCUGAAACAUGUCGAGUUCCAUGUGCAAGGUUCUAUGUCUAGUUGUUAUAAUGGUCAUCCGACUAUUUAACCGAGCAUGCGUUUCGAAUUUGGUAUCAGAGCCAAGUUUAGCAUUUUAAUAAUAUAAGCAUAAUAGUAAAGUACCUUGAGGAUAGAAGUCAUUGAUACAACUGAUAUCAUAUUUGUUUAUUGUGUAUGAACAACAGAUAUUAUUGUCCCUGUAGACCCUGUCAACCACAAUUACCAGGUAUUUAUUGUCCCAGACAUCCAACUAUAACUAGCAUAAAGAGAAGAUUAACAUAUAUAUCCAAAAGAAUUAUUAGUACUUUGAAGAAGCAAAAGUUUUAUCUUGGCUAUCUUGAACAUCCUUCAUUUAUUCGUAAAUAUAAUAACACAGAAGUGCAGCAUAAAGUUUUGGAAGCAAAAAGAACAACAGAUCAAGCUUUAGAGACCUUGAGAGAAGAAAGAGAGUUUUUAAGAAACCAGUUAGCUGUAACUCUAGAGAAGGGAAGACUGUAGUUUAUGAUAGAUUAUCUUAAUUUAGAAAUUAGUGAACCCCAAAAAAGAAAAAUAACUUUAGACCAAAAUAGUUUAGUUUGUUCCAUCAAGAAAGCAUAAUCAUAUUUUGCACAGUGAAGAAAAUUCGCAAGCCAAUAGUAUUAUAGAUCUUAUUAUUAGUCAAGCAGAAAAUAUAAAAUUAGAAAAUAAUAAGCAUAAUCAUUUGUUAAACCAGUUGUUAGAAUAUUUUCAGAAAAAUUCCAUAAAGAUAAUUAGACAAAAUUUAGAUUAUAUUACAUCUCAGUUAGAAGAUAAUAAUAAAAAUAUUCAAAGGUUUCCUAGCAAAAGAGAGAUAAAAGAGCUUGUUGACCUCAUAGAUAGUAAGCCAAAGCAAGUAGAACUUAGGUCAUUAGAAAUAGUUGAACAACUAAAAUUGGAAGUUCAAAAAAUUCAAUUCGUUCAAAAGGAGUUGAGAGAACAAGUAGAUAAGUUGCAUAAUAAAAUAGACAAAUUAUUAGUUUAAUGACAGAUUCUAGAACUAGCAGAAAAUAUAUUCAAGCUUUGAAAGAAAUUAGUAAAUUAGAUAAAGAACCAGUAGGAUUAACAGAUUUUUCAACACAAAUAUCCAGUAGUAAUAUUCCCAUUAGGCAAAAUAAUUUGAUUAUCCAAUUAGUUUUAAGUCUAGCUGAAAAAUUAGAUCAAGUUGAAGAACAAAUAGCAGAAAUAAACCAAGUUUUACAUAACGCAUCUUCAUGACUUCCACCAUCCUUGCUAGAUAAAUUAGAAAAUUUAACUUUGAGUGCAAAUAAUAAUAGAAGACCUAAGCUAAAUCCUUUUGAUAAUAGAAAAUGGAACUCUUUAGGAAAAAAGGAAAAGAAAUAGUUAGAGCGGAAGAUAUUUAUCCAAAUGAAGAAGAAGCACAAGAAUUUAUUCGAAGAGGUUUUGAGAGAACACAGAAAAAUAAAUAUAACUUGUAUCAACUAGGUUUAUUUGAAAACAGAAGUAGAAUUGUAAGCAGCAUCAGUCAACAUGAAGUUAGUUGUAUUGAUAAAGAAGUCACACUUAAUCUAAUUAGUAAAGAAGCAGUUACUCAUUUGAGAAAAUCACAUUUUAGUCAGAUUCAUAUAGGAACAAUAUUAAUUGGAAUAGCAGGAUUAACCAGAGCACAAGUAGGUACAAAGGCUUUAGUAUACAUAUAUGAUGAUAGAUGGGAUAAUCACCAACAAGCAGCAAUAACAACAACUGAAGUAGACUUAAGUUCAAACUUAGCAGUCAUAGGUUGCAUUCCAAAUUAUGUUUAUGACGAUUAAUGAAUUUAGUAAAUAUAUUAAAGUGAGCAUAAGAACAAAAAAAUUAUAAUAUGAAAGGAGAAUAUAAAAAUUUGUGUAUUAGCUUAAUGUAUAUAGGUAAAGUGUCUGAUAGAUAUAAUCAUAAGUUUAAUUUAGAAUUUCAAAAUUUAGUUCAAACAUUUGGCAGUAAGCAUGUAAAUAUGAUAGAAGCAAAACCCGUAGUUAAUAGCUUUUUAGAAGGAACUCAGUGGACAUUGCCCAAUUUACAAGUAGCACAAAAUAGACAACCAGAUAAAGUACAAAUAUAUGAAACUAGUACAGGUCAAGUAACAAUUAGGUUUAGUAAUUAUAAGCAACUAGAAAAAAUAGAAGAAGAUGAGAGUGAAAUUGAAAAUGAAAGUAUACAUAUGGCUUUUGAUAAUUUAGAUAUUAAUUUAGUUGAACAAAAUUUUGAUCAUAUUGUAGAUAAACUUAUAGAAGAUAUUGAUCAUUUAGAUGAAGAACAAUAUUUGGAAAAAUAUAAGACAUAUGAUUUAGGACUACAUAAAAUUUCAAACGAAGAAAUGAAAAUUUUAAUCUUAGAAAUAGGAGUAGAACACAUUUUAGGAUCAAAAGAAUAUAAUAAUUUAUUAGAAUUGAAAGCAGAAUGUAAUCCAGCAGAAGAAAGUAGUACAUCAGGAGUAGAAAAUCCAGGACACGCAAGCAGAUCCGAUCAACAAUUUUUGAGACCAACAAAUGAACAAUAUAAUGAAAAAGCAAAAGUAGACUAUAUAGAAGAAAGUAUGAUAAAACCUAGAAAAAAUAGGAUUCCAUAUUUGAGAGGGUUAGAACAAAUUAAUAUAGCUGGUAAUAUAUUAAAUUUAGAUAAUGUAGAUCCACAAGAUUGGGAAAGAACGAUUGAGAGAUGGGAAAAAGGCUGCGUACAUGCAGCAUUAAUGUUAGAUUUUAGUAAUUCACAAAACAUGUUAGAUUACUUUGAACAUACUUUGGAUGGUUUAGUUUUUUAUUAUUUCCAAGCAUGGAAAGUUCAAAAUCCAGAACAACAUCAGGCAGCUAAAACACAUUUUAAUAUUGAUGGUUUUGUUACUUUGAUUAAACAAGAGUUUUUAGAUCAUAAUAGGUUAGAUGGCAGAAGUGAACAAGAACAAAUAAGAGCAAUCAGAAAUUUAGAACAAAUACAAAUUUGUGAUUUACAGUAUAUAGCUGAGUAUACCACAGAUUUCUUUAAAUAUUUAGGAAGAACAGGUAGAAUUAGUGAUAUUAAUUUAUUAGAUACUUAUAUGACAAAAAUAAAAGGACCAAUAGGUGAAAAGAUUUGGAAUGAAUGGCAAAAGCAUUCGAAGAAAAAUGAUAUUGCUAUAGGACCUAGAAUUCAACAUGUAUAUGAUAUACUUAGACAAGAGUGUAGUCAAAUAAAGGCUAAGAGACAAAUCAGGAAGCAAUUUUACAUGAGUUGUAAAAAUAUAGAUUUACCACAACAGUAUGGUUGCCAUAAGAAAAAUAAGCAUAAGAAAAUGUACAAAAAGAAAUAUAAGUCAUAUAAACCCUACAAACAACAUAAAAAUUUCAGUAUAAGACCUUCAAGAACAUAUAGGAACAGAAAAUAUAUUCCAAAACAAUUUAGAAAAAGAAGUGGCAGACCUUGGAUUAGGAAAUAUAAAGCACCAAAAGAUAAGAGUAGUUGUAAAUGUUAUUCAUGUGGAGAAGCUGGACAUAUUAGACCUAAAUGUCCAAAAUUAGGUAAACAGUCGAAAGAAAAAGUACAUUUGAUGGAGUUGUUUAAGUUAGAAGAAGAUGAGGAUAUUCAGUCAAUAUACAGUUUAGAUAAUUUAAGUGAUAAUGAGAGUAUUUAUAGUAUAUAGAAAGUAUUAACAUGAUAGAUUCAGAUUCGGAAGAUUCAAGUUAGCACAAAUAGUGAUCUAGAAGAAUAUAUGUGUGCAUUCAUAGAAGAACAGCAUGAAGAAGAAUAUAAAUACAUUAAUUUAGGUUGGCCAGAAAAAUGUCAUAAGUGUAAUAAAAUUAGUUGCAAAUAAAAUACUACAAUACAUACUCAAUAUUACGUGAAAAAUGUUAUAGUAAUAGGUUAUUAGAAAUUAAUUCAGCAGAAUCUGAAAAUAUUAGGAAAUAUUGUUCAUAGUAUAGAAAAACCAAAAAAGUAGUUCCUUAAUCACUAUAAAUUGCGAAAUAGAAUUAGCAAAAGAACAUAAGAUACAAACCAUAGCUAUGAUAGAUACAGGGAGUACAAAGAGUGUCAUAAGAGAGAGAGUUAGUACCAGAAAAAAUAUAGACAAAAAUUAGCAAAACCAGUAAGAAUAACACAAUUUGAUGAGAGACCAGUUUACUUAACACAUUGUAUAAAUAAUGAGUUUAUUAAAGUAGAAAAACAACAAUUUAAUUUAUCAUUAACAUUUGUUUCACCAGUAGGAUCAUAUCCAUUUAUUUUAGGAUUAAACUUUUUUGAAAAGUUUGCAAGGUUUUUAUUUUAUGAACCCUAACAUAACAUUUUUCAAGAGAGGCAUUACAAUAACUGAUCAAAGUAAUACUGUAGAAGCAUACAAAAACAUAAGUAUAGAAGAGACUAGUGGCCAAGAUAGUUAUCAUUUAGAAAACUCAAAAGAAAAUGAUGAGCAUAAUAACGUAGAAGAGUUUGAUGAAGACAUCUUUGAACAUGAAUACCCGAUUUUAGAAAAAUGAAUCUGUAUAAAAAUAUUACAGUUAGACAGACCAAAGAGUUUAGAAGAAUUGUUAUAAUUAGCAGAACAAACUAGGAUUAUAGGAGAAGACCCACAGUUACAUUGGAGCAAAAAUAAAAUACUAGCAAAAUUAGAUAUAAUUAACCCAGAUUUAACCAUUAAGACGGCUGAUAUGCCUUGUAGUCUAAUAGAUAAACAAGAGUUUGAGCAGCAAAUAAAAGAGUUGUUAAAUUUAAAAGUAAUUAGACCAUCUAAAUCUAGACAUAGAUCAGCAGCAUUUAUUGUAAGAAAACAUUCGAAAUUAAAAAGAGGUAAGGCUAGAAUAGUUUAUAAUUAUAAGAAAUUAAAUGAUAAUACAUACGAAGAUAGUUAUAAAUUACCAAAUAAGGAUGAGCUUAUAAACAAAAUUCAAGAGAGUAAAUAUUUUAGCAAAUUUGAUUGUAAAUCAGGUUUUUGGCAAAUAAGAUUAGCAGAAUAAUCAAUUGAGUGGACAGCCUUUACUUGUCCAGAAGGACAUUUUGAAUGGCUCGUUAUGCCAUUUGGACUUAAAAAUGCUCCAUCGAUCUUUCAAGAAAUAUGAUAAUUUUUGUAGUGUUUAUGUAGAUGAUAUUUUAGUACAUAGUAAAAAUAAAAAUGAACAUAGGAAGCAUUUAGAGAUAGUAUUACAAGAAUUUAUCAAUAAUGGAAUUGUAAUUAGCAAAAAUAAAAUAGCAUUAGAAAAGCAAGAUAUAGAAUUUUUAGGAAUGUAUAUCAAGUCAGGUACAAUCCAAUUACAAGAUCAUAUAGCUAAAAAGGUGUUAGAAUUUCCAGAUAAAUUAGAAGAUAAGAAACAGUUACAAGCAUUUUUAGGAUUCCUAAAUUAUGCAAGAAAUUUUAUCCCUGAUUUAGGAAGAAAAAUAGCAGUAUUACAUAGUAAACUAGCAAAACGGGACAAAAAUAUUUUAAUAGUGAAGAUAUUAAAUUAGUUCAAAAAAUAAAAGAAGAAAUUACUAAACUUAAGCCAUUAACAUUACCAUUAGAUGAUAGUUACAAGAUAGUCGAAACAGAUGCUUCAUCAUUAGGAUGGGCAGGUAUACUAUACCAGAAAAGGCAUAGGGAGUCUCCAAAGUCUGACGAACAAGUUUGUAGAUAUUCCUCAGGAAAAUGUAGUGAUGUACAGUCAAGGUUACCAUCAACAGAUUUAGAAAUUUUAGGGAUAAUUAAUUCACUUGAAGCAUUUUCUUUAUUUUUACAUAAUGAAGUAUUUACGAUUAGAACAGAUUGUCAAAAUAUAGUUUCUCAUUAUAACAAGAUACAUGCUAAUAAACAGGCAGCCCGAAGAUGGGUUAAUUUUGUUGAUUCAAUUACAGGAAAUGGUUUUAAACCAAUUUUUGAACAUAUAAAAGGUAAUGACAAUACAUUAGCUGAUAUCUUAUCAAGAUUAAUUUGUUGAACAGGUAUGGAAUAUCGUGGACCAUCAUCAGCAAAUAGCACAAGGCCGCAAGGCAGAAGAGUUUCUUUCAAUGGCAUGAUGAUGCACCAUCAACCUCCACCAUUCAGUGGAUUUCAAAAUAGCAUGAGCAGACCAGCAUCACCACUAGUACCCACGUUCAACUUUAAUGGCAAUAUUGUUGAAGGAAUCAGAAAUCCAACUCUGAGAUACAGGUCAAGGGUACCGGGGCUUUCUGAUAGGCAGCAGGUUCUCUUAGAUAAUUUCUGGAAUAUCCAAAUUAAGCAGCCAAGCAUGAGGUUAGGUCAUGACAAAUUAAUUAGAGCCUUGGAACAAGAGUUUGAUAGCUUUAAUUUUAAUUUCCACCAAAACCAGCAGCAUAUUUUUUCUCUUGAGCACAAUCUUCAAGCCAUUUCUAGGGACCAUGAGUCAUUACUUGGUAAGUUUACCAAAAUAAACCAAGAACUCCAAUCUCUUAGAAUGCAGUAAAAGGCAAGUGACACCUUGAAAAGAAUUAAAAAUAGGUUUAGAAAUUGAUCAGCAUAAAGGAAAAGAGGUUAUUGAACCCAUAGAACAAGAGGGUAAUGAACCCAUAGAAGAAAUUAAGAUUGAGCUCUUAGAAGAAGACGUUGAAAUGGAGCAACAUCAAAGUAAUGAUCAGCAUCAGGUUCUGAGUGACAAAGAAAAACAAGAAAAAUAUGAAAGUUUUCUUAGAAAUAUAUCUUCAGACUUAAUAAUAGACGAUGUUUUAUUAGAAGAAAUUUCAAAAGCAAAACUAAGAAUAAUGCCAACAGAUAUGCAAAAUGAGAUCCUGAGCAGAGCAUCACAGUCCAUGAAAGAGUUACAAUUACAAUUACAAUGCGCCUUGUAUCAGUCCAUCUUUGAUCCAAAACCAGGGAUGGAUAUUAUUACAAAGAUGUAUCCUCCAUGUCUUUGUGAUAGUACAGAGAAUUGUAUUUGUAAACCAGAAGUUAGCGUAGCUAUGGCCAGGAUUGACAUGAGAGAUUUUAAAUCAUGGCAUUUUAGUUAUGAGCAUCAGAAAAAGCAUAAUGAGGUAGAAGUCACCCCUGCCUUACUAUUAGAGUUUGGUUAUCUCGAUAAAAUAUUUAUUAACCGUAUUUCUCAACUAGAUCAUUUCCUGAAAAGCUUAUUAAAGUAGCAGAAGACUAUCUAGAAAGGUGGAAAGAAAUUUGCAUAAGUUUUAUUAGUAGUCCUCCAGAUUGGUAUGUACACAUGCAUAAGGAGAAAGCUAGGCAUAUAGCCAUGAUCAAUGAAGAGUCCUUUAGACUAAACCCUAUCUCCUCACAUAGGUGGACUCCUUCAUACAAAGAUAUUUUAAAAUUUAGAGGGAUCCAAAUGUUUGCUUUAGAUGAGUUUGAAGAUUUUAGGUAUGAUAUGGUACUAGUAGCAGAAGAAGAAGAGCUGCAUAACAUCGACAACAUGAUGGAAGCCUGAAGAACUAGCUGUAAAUUAGCAUAAGAUGAAUAGCAUCAUAAUGUAUUUCCAGACAGAAAUGUCAACAUCGUUGUGGUCCGCAUGUAAUGACAUAAGAGUAAAUAAAGAGAAAAGUUUGAUCUAUUAUAGACUUUUCAUACAUAAAAUGUCCUUAUGGUUAAGAAUGAAUAGUACCAAGCCAUUUUCGUUAAAACUCCCAUUAGAAUAAUCCAAGGUCCCCUUUUGAUUCAUUAUUUAUCUGAACUCUUUGACCAGCAUAAGGACUCCCAUUAAACUACGAUAUUACGCCUCAGCCAAGUGUUCUAUUCAAACGGGUCACAUGAUUGGUUUAGAGCAUCAUCAUUUUAUUGGUUUUGGAACUUGACAUAAUAUUUAGAGCGGGUGUGUUUGAAUGAGCCGGAAUAUUGGCGAGCAACCAUUGGAGCUAGUACAUGUACGUUAUUAAUUGACUUUAUGUCUAGUGAUCGAUUCAGGAUUUUAAAUUUGGAGGUUUGAAUAAUAAUAGUCAAAAAGUUUGUUGACAAAAAUAAUAUUGAAAAGUUAAAUGAUAAUGUAUUUCAUUCAUAAAUUAUACUCAAAAUAACAUUACGAGCUACAAAAUACUAGUUAAGUCGUCCACGAUGAGGUUUCAUAGUUUAAAAAGAUUCCAUGUUAGCUUUAUUACCAAUGCAAGAAAAACAUCUUUCUCAAUGUAAAUAACUAAGUUGUCACUAAACCAUUGAUCUCCCAUUUUGUUGGGGUGUGGACCCUUGGUGAUAUUCAAAGCGGAAAAUGUCUUCUUCACUAAAGCGAUUGCAAACUGUAAAACCAAACCAACUUGAAAAGCAAAUAUACAUAUGCAAAUGUUUGAUGCAACCUUUCUCCACCAUUUUUAGCAAGAUCACUAAUCCCCAACAAUUUAGCAUUAUCAGAAUGCACAAGAUAUAAUAUCAAGUUGAGUUUCUCAAUUAUCAAAACGCAUGCAAAAUAAAUAUAAAUAUCAAGUUGAUCUUUAAGUGUCUAUCAUACACGACCUAGAUUUUCUCUGCUAAAAGCUACAAUUUGGCUCAAACAUGCCAAGCAAAUAAGCAAUUCGGUAUUCCCUUUAGUGAAGCGAUCAUCUAAUUGCAUAAGUUGGAAAUCUAUGACAUAAAAAAAGAGUUCGACUUUGUAACGAUGAUGCUUGAUCUUUCUUAAAUUCUUAUCCAAUGGGAAUAGAGAUUGAGCAAUAUGAGUUGGGGAAUGGGGACGAGUGGGGACUUGGAUUUGGGACUUGGGCUAAAAAAAUACAAGAGUUUGCCAAAACAAUGUCGUUUUUCGGCCAAGUCAUUAGAAAUAUUUCAUUUCUUUUUUGCGGUCAUCUUCUCCGUGAAGCCACCGCCGCAGAGCUAGAACAUAAAGCAAGAGGCCAGAUGCCCAACCUUUGACUUCAAGGGGUUUCAGGAAAUUUCAAACAAGAAUUUUGGAAAGCCGAGGGGUCUUGGGAUCCCUCUAUAGAUCUGCCACUGUCUAUGCCAUGACUUUAGUGUUGUUGUAUGCAUUGUAUGCUUGUUUGUUCGUUUUAUGUAUUUUACUAUGUAAAGAAAGUUGAGGUUCCACUGUAAAACAAAUUGGCAUAUGAGGUCCAUCCCAAUUAAUCGCUUAUUAUAUGAUAACUAAAAAUGAGUAUGUGAAUAACACUAUCCUAAAUUAAUCGCGUAUUAUAAGAUAGGUAAGAAUCAUUUGUUUUCAUGUAUUAGUUAUUAUAUGUGAUAUUUUGGUGUGACUAUCAUAACUGUUUUCUUAAUAUUAGUAUUAAAGGGAGGGGGAGAGUUCGAAUCUAUUACAAUAAUUUAAGGGAGGGGGAGUUUCGAACUCGAGACUCAUGGAUGGAAACCCAACAUCAUAUACACUAAUGAUAUUGUCAUGGCUAGGAUCGAUAUUGUACUAACAUGAGAAGACGAGAGAAGGAAGACUCUCUAUAGGAGGAGUUGCAUGCCAAACAAGAGAAGACGAGAGAAGCCCUAAAUUGGCUAAUUUGUCAGCAACAACAUUCUCUUCGAAAUGUAUGAGAGCAACGUAAAACCAUGUGCUACAACCGGGAAAUGCAAUUUUUCCAACAAAAACAAAGAUGCUAUAACAAAUACUAUAACGAUACAAAAACAAAAAUUGAAGGCUUUUUUUUAGCCAAAAUGGUCUCUAAGAUUGGCAUAACUUCUCACUUUGGUACCUAAGAUUUAAAAUCUAUACAAGUGGUCCCUGAAUUUGUCCACCGUCAAUCAUUUUGGUCAUUUCGUGAAAAAUCUCUGUUGAAUAGACUAUAAUGACAAAAAUGCCCUCAUAUUUUGUCAAAUUAUUUUGGCCUAUUGUUUAUUAAACUGAUGGUAUUUUUGUCAUUUUGGUCCUUAUUUAACAAAUGUUUCACAAAAUGACGAAAAUGAUUGAUAACGGACAAACUCAGGGACCACUUCUAGCAAUUUCAAAUCUCAAUGACCAAAAUGAAGAGUUAUGCCAAUCUUAAAAAUCAUUUUAACCAAAAUGCCAAAAUAAAUUAUUAAAAAGUCUGCUAUAUAUAACAGCACAAGACACCGUAUCCACAACGCGUUGCAUUGUAUGGUCGGACAAACUAAAUUUUUGUACUUCAUAAGGAUAAAUUAAUUUUUCUCAGCUUGCUUAAUGAUUCCUAUAUCAUCUAGUCCGACAGAGACAGUAUCCAUCAAGCAAGAUCAACCAAAUCUUGAUAAUGUCUGGAUAUAUAUCACAACAAUAUGUCUUGAUUAAAAUGAGAUAAUCAAGACCACUAUUUCUUCUAGAGAACUCAAAGUUCAUUUUCCUCCCUAUUUGUGAUUUCAACCAAAAUAUAAUAGCGGAAGCAUGCAUCAUGAAAUCACAAAUAUACAUAUACAAUAAGCAUGCAUCUUAAACUCCAUGAUUUUCACAAUACAAUAAGCACAGGCUUUCUUAUGAAUUCAUAAAUUAAAUCAAUAUGCAUUCGGCAAUGUCAAUUUGUGUUCUACAAAAAUAUAGACAACAACUCACAUAAGCUAAUUUGUUUAUCAUCCCUGUAUAUGGAUGACACAAACUAAUUCUCAAAAAUUAUAGCUUGACCUAGAUAAUCAUACAAGUAAAUUAUUAAGGCUAAGAUCAAUAUAUAUCGCCACAAAAUAUAAUAUAAAAACCCAAAUUACACCAAUGUAUACAUAUCCGUCGUAUAUGCACAAUAACGAUUCUACCCAAAACAUAUUUUCUUGUAUGCAUGCAUCAAUAUGCAAAGAAACUGAUGCAAGUUCUAUUUGAUAUAGAUAAAACCGCAUGCCCAUAAUUACAAUGUAUAUGAACGAAUGCUAUCUCCAUAUACAUGUUCAAUUAGCAAGAAAUUCCCUACAUGAUACUCGAACCAAAACUGAUGCAUUUAGUUUAUGUAUCAUAAAUAGAAACAAUGCCGUCCAAAUUACAUUAGUUUAAUUUUUAGAACCACUUAGUCAUUAAGCAUAUAUACUUGCCAAAAUUCAUUCAGACAAUACCAAUUUAUGGAGUACACGUGCAGUCAAAAUGAUUCCAUCGCAAAUUGAUAUUCAUCAUAUACGUCUCAACACCAAACAGACAAAAGAGAACAAUAAGUGUUGUAUAUGAACAAGUUUUAUCCUUCACCAAGACCAAUUUAAUAGACCAAAUGCUACACUAUUUUUUAUUUUUUAUUUUUUUUUAUAUUUAUAUGCAGCAAAAGAUGAUUUCAAACAUCUCACAUAAAUCACAAGUUGGCAUCUAUAUGGAUUUCGAGUUUAAUCAUGCCUUCACAAUAUAUAUAAAUAAACAAGCAUACUCGAAAUAGCAAAAGCCCUAAUUCAUUAUGCUCCAAUCAUCGCACUAUAAUCAUGCAUAUAGGAGAACAAUUAAUCAUGCAUGAAACAAUGAACUGAGUUACCCGAAUGCAUCACUAGACCCAUAUUCGUCAACCCAAUAGCAAUUCCUCGGCUCCAAAUCAACGAAACAAAUUAUCCAUCAAUGCUCGAGACCCAUCCAUGCGGAUUGCCAUCACUCCAAAUUCCUAUGGACCUCAUACCAUUGCAGAUUAUCGAAGUAAAUCGCCAUUGUUGCAGACAUGGCGAACCAAAAUCAUCUCCAAAGUUAUCGGUCAGAAUCCCGUCGGCACCAAUUCCCAGAAAAAGACAAUUCUCAUUCAGAUUUCAAUAAAACAAGAGAAACAAGAUGAACUUUAUUCAAUGGUUCUUAAUAACACAAUUAGCAUAUCAGAAUACAAGUUUAUUCAUUACACUAAUAAAACAAGAGGGUCAAUAAACCAAAAUUAUCUUAAUCUACAAACAUCAUAACCAACUGCAGCGAAAGCAAUACAUUCAAUAUCAAAAUUAUGAUGUUUAAAUAGAGAUAUACUUUACUAACUUGAUACAUACAUCUUCAAUUAUGCAGGCGUGGGAAGAAAAUCUCCAACCCAUAUCGAGAAUCGCCAGUUCUUUUCUCGUUCAGACUGGUAACGGUCAAAAUUUUUUAAAAAAACAAAACCCUAUUCUUUGUUUUUUCAACAGCCAACGGUCAUAAAUUUUUUAACCAAAGUGUAUGUUAUAAACGACGUUGUAUUCCUUGUUCUUUAGAAAACAAAUAGACAAACUUUAUAUGUUGCAGAUUUUAGGAAACAAUUUUGGAUCGAAUUUAGUUGUUAAAUUCAAUGGCUCUGAUACCACAUGUAAGAAUAAGAACAGUCUUUAUAAUAUACUUAGCCAAGAACACAAGAAUUUACCAACUAAAUCACAACCAACGCAUCAAAUAUGUUCUACAUAUGCAAAUACUGAAGUAAUAUCUGAACACAUACCUACAGACUGUUUGACGAAGUCUUUUCCAUGUGUACUGUCUGAAGACAGCAGAUGGUGCUGCUGCAUGUGUGGCGUGCUGUCACCUGUAUUUUAAAUUGUAAAGUUUGUAUGUUGUAGUGUAUAUAACAAAGCCUUCCCGUAAAGCCUAAGUUAUGAAAUUGAUUUGAAAAGUUGCUGUGUUUCUAAGUUUAACACAGACAUGUUCAUGGAUGAAGAAGCCAUGGACGAAUCUACACACAACCUUCUCCUUUCUACAAAACUCAAUGAUCUUCAAGUUAUAGGUAAUUGGAACAAUAAGAGCGUAUUUUUGUGAGAGAAGGGGCUUGUGGUUUUAUACUACAAGACAUGGAUUGCCCUAUAACAAUCCUACAAGGAAUACAAGACUGCAUUCCUUGUAUCAGUAGGAGUCCUAUAAACAAGCAAACACAAGAGUCCUCAAUAUACCAAUAUGAUUGGAUUAACUCUUGUCAACAUGAUUUAGACUUCUUUAUAAUAUCAAUUAUCCCAAGACUUGUAAGAAUUAUACUCAUACUCUUACAGUAUUUCCUUUACUUGCAAUAAUAAAUAAAAUGAAAUUUAUGGAUCUGAUGAUUCUUGCAAGUUUUUGUUUUGCACUCAACAAUGUUAAGCUCCAUUUUUAUAGCUACAUGAAUUUGCUUGUCAGAUGAGAAUCGACACUUCAAUUAUCAAAUCCAUAAUAAUUGAAUACAUUUGGAUCUCUACCACAUAAUAGCAUAAAUUAAAGUGACGAUGAAAUGAAAAAUCUGAUUUAGUUUUCCUUGGAGACCAUUUUGCAAAACAUACCAUAAAUACGCCUAUGAACUCACACACCUAUGUUGAAGAUUUAAGAUCUUGUUUUCCUCAUCUUUGGUGUAGCAUGACUCACAUCGUUGGCAGUUCUUACUUCUUGCAAUGGAAUUUUCUUAGCUUGUCUGGUUUUCGAUUUUUAAAUUAGUGUCCAUCCUGGCAUACAUGUUAGACUUGCUUUCCUAAUGUGUUAUUUUAUUUUUAUUCCUAACAUAUUUCUUUCGGUGUUUCAAAGCUUUAUAACUUUUAUUUUUAUUCCUAACCUAUUUUUCUUGUACAUCUUGUUUUGCUUUCAAGAAGGAUCCAGUUUAUGUCUCCUCUGUUUUAUUUGUAUUUUUCUUGUUGCCUUAAGUGGGGACAGAUUAAUGUCUCUUAUCGGUUUCAUGUAUAUUUCAUUUUGUUUCAAAGAAGUAAGGUUUAUAUUCCACUCAUAAAUUAAGUGUAACUUUUUUUUUAUUCAAUAAAAUUUUCCUUAUACCAUUGAGAUUUCUUAAGAACUUAAAAAAUUAUCAAAGUUGUCACUUAGUACUAGGGUCUAGUAGUAUUCAUCUUCACUUGUGAGUGAAAGGUCUUAGGUUCGAUUCUCACCAAAAGCGAAUUUUGAACCACAUUAUCGCUAGUCAAUUGUGAGGCUAAGUCCACCGCCUCCCUUUAACGUAAAUAAUAUCGUUUGUUAAAAAAAAAAAUUAUCAAAGUUAGAAGGAAAUGCGGAGAAAAGAGAAUUCAUGAGGGGAGUUUGGAAAAUUAGGUUUCCUAUGAUGUUGCCCACGCUAAUAGGACAAUACCAAUUUCUUACAUUAAUUUUAGUCAAAGAAAUCACGAAGCAGCCUCUACAACUUGAUUGGAAAAUAAUUAAGUGUGGUGUGCUAACUCCAUAUAUUAUAUUGAAAUUUCUAGUGGAUUAUUCUAAGUCACUUGUCUGCAUACAAUUAUAUGGAUUCGGAUCCUCGUUGGAUCCUUUUUGUGAGGAUCUCAAAGAUCUGUGAAUUAUAUUCGUUCAUCGUAUAUCGUACAGUUAGAAAUUAUUUUGAAUAUUUUUAUUUAAAAUUAAAUACAAACAAUAACUAACAAAAAUUGACCGCACUAUGUACGAUAAACGAACACGAUUUACGAAUUCCUAAGAUUCUCUCCAAAAUGAUCUAGAGAGGAUCUUGUUGGCAAUUAUAUCGAAUAUACCCUUGAUUAUUUUUUCAGUACUAAUUAGAAUACUGUAAAAAACGGGUCAAAGUGUGAUAAUGAUAUGAGCUGUGGAAAUAUUGGGUGGCGUGUUAGAGGUGGGGUGGAGGGGUCAGAAACACAGGGAUAUUAUUUGGUUUUUAACCUUUAAUAAACCACGCACUACGUGGGGUUUUUAUCAUUUCAAACAACUUGGAAUAUAUACAUACAUUAUAUAUAUAUAUAUAUGUUAUAUAUUUAUAUAAAUUAUUGGGAUAAUGUUUUAUUAUUUUUUUACUUGAUAGAAUCAUAUAUAUAUAUAUAUAUAUAUAUAUAUAUAUAUUUUUUUUUUUAAGUAAUUGUGUGCUUUUUUAUUUUUUUUAGUUUCAUGGUGGUAUACAUAUAGAAAUGGUGUACCUAAUUUGCAAAGGAUGGAUUGACUACAAGUUCAUUUAAUUGUGAAAUGAAUUGGAGAACUUUUGAGAUGAUACUGUGAACACGAAAAAUUCCUGAAACGAAAGAGACAAGAACAACGUGCACAAACAAAUAUUAUGUAUUUGAUGAUGUUUUUGGGUUACAAUCUCUCUCAAAUUUAUCCUCUGAUUCGAUCUCCGUAAGGUGUUGAUUGGUGGGUGUUUCGUUGAUCCAAGGGCCGUCGAGGCUUGAUCUUGGAUGAACAGUUGGAAGUUUCUUCAAAAGGCCGUGGGCUUGAUCUUUGAAGGUGGAUUUGAGCGGAUCUUCAAGGGCUUUUGGGCUUGAUCUUGAAGAAACAGUGAUGAACAGAUCUUCAAGGGCUUUUGGGCUUAAUUUUGAAGAUCGGUUGGAUGUGUGGAUUUGUCGACGUUUGUUGAUCCAAAGGGCCGUUGGGGCUUGAUCUUGGAAGAACGAUGAACGAAGAACACUUUCUUCAAGGGCCGUCGGGGCUUGAUCUUGAAGGUGGAUGAUUGCUGAUCCAAAGGGCCGUUAGGGCUUGAUCUUGGAUGAACGGAUGAACGAAGAACGAAGAAGGCUUUCGUGAUUCUUCAGGAACUUGGAUGCUUGAGAGCUUCAGAGUUUUAGAGCUUUAGAGCUUCAAGGUGUAAUAUGAAUUCCCCCCCCCCCAAAUGAAUGAAAUGGGCUUGUAUUUAUAGAAUUUUCCAAGGCUUAAUUUUGAAUAUAAUAUCCCAGAUGAAAUAAGUCGUUUCUGCCAAGUGUUGACACGUGUCCUAUUUGAUGACUUUUCCAACUCAUUUCAAUUUUCGUUGAGUCACACGCUACGUGUAAAAUUUAUGUAAUACAUGAGCGUUGACACUUUGAUUUAUCGGUCAACAUUUAUUUACCGAAAUUUCGAUGUCUACAAAUGCCCCCACUUCAAGGCACGUCGUAUACAUGUGAUUGUCACGUGUAGGAGAUGCGUUUUGAAGUCCCUUACCGUAGAUGCCGAUCCAAGGGCCGUCGAGGCUUGAUCUUGAAUUGGGCUGGAGAUUUCUUCAAGGGCCGUUGAAGCAUGAUCUUGAAUUGGGCUUGAGAUUUCUUCAAGGGCCGUUGAGGCUUGUUCUUGAACUUUCGUUUGAAAUUUCUUCAAGGGCCGUUGAGGCUUAUUCUUGAACUUUUAUUUGAAAUUUCUUCAAGGGCCGUCGAGGCUUGAUCUUGACGGUUGAAAUUGGACCACAAGGAGCUUCAUGUGGUAGAUGAUCUUUGGCUUUGGUAGUGGGUGAAUCGGCACGUAUUUUGUUGCGUUUGUUGACUUUCCACAGCUUUGAUCUUGGACUGGGUUGAAGGAUUUUCUGGAUUCCUCCAAUUGUUGAUUUUCCACAGCUUAUUCUUGAACUAGGUUUUGAUUCAAGGGUGGUAGACACUUAAUCUUGAAUCGGACUUGUGAUUUCUUCCAGGGCCGUCGAGGCUUGAUUUUGAAUUUGGCUGGAAGCUUCUUCAAGGGCCGUUGAGGCUUGAUUCUUGAAGGCUGACUCGAACACAUGGCAAGCAGGCACGAGGUGAAGGUGACGACUUGUUGCUUUGUUCAAUCUUUCUAGUUCACACCUGAGCAGUUUGGUCAACGGUAUGAUCUUCAAGAUUGAUGGGCUUUUCUUCCAGUUGGUGACUUGAUCUUUAAGGAUUCGGUUUAAGGGUGGUGAAUCGGCACGUGCAGCCCACAACGCCUAGUAAGUCGACCCAAGAAUUUGAGGGUCAAAACGAGUUCUUCAUCUCAGACUCUUUCUGCCGAGUUGGCUGUGCAUGCUGCAUUCUUCUCUGCUUGUUUCUUCAGGCAGAUAUGGCAGCUUCUCGAGUUCCUCAGUUCGGACUCCUUCUGCUGAGUUGACUGUGCAGACCACAUUCUUCUCUACUUGUUCCUUCUGCACUUUGUCUCCACAUGCUGCAAGGUAUCAUUUUCACUUGCCUUAUCUGUUCUCUGGGCAGAUGUGGCAGCUUCUUUGAAAGUACACAGCAGCAGUGGGGGGGGAGUACUCGAGAGCAGUGCCAGGUAGGCAAUCAGGGAAGGGUUCCAAGCAGUCGGUUCCUUACCCGAGUUUGAGUGGAGGUUCUGGCAUAUUGUUUUCUUUAUCCUUGUCUUUGUAGGUAAGAACAAGGACAAAGGAAAGGACAGGGAAGACGCAUGAUAUGAGAUACUCUUGCUUUCUACCCUGGUGAUAUGAGAUACUUUUGCUUUGGUGUUAUUUGUUUGUUGAGGUACCCCAAGAAAUAAGGAACACUGAGUGACUCGAGAGGCUUCGUUGGGAAGGCAUUCUCGGAGAUGAAGAAGGGUUCUGUAUGUCUCCCUUGCUAUGGAGGGUGAAGGUGGAUAGUUAUAGGGAGUUCCUUAAUACCUGUAGAGGUACUAUUCUUUCACUUGUGUCGGCAACUAACGCGUGAUUGAACAGUAACUUUCACGUGCUUUCUCCUUCACUGAAAAUCUUCGACAAAUUGCUCGCGAUUUGCGCAAAGUUGAAUGCGCAUAUGACAGGUGAUGACGCGGCUGAAAAUGACUGGCGCCUCUUCGAUAUCUGGGAUUGGCGCUUCGACAAAUUACCCGUGAUUUCCGCAAAGCUGAGUUUGCGUGUGAUGGGUGCGACGCGUCUGGAAAAGCAAGAUGCUUCUCCGAUUUCUGAGCUUGCCUCUUCGAUUUUUGAAUGGCCUCUUUGAAUUCUGAGCGCGCCUCUUCAAGCUCUGAAAUCCCGUCGAGCGCUGAUUUUUAUAGAGGCAUGCAGUUCGUUUCAAAGCACACUUGAAUUUUCACUUGUGAAAACUCCCUUCUUGCACUUCUAAGAUCUUGAUUUGUCCGACCUCUUCUUUCUUCAACACUUUGAAAAUGUCUGGCCCCUCCGAUCGUCGUUUUGACUUGAAUCUUGGUGAAGAGGCAGUCCCUUCUUCUCCAGACAACAUAUGGCGCCCAUCCUUCAUAUCCCCCACUGGUCCUCUUACCGUUGGGGAUUCAGUGGUGAAGAAUGAUAUGACCGCUGCGGUGGUGGCCCGGAACCUUGUCACUCCCAGAGAUAACAGACUACUUUCCAAACGGUCUGAUGAAUUGGCUGUUAAGGAUUCUCUGGCUCUCAGUGUGCAGUGUGCAGGUUCUGUGUCUAAUAUGGCCCAACGCCUAUUUGCUCGAACCCGUCAAGUUGAAUCAUUGGCGGCUGAAGUGAUGAGUCUCAAACAGGAGAUUAGAGGGCUCAAGCAGGAGAACAAACAGUUGCAUAAGCUCGCACAUAGCUAUGCGACAAACAUGAAGAGGAAGAUUGACCAGAUGCAAGAAUCUGAUGGUGAGAUUUUACUUGAUCAUCAGAGGUUUGUGGGUUUGUUCCAGCAGCAUUUGCCUUCGUCUUCUGAGGCUCUGCCGAUUGCUGAGGCUUCAAGCAGUCAACCUCCGGCACCUACUCUUCCUGGAGCUCCGCCGAGUUGUGAGGCGCCACCUGAUCGUCCUUGAAUAUCCCCUGUUGUAAAUUUGAUUUGAUUUGAUUUUUUUUUUUUUUUUUUUUUUUUUUAAUUAUGUAUAAUGCAAAUUUAUGUAAAAUUUCCAAAAAAUAAAUAAAAUGAACCUUCUAUUUCUCUCUAUGCGUUUUUUUUUUUUUUUUUUUUUUUUAAAUAUAAUUAUUAUUUUUUAUUAUUUUUUCCCGGUGCUGGAUGCACCCACCAUUUCUUUUUCUUUUGUCACAUGGUGCCAGAUGCACCAUCAUCAUUUUUAUUUUAUUUUUUUUUUUAUUAUAUGGGCACCAUCAGAAACUUUUGAUCCACCAUCCUCCUGUGUCGUGCAUCCAGCAAGCUUCCAUCAUCAUCUUCUUCUUCUUUUUUUUUUUUUUUUUUUUUUCACGUGGUGCCAGCACCACUUUGCUCCACCAUCCAUAUAUUUUUUUUUUGUAUAAAUUUGGGUGAUGUGUAGGGGAUUUUGCAGGGAAGGACAAAGACGGAGAGGGCUGUAGAGUGACGAGCUCAAGGGAGGCCAGGCACUGCGGUAGAAGAUGGGCAGAGAGGAGCCUGGUGGAUGCGCAGCUGCUGUGGUGCUGUGCAACCCUUUAUGAAGGUGGUGUUGUGGUAGAUGUCGUAGGCGGUGGUGUUGCAGAGGCAGAAGUUGGUGCCGCCGCGUGCUGCGACGCCCCACGUGAGGGUCCAGCCGUUGCAAUGGAACAUGGGGAGGGUCCACAAAUAAACAGGCUCGCUCCCCAUUUCCCAGCCCAAAACUAGGCUCAUGGUGCUCAAGUAUGCGCCUCUGUGGCUGUACACAACGCCCUUGGGCUCCGACGUCGUUCCGGAUGUGUAAUUCAAAACGACGGGGUCCCACUCGUCAUCGACUGGAACGGAGACAAAUCCGGGAUUGCCCUUUUUGAUGAGUUGCUCGUACUCCAACUCGCCGAGUCGAAUGCCAGUGGGAGAGUCGAUGUCGUCGAUCACGAUGACCAACGGCAUGGAUUUGUCGGCAGUAUCGGUGGUGAGGAUGAUAGCUUGGUGGACGCGGGCAUCGCACCCAACAAUCUAAUGGCAUCGCCGAUCUGAGCACUUAGCAGCAGCAGGUGAUGGUGAAGAUGGCCACGGGAGUCACAUCCAGAACCGUGUCGGUGACUCGGGACUAGCCGACUCCGGUGUGGAAAGUGACCUGGUCGCCUGCGGUGUGGACUGAUGUAGGAUAUUUCCUGGGCCGGGCCUUGAACUUUAAAAGAUGGGCUACAGGUUAGGAUUUGAUGGCAUGGAUUUGGGAAGGGGAGGCGGUUUGUGAAAUGGAGGAAGACCGUCGGGCUGCUGCUGCUGCAGACGCUGCUGUUGGCGUUGAUGGUCGUGCCAUUGUUGUUGCUCCUCGGUGCUGAAUGAAGGACUGCUGUCCGAUCCAUUGAGAUGAUGACGCAUUAAGCUUCACGAAGCUGGAACAGGCCAUGGCUUCGAUUGAGGAAAAGUCAGGUAUAUGAACACGCAGGCCACACAGCUCUCGGGUAUGUCGCCAAAACCCGAUCCACGACCCGACCCAUUCAUCCCCUCCGACAACGAGAUUAUGUGAAACACGUUCAGCGUCUCCGUCUGCUUCGCCGUGAUCUUGUCGCUCGGCUCGUCCAACUCCUGCUCCUGUUUCGUCAGUACGACUUUGGGAAUCGAUUUCUUGAACCAGGAGGAGUCCAUGACCUUGGAAAUGGUGAUUCGGGUACUCGGGUUCAGAUCGAUGGGCUUCGUCACGAGUCUCCGGGCCUCAGACGAGAACCACGGUGGCCAUUUGAAAUCUCCUCUAUAAAUCUUUCGGUACAUGGCCACGAGAUUGUCGUCUUGAAACGGCAAAAACCCGGCGAGAAGCACGUAGAGGAUGACGCCGCAGGACCAGAGAUCCACCUUGGCUCCGUUGUAUUAUGAUGUAGGGUUCGUGUCCCCACCAACGCGUCGGUUUUCCCCACAACAGAAUUCCAGAUGGUUUGAUGAUUCACAUAGAGGUGUAGAUCACAAUUUCAGGGGCGGGAGAUUUGCCGGAAGACGGUUCCAGCCAGGACAGAGGUUUGACUCAGAGUGUUCAUUUCGGAGAUUGAAUCGAGAUGGUUACUCUGAACCCGUGAUACGUCCUGAUGGAAGAUAUGAGAUUGUUCAUCGCAUGAGGCGUUUUGAUUCAGAUGGUGGAGGUGAAAUCUCAUCCCGGCUUAGCCCUGAAUCUGAAUCUCCUUUUGGUUUUGACCUUGACCUUGACUUUGACUUUCCUCGUCGUGCUCCGCGUCGUUGAUGCCUUUUAUCAUCAGUCUAAAUCGACGGCGGCUUCACCAGUGGGCUCGCCGACCGACUCGGUCUUGUACGUUUUGCACUCAUUCAAGUCGAUCGAGCUCCACGAUUGGUUUUACUGGUGCGAAAUCACAGGAGAGUCAACAUCGUUGUCGGACUUCAACGCCUCUGUUCUGCAAGCGCUGGAGAGAGCAGGAAGUACGAGGAUGAAUUUGGGUGCCCUCUGGGUGCUCCCAAUUUCUACAGAGACACGGGAGAGGGAGGAGAGAUCCAUGAGGGUUUCGAGGGCGUAUGACCCAUGGUGGGAGACGGACGGUAGAGAUCUGUCGAAUUGCAACUGGAGGUCUUCCUUUUAGUGAAGAUGUUUGACGAGGAACUUGGGCUAGAAGAAUGGGUUGUGACCCAUGUUUUGAAGGGAUAGGCCUGAGGCAAGCUGCAAGUUGAGUGGAUUGGGUUCUGAGAGUCGAGAGGCACGCGCAUAGUGUGGGGUGGGCCUGGCUUUUUGGGCUGUGUGCCUCAGUUGCUAAGACUUGUGCCUGGAAUAAGACACGGAUUGGGCUUCGGGCUAGUGGAAUCCGGCUGCAUCAACGAGCUGGAGAUGAAGAACUGGGCCACAGGAGUUUGGGCCCAACGUUUGGUGGCCUUGUUAAUGGUGUGAACCGUGCUGGGCCGAAGCAAUUGCAGAUUAUAUAUAUGUAUACAUAUAUACAUAUAUAUAUUGUACAAACCCUUUUUUUUUUUUUUUUUUUUUUUUUUUGUAAAUACAUAAACAUAUGUAUUCAUCAUUUUUUUUUUAAAUAAAAUUGACUUUCUUUAAUAAAACAUUUAUUUAUAUAUUGAUGUGACUGAACUCGAAAAAUUGAACAUUCGAGCUGCCUACGUACCCCUCCAAAGAAGAGAUCAAGUCGUAACGUAGUUCAAAUACAUUUUUUUUCUUGGUAUUUUCUUUUGGUGCCGUUUGCAGUUUCAACUCGUGCAGACAAGGAGCAUUUGGUGCCGUGUUGCAGUUUCAGCUCGUGCAGGCAAGGAGCGUUGGUGUUGCCUUUUAUGCUCGUGCAGACCAGGAGCGUUGGUGUUGCCUUUUAUGCUCGUGCAGACCAGGAGCGUUGUGCCAUGCAGUUUAGGCUCGUGUAGGCGAGGAGCCUCGUGUCCUACAGUUUAGGCUCGUGCGGACAAGGAGCUUUGUGUCCUACAGUUUAGGCUCGUGCGGACAAAGAGCUUUGUGUCCUACAGUUUAGGCUCAUGCGGACAAGGAGCUUUGUUUCGUCAAGCGAUCUGAGAGAGUCGUUCCUCGCAAUCUUCAUAGCAAGGAGCCUUGACUGAGUAGUUGAAGAAGUCUUCUGGGAAGAUGUCACACAUCGUGAUGGGGAUGGAUGAUCUUCGUGUCAAAGUUUCAUUAUCUCCAACACUUUCACAUUGUUCUAGAGGUGAACAGGAGCUGUUUUGCCCCCUUUCCCAUUGGUGAGCUUGUGGAGAAGACAUAUGCUUCUUGUGCAAUUUCUUCGGAGUGACAUGAGUCCAUCCUUCAACUUCACUCGGCUUGACUGGCAUGUUUUUGGAGCAUGCCCCCAGCGAUUGAGGUGAAGAUUUUGAGUUGACAGAGCCGGAAGUGACGUCUUCUUCCAGGAUUUCGUCUUCUUUGUCUUCUCGGGCCUUCUCUUCAGUGCGGUCCUCUUGGGUUUGUUGCCGUGAAGAUUGGCCGGUGUAGAUGAUGGUGCGCCUCCUUACCUUCAGUGGUCCUUUUGUGUCGACUUCCAAAGUUGCUUGGCGCUUCAUCCUUGAAGGAAUCAAGCUUUGAACAUCGUCUUUUCCUGCUAGACUGUCGAGCUUCUCUCCCUUUGGCGUUGUCUUCCUGUUUUUAGAAGGCUUCUUAGUUUCUUCAAAUCUGUCCAAAGCCGACCGUUGCGGAGGAGAUCUAGCUGUGCCGCUUUGUUUCUUGGGUUUUGAUAACCUUUCAAAGACUGAUCUUUGCGGUGUUGGCGUCUCAAGCCUUUUGAAGACGGAAGUUUGGUCUCGACCACUGAUGCGAUCAAGUGCUGCAAUUCUAGGUUUUGAAUAAUUCAGCCUUUCGAAGACUGAAGUUCGAGGGGUGGGUUUAGGCUCCUCUUUUGGCCUUGUGGCUUGUGGUCUUGGCUUCCUCAUUUUUUUUGUAGGUCACCAAUGUCCACCCUUUCUUAUCACCAGUAGAUGCAUCUUGGUUGCUUGCCCCCGGUGAUGGUUGUGUAGGAGGUGCCAUGUGACUUGAACAUUGACGGGAAUGAUCAUGCAUGCUUCGGAGAUGCACAGGAUCGAGUGAUUCAAACACGAUAGUAGUAGUGUGUGCCGCCACCGUGUCUUCGAGGUCAAGCUCGAUUUCCCCUUGCUGUGCUAGCUUCAGGAUGAGAUCUUUCAGUACGAAGCACUUUUCCGUUGGAUGACUGAUGAAGCGGUGAAAUUUACAGUAUCUUGGGUUGUCGGUACGAUUCAUCUCUUCCGGCCGUCUGCACACUCGGGCAAACUGAUCACCUUCUUGUCCAACAGGUCAUCCAGCAUGGCAACUACAUCAGAGUCGGGGAAUGGAUAAAUCUUCUCCUCAAGCUCCUUCAAAGUGCGUCUACGCAUCUCUUGAUCACGAAAAGCUUCGGUUUGAAUCACCUUGCCUCGUGUGGAGAUUUUGACGGGAGCUGUGUUGACCGUCAUCGCUUCCCUUGGUGGGUUUCCAUGCGGCCUUUUCCACCUUUGUCCCAAGAACUUUGUCGUUCUUGUAGUCGGCGAUCGGUUCUUUCUUCCCAUGAUGGGCGAUGCUCAACUCCAUGUCAUGGGCGCGAGUAGCCAAUUCCUCGAAGGUCCGUGGUUUAAUGCCUUGAAGGAUGUAUUGCAAACCCCAUUGCAUGCCUUGGAUGCACAUCUCGAUUGAAGAAAUCUCGGAGAGUCUGUCCUUACAGUCGAGGCUUAGAUUACGCCAUCGGUUGAUGUAGUCCAUGACUGGUUCUUCCUUCCAUUGCUUCGUGCUCGUCAGUUCUAGCAUGCUCACAGUGCGGCGGGUACUAUAGAAGCGGUUGAGGAAUUCCCGCUCUAACUGCUCCCAGCUGUUGAUGGACUCAGGCUCUAGGUCUGUGUACCACUCAAAGGCGUUUCCUUUCAGCGAGCGCACAAACUGCUUGGCGAGGUAAUCCCCUUCGGUUCCUGCGUUGUUGCAAGUUUCAACGAAGUGGGCAACGUGCUGUUUCGGGUUUCCCUUUCCAUCAAAUUGCAUGAACUUUGGUGGUUGAUAACCCCUCGGCAUCCUUAAGGCGUCGAUCUUCUUUGAAUACGGCUUUGAGUACAACCCGGAGGUAUUUGAGCUCCCUUCGUACUGUGCCUUGAUGGUGUUGGUGAUCAUCUCUCUUGCAGCUGCUGGAUAGAGAAAAGAGAUCCCAUGAGUGCCGCUGCUUGGUCUGGCUUCGGCUUUGCAUCGUUUUUCUCCACCUGAGGCUCAUCUUCUUCGUCAUCUCUUCUCUUUAGUGGAUCAUUCUCUAGGUCGGGUUUAUCGCCGUCCUGCGCCUCCAGUCGGUUGACUAGUGCUGCAAUUUGCAAGUCUUUUUCUUCCACAGUUCGGGUUAGCCUUGCGAUCGCUUCAUUCAUUUGAGCCAGUUGUUCUUCAACGGAGGUAACGCCGAUAGUCAUGACUUGUGCGACCAAUAGACGUGACUUUCCUUUAGACAUCCAGGAUGCUGAUGAAGAACAUCGUUGGCUGCUUUGGGAUGUCAACUUGUGUGCCUCAGCAGCAUGCUUCGGUGCCCCCAACAGGGUCAGGUUGAUGACAGACUCACACCUUUGAUGCUCUCCUCGCUCUUUUAGCGGCACCAAUUUUGAAGUGGCAUGUUGAGGAGCGGUUGUGGCGCCAAUGGAUUGUCCGUUUGCGGCAGAAGUGCUUAGGAUCCUUCCCUUAGUGGUUGCGAGAACGGCUUGUCCCUUGCUUAAUGCCAUUGACUUUGAGGUGUGUUUGGAUUCUUUGAACGGAGAAAGAGAUGAGAGGCAGAGAUGGUCCCACUGGGCGUGCCAAUUUGUGAACACGGAAAAUUCCUGAAACGAAAGAGACAAGAACAACGUGCACAAACAAAUAUUAUGUAUUUGAUGAUGUUUUUGGGUUACAAUCUCUCUCAAAUUUAUCCUCUGAUUCGAUCUCCGUAAGGUGUUGAUUGGUGGGUGUUUCGUUGAUCCAAGGGCCGUCGAGGCUUGAUCUUGGAUGAACAGUUGGAAGUUUCUUCAAAAGGCCGUGGGCUUGAUCUUUGAAGGUGGAUUUGAGCGGAUCUUCAAGGGCUUUUGGGCUUGAUCUUGAAGAAACAGUGAUGAACAGAUCUUCAAGGGCUUUUGGGCUUAAUUUUGAAGAUCGGUUGGAUGUGUGGAUUUGUCGACGUUUGUUGAUCCAAAGGGCCGUUGGGGCUUGAUCUUGGAAGAACGAUGAACGAAGAACACUUUCUUCAAGGGCCGUCGGGGCUUGAUCUUGAAGGUGGAUGAUUGCUGAUCCAAAGGGCCGUUAGGGCUUGAUCUUGGAUGAACGGAUGAACGAAGAACGAAGAAGGCUUUCGUGAUUCUUCAGGAACUUGGAUGCUUGAGAGCUUCAGAGUUUUAGAGCUUUAGAGCUUCAAGGUGUAAUAUGAAUUCCCCCCCCCAAAUGAAUGAAAUGGGCUUGUAUUUAUAGAAUUUUCCAAGGCUUAAUUUUGAAUAUAAUAUCCCAGAUGAAAUAAGUCGUUUCUGCCAAGUGUUGACACGUGUCCUAUUUGAUGACUUUUCCAACUCAUUUCAAUUUUCGUUGAGUCACACGCUACGUGUAAAAUUUAUGUAAUACAUGAGCGUUGACACUUUGAUUUAUCGGUCAACAUUUAUUUACCGAAAUUUCGAUGUCUACAGAUACAUAAAAUAAAAUAAAAAUAAACGAGAUACAACAACGUUAAAUAAUUUAAUCUAUGUCAAAUCCAAUGCAAGGAUCAUGAACAAGAAGAAUUUAGUCUAUUAUCCAAGAAUACUUCUCAUUAUGAUUAUACGCUUACUGUUUUUUAAAUUUUGAACUUGUUGGAUGGAUGUACUUUGUGUAUUCUUAGUAUAGCUUUUUUUUUUUUUUUUGAAGUAUAAAUAAGCACUUAUUUACAAGAUAUAUAAUAAAUUUAUAUAAAUCCGUCUAGCCACCUAGACGCUAGGCGUCUGCCGCCACCCGACUAGCACCUAGCAUUUUUUAGAAAUAUUCAAAUAUAUAUUGUUUUAUUUUUUCUUUUCGAAUCUGUUAGAAGAAAGAUUAGAAAUGUUGCAUCCAAUUACUGAUGUUUACCAGAUAUGUGCAGAGACAGUACUUUCGUUAUUUAGUAGUUGGAGGGUAGGAAAUUGAGGAUCAAUUGCUACAUACCUUGUCUGCAACUGGUUCUGACUUCUGAGUCAUUGAAUUUUGUUUAUGGCGAAAUCGUUCAAAGCUGAUUUUUAUUUUAUUUUUUUUCUUUCUAUGUUUUUAAUGUAACCUGAAGCUAAAAAAAUUACAAGCGUAAUUCUUUGAAGAGAAAAGUUCUGGAGUCCAUCAGUUUGGACAGAAAAACUCAAAGAAUUAUUUGAUUAUUUCUUGAAUUGAUGAGUUACGUUGGAAGCCAAACGGCUUAAAAAGACAUAAGCACAGCAUAGUAUAACCAUGAGUCUUAUUAUGCUCUCAAUUCUUUGCAAAAACGAGAUAUUAUACGCACAAAAUGACACCAGGAUAUUUCUCGAUCUAUUUUGUCGCCAUAUCGAUUGAAUCUAAUAUUUCUCAACUUUAAUUCUUCUUUUCAAAAAAUUUUCAUCUUUCAUCAUGGAAUUGUCUCAUAUCUCGUCUUACAUCAUACUCCUCCACUUGAAAAGAGCUCAAUCUCGAGUUUGUCUUGAAACAAUCUUGAUAACUAGUAGACAACUUCCUUGUUAACCAAAUGGAUCCUUAAACUUGAGAAGCCCAACUUUCCGUGCACUUAGGUGGAAUAAUCAUGAAAUCAAUUCCAUAAACAAGAUUGAAAUAUGCCAAUGGGUAAUCAAAAUGUUCUUCCUUACCUAAUGUAGAAGUAUUAUUGAAACUUAAUUUUUCGACCCACUUUAAACAAAAUAAAGUUCUAAAAAUUAAAAAGUGAUAAAUUAAAGAGAUUUCUUAAUGUCACUAGUGAGCACCUACCCAACCAUUUUUGUUGACAAAGAACACUCAAUGACAUUGUCACCGGAGAGCAACCGGAGGAAGGAGCUUUUGUGAGGACAAAGACGAGGCCUUGUCUUUGUGCGGUUGUUCUUUGAUAAGAAUCGGUAUGGAUGCAAAGAGAGAAGGAGGGGAAGACAUAUAGAGAUAGACAGAGAGUAGAGAGAGAAUUUGAAUCCAUCCUUGUCUGUCGUUCAUGGUCUGGUGCGGAACUUAGCAGAGAAAGGGUGCUUGUCGUUACCACGUCGGGUAGGUGAAUACGAAUGCUGGUUCUUUGAGUUUUUUCCUUUGGCUUUUUGUUUAAUUUUAUUUGUUUCAUAUUAAAGAUAAGUACACUGAGGUUAUUUAGGAAUCAGAAUGGGUGAGAAAAGAGUAUUUUCAUUUUUCAAUAUUUAUUGGUGGGGGAGAAUAUAAGGUGGGGUGAGACAAUAGGACUGAUGGGUGGUAUUAGUAGCACUCUUCCAUUAAAUGGUAGCUCAGAGUGAAUAACAAUAGUGGGUAAUAACUUGUGUUUAUACUGUAACACGAUGUUCAUGGUAUAAUAAUCAACGUUGAUAAUGCAACAAACAAUAUCAUUCUAUAACUUCAAAAUGGUUUUGUAGCAUAGGACAUUAAACUUUUUAUUAUUAUAGUAAUUUUAUUCAAACAAAGGUAGCAAUACCCUUAGUAAGUUAGUAUUUUUCCAACUAAAGCAUCACUGAAUGAAAAAAACAUAAGAAACUUGAACUUAUGCCAUGAAGACAACAAGGGUAACACACAAAUUACAUGUAUCGAUAACAUCAGAUUUAGUUGUAGGCAUCAGGGUUGGCCACGAGGUAGGCUUCAAGAAGCUUGAAGAGACCGGAAGCCUUCUCUUUGCCAGCCUUAACAUGCUCUUCCUUGAUCUCAACACCACCCUUGGUAUGGCAGUGACUGGUGGUUUUGAUGAUGGAUCCUCCAUCAGGAGAUGCGGUCAAUUUGGUCUCAUAAGCGAUCUUCUCAAUCUUGUCAGACAAGGCAUCUCCUUCAAUCAUAGAGUAACUGUAUGUAAAGUUGUGUUUGUCAAUCCCAUCCACCUUAUGCUUAACAUACCCGUAUUGGCUGCCUGCAAAUGAAUUAAAACAUAAAUUAGUACAAAAAAAGUCAUUAAUAAUUUUGAGUUCAUUCAAGUGUAAAACAUACGAACAGAGGAGGAGAGUAAUGAGGGUUAUUUAACCUUCACCAAAGGUAACUUUCUUGAUGGUUCCAACACCUCCAUCGCCUUCGAUGAUUUCAGUGCUUUUAAUUGCUUGUGGAGCAAUCUUCGGGAUGAGGUUAUCGCCAUCAAGGAUAAAAGCCUUGAACAAUCUAGGUGCAGGGAUGACAGAGGUGAACUCGGUUUCAUAUGUGAAAACACCCAUGAUGAACUUUGGAUUUGGAAAAUGAUCAAAGAAAAAGAGUAUAUACUAAGACACUUGUCCAACUACGAUGAGGUUUUGAGUUGGAGAGGAAAGAAUGCUGUGGUUGGUAUUUAUAGAUCACAAGUAAGAGACUGAUGCUGUGGUGUGAUGGCGGUCCUUCUUGUUUGUCUACCAGUUUAUGCGAGUUGGUACUACAAUUCUAUCCAAUAUGUCCUAAACUGUCAAAAAGAGAGCACUAGGGGCCGAAUUAUUUUCAACACAUGCCCUUUGACUCUGCACUAGACAAAAGAUUGAUUGGGAUCGGGCUCCGGGUGGUCUUUAACUCUUUACAUUUUAAUUUUAAUUUUCAAUCCAUUUGCAGUUUUUCAAAUGGUUGGCCUUGAAGGUCAAAUUAACUGAAAAUUAACGGAAAUAUUUUUAAAUGAACUGAUGGAUCUAAUGUAUGUAUCGAAUGGAUAUAUCAAAAUAUAUUAAAUGAAUUAAUAUUUGAAUUUUCAAUCCAUUUGCAGUUUUUCAAAUGGUUGGCGUUGAAAGUAGACCUGGCAAUUUAUGUCGUGUUUUAUGUGUUCGUGUCGUUUUUGUGUCAUACCCGAUAUCUUAACAAGUCGUGUCGUGUAAAGGUCGUGUCGUGUAACACUCGUUAAAGUAAACUGGUAAAAUGACCUGAACCGAAAUCGACCCGAUAAUAUUAACAGGUAAUAUGACCCAACCCGUUACCCGUUAAGGAAAAUAUAUUUUAAACCAAUAAAUAAUCAAAUGAAAAAUAUAAUACUAAAUAAGUAUAUACAUACCAUAUUGUUACAUUCAAAACAUAAAAAAUGCAUUUUUCUCUUAAGUAUAUUUUCGCUUACCUAAAUUGAUCAAAUGGUAAAAUUGGAAAAUAUUGGAAUAGAGAAGGGGUUUUUUCAUCCAAAAAAGUUCUAAUAAUAUAAGUGAAAUAGAAUCCAACGGUACAGAUUUACUCUCAUUUAUUUUACGGCUGUUAUUUAAGUAAGGUUUUUAAUAAUUUUUUAAUUAAUGUAGAAGUGUAAAAAAUAUAGAAAAAAUAUAUAAACACUCGUAAUGACAAACUUUACAACUUUCAUGAAAAGCUUAACUUUGAAAUUCACCAUUAUAAUCAUAUAAAUCAUAGGUCAAAAUUUAACCGUUGAUUGUUAUUUACAUUUACGCUUCAUUGUUCUCAUCAAAUUUUGUUUUUUUCAGAUUUUCUUUUUUGAAAACAUGAUCUAUUAGAAGAUGCAAGAAGAUGAACGAUUUGGAUCGUUGAUAUUAUAUUCAGAGUUUUAUGGUUAGUAAAAAUAUUGCUUGAUGUUUAUAAAGUUUCUACAAACUAUAUGACAUUGACUCAUAUUUCAAUUAACCGUAAAUAUCAAAACGUGAUAUCAAAGAUCUAAACUAUUCAUCUACUUACAUCCGCCAGAUGAUCAUGUUUUCAAAAAAUAAAAUUAAAAAAAUAAAAUUCAGUAAGAAAAAUAAAGCGUAAAUGACAAUCGAUGGUUAAAUAUAAAUUUAAGGUUUAUGAAUUAUAGUGUUGGAUUUCAAAGCUGACCCCUUCAUGAAAGUUGUAAAGCUUGUCACUAUGAAAGAUUGUUUUUGUUUUUUUUUUUACAUUUUUUACACUUCUACAAUAAUUAUUAUUAAUUUUGCCCUCAAAUAAAAAAUAUUAUUCAUGAGGGUUUGGAGGAUUUUAAAAAUCUAAAUGAUAAUGUAAGUGUAACCAUUAUCUGCUUGUGGAGGAAUAAUGAUAAAUCACGAGUGUUUAUAUAUUCUUUCACAAUUUUCAUACUUGUAUGUAUGUCUUCUUAGUUCUUGCCUAUACAAAUACUAUACUAGUUUAUUUAAUUUUGGACAACAACAUGUUAAGUAAAAUUUAUCCUAGUAAUGAUAAUAAGGAACUCUCAUAAUAAAAAUAAAUAAUGACUAAAACCUUAUUUUUAAACUUAUAUAGAAUAAUAAUACAAAACUAUAUAUUUAAUAUAGAAUAUAUUGUAUAUAUUAAUAAGGCUAUUGUAUUUUAUAAUAAAUCUUUUAGUAAUUAAACUUUAAAAUUAUCAAAAUCAUUUUUUUCUUAACAGGUUACCCACAUGCUACCCGCGUGUAUACUCGUUAAGAACCCGUUAUUAACGGGUCACCCGAUAAUGACUCGAUUAGUUAUCGUGUUGACCCGAAACCCGCUAUUUUUUUGUCGAGUUAAAAAUUGUCGGCCACUUCUUGAUGUCAUCGGCCGCAACAGCCACUGCGCCUCCCACACCUGCUACGAUGUCGAUGAGUGGAAAAAUCAUAGAUGAUUUCACCGGAAGGGGCGCCGUCGGCAAGGUCUGUCAGGUGAUCGGAGCUGUCGUCGAUGUUAGGUUCGACAAAGGGUUACCGUCGAUCCUCACGGCUCUCAAGAUCUAGGAUAACUCGAAGGUGGGAUUAGAGUUAGAGAGAGAGAAGUCCUGGAUAAGGGUUUCUGGGUUUAGGGAUUAGAGAGAGAGAGAUGGAGUGUGUGUGUGUGUGUGUGUGUGUGUGUGUGUGUGUGUGUGUGUGUGUGUGUGUGUGUGUGUGUGUGUGUGUGUGUGUGUGUGCGCGAUUUGGGGGUAGGGAAGACGAUUUGGAUUUGGGGGUUUUUGUCUUUUUUGUCUUUUCUUUAAUUAAUUAUUUUAAAUAUUUUAAAUAUUUUAUUAAGUGUUUAGCCACGUAGCAUAAAUGUGGCAGCCACGUCAGCACAAAUAGUGACCUUUAUUCGCCAUGUCAUCACGUAACGGUUAACGUAACAUAUUUUUUAAUGGAUGUAUGAAAUUAAAAUAAAAUGAUAAGUAAAUGUAUGAAAUUGAAAUGUUUUAAAGAUGUUGUAAGGAAUUGAAAUCGACCUCAAACCUGAGGGGGGUAAAAUGUAAUUUACCUUUGCUUUAAUACUUCAACUGUAAGAAUUGAAUAAGCUGUUAUUAGUGCAUAUUUAGAUUGACACAUUAAAUUUUGUAUUUCAUUAUUAUCAUGUUUAUAGGUUAGUCAAACAAGAAUCUCCACAAAGGGUUAUUUAGUUUCUCAGAUCGUAAAAGUCAGCAUCAUGGGUGUUGUCACAUAGGAAAAUGAAUUCAGCUCAAUCAUUUCUUCGACUGAGUUGUUCAAAGCCCUUGUUCUUGAUGCCAAUAACCUCGUGUCCUAGAUUGCUCAACAAGCAGUCAAAGCUACUGAAAUUCUUGAGAGCAACUUCAUCCUACUAAGGCAAUUGUUAUCCGGAGUAUUAAGCUAAGAUAAUUACUGUUUUAGUGAACUGUAAAUGACCUACAAAUUUUUUUGCAUUGUGGCGCCAUGAUGAAGUCAGCAUGACGUCAUAUUGCCUUAAGUGCAAAGGCGCAAGAAUGACCGAUUGCUAAGUUCGGUGGGUUGGGCCCACUGAUUUGGGUGGGUUGGAGUUGUUUUUGUUGGGGUAGGGUGAUUGAAUCACCCAAUUGCAAAGGCAAUUGGGAGGGGUGAAGUUGCUUUGAUAAAGAUUGAGGUGUUGGAACUAUCAAGAAGACUAGCUUUGCUGAAACGUUUGUUUAAUUUCUAUCAAAAAGUUUGUUAACUUGUUAAUUUGCCUAAUUAACAAGUUAAUGUAUUGAGAGCACUAGUGUCGAUGCAAAUUUUCACCGUCUUCAGUCUUAACAAAAAUGCACCUGCAAAGCAAUUAACACAUUUGAUCAAAGAUCUAAGCCUUACACGCCCACGAGGUUGGGGGGGGGGGGAGGGUUAGGCCAAUGGAUCUCCGAUGCCUAAGUCGGUUUCUCUGAGAGAGUAAAGUGUUUAGGGUUUUUUUAGGGUAGCAAAAGCUUACCAAAAUUUGGUAGAAUAUGGGGUAUUUAUGGAGAAAUAUUCUCAAGACUUAAAUAGGAAAUAAUAUCUUGAGAUGAUGGAGUAAUUACCCCUAAUUGAUUUAAAUUGGAAUUACUUAAUUGAUUGGAAUCAAUCUUCAAUUGGGAAUGAAUUAAAGAUAGGAUUUGGGUAAUUAAUCCUUAUCUUUAAUGCUUUGACUUUUCCUUGCCAAAGGCAGGUGAACUAUGGGCAGUCGUAUUCAGCUAUUGGGACCUUCAAAGGUGCGAGAUGGGCAUAGGAGCAUCUGAGAAGCUUGCCCAUUUAUUGAGGGCAAUCUUGUCUUUCUUAGGCAAAAGUCCACGUGUCACCUCUAGAAUUUUUGAGAUUAUUUUAGCCUCCACAAAUGCCCCCACACCUGCUUGGCUGCACGUAGGAAAAUGGCAGUAGGUGUAGAAAUCUCAAGUUAUGUAGGCUUGUAGAGUUGUUUCCCAAUUUGAACUUGAUCUCCUUUCUUGAUUUGGAGAUAGACUUCUUCUACGAAAAGGAAACUAAUUGCCAACAAGGAAGAUAAGCUAGAGGAAAUUUUUCUUCCCUCUUCCCUAGCUUUCUUCUUCUUUUGCCCUUGCAAAGAGUAGUCUCUUGUUGUUGUUCUUCUUCUCCAUGCUUCACCAAGGUAAGAAAAAAUUGAAUUUUCUUCUUCUUGAUUUUUUGGGAGUCUUAGGACUGAAAAAAUUGGCUCAACGGGGGCUGAGAAAGUGUGGCUAACGUGGCAGAGACGCCACAUGGCUACAAUGCACAGUGGCAGCGCGACACAGGUUCUGCUCGGCUUGGGCCGAGGUACUAGUGGCAUGAGCUCGGCUCGGUGCUCAACUAGCGUGGGCCAGGAAAUGGCCCAACACAGGCCAAAGGCGCAGAAGCGCGGUGCAGGGCUCGGGCCCGUUGGAGUGUAGAAGAGAGGGAGAGAAAUGCAGGGCGCUCGCCCCCUCUAACAGGUGGACUAGGUCGUGGGCCAUUAGGCCUGCUUGGAGUGCUACUGGGCACGAGCCCGUGCAGGUGUAGGGUGAGAAAGUGAGAAAGUUCGGCUUGGGCCAGCUCUCGGGUCUUGGUGGUAUGAGCCAAGGGUCUGGGCUUGUUGGCUUAGUCUGGUGCACGAAGGAAGUGGGAAAAUGAGGCGUGGGCGUCCCCUCAUGUUGGGCCAUACUACUUGCGAAUAAAACGGUUGGGCCAUAGGGCCUGGUGUUGGGGCGUAAGGCUUUCGGUCAUUCAUUUUUUUAUUUAUUUUUCUUCAUACUUUUUGUAGAGACUUUGAGAUGUCUUCCUACGAUUGCGAAAGUGACGAGUAUCCUCCACCUUUAUACUGUCAAGGUGGUUCUUUCGGCAAAGUGGGCUACUUCAAGGUUGCGCAUGUGAAGAUCAAUUUUGAUGAGUUGUUCCAGAUUUUCUUAACGCGUACAAGCAUGCAAUUUCGUUAGGACGCCACGUCAAGCAGGUGAAAGAUGAUAGCGGCCAUGAACCGUGUGGCGAAGGUGCCACUACCAGGAAGAAGGCUUAUUGAAUUUUAUCUGUAUUACUUUGUGUUAGGAUUUACCCUUUUUAUGCCGCGUUUUUGUUCAGGAGGUGAUUUUCUCCAUGAAAUGUGCUCCUGCUCAAUGCUCCCCGAAUGCAAUUCAUGCAAUGUUGGGGUUCUUCAACUUGAGUAAGUUCUUUGAUCUUGGCUUGACCAUAAAUGAGUUUUGAUACUUCUCUGAAAUCGGCUACGAGGAAAGUAUAGGGCAGCUGAGAUCUCGCCAUAGGCUGCUCAAUGUUCCCUACAAAGGUGAUCAUGAGUGGGUAAAUGACACCUUGGAGGUGAGUGGAGAUUGGGAGUUUGACUCAUCUCCGAAGCUGCGCGUUCCGACUGUCUUUAUUAUCGGUAAGUGAAUUGCUUCAUUCUUGUCCUGUUUGAAUUUUUUUUGAGCUACUCCAUGACUUCAGUUUGCUGACUGUCUUUCUUACUUUGUGUAAAUUUGGAGUUUGGCUCAACUCCAAGAACUUAGGUAGAUAUGAAGAAAGUGCAUGUCACAUUGGGCAUUCAUGCUGAGUACUGUGAAUGACAAUGGCUGCUCAGUUCUCUUCGUCGAGAAAAAGGCGGGCUGCCUCCGAAGGAAGAGAUAAAGCGGAUAAAGGAUGAAGCGCUUGCUCGUCCGAUCGCUGCUGUAGAGCCUGCUGCCAAUGAAGGUAGAAAGAAGAGGUAUUCCUCACCUGCUUGUGAGCCUUGGACCGAGAAGAAGCCAAUGACUUCUUCUGCUACUCGCGGGGGUUCGUUUACUGCUGAGAAGCUUGUCAUCGAUUUGACUUUUCCAAAAGGGACGAAAAAAGUCUGUUAAGCUUAAGCCUAUGAAACCUGCUGCUCCAAAUGUGGCCACGUUCAUUGCUGAGAGGAUAGCCUAGUAGAAAUGUUCGGUGGUGCCUUUAAUGUCCAGGUUUAUGUCGAAUCGCACGUCAAGAGCUAUACCAGGUUCAGCUUCUGUAAGGCUCGUCGCUAUGAAGAGCGAGACGGUGGAUUCUGCUGAAAAUGUGGCACUUGGGCCUAUUCCUCCUUCUGCUACGACUAGUUCGUCUACUGAGAAAGGGAAAUCUGCUAGCACGGGCAGUUAUGAGGGAUCCACAGAGUCUGAGGCUGGAAAGUUUCUCGAGGUUUAUGCGUUGCUGAAGGCUGACCUACUUGAGGACGUUGAUCAUGCGCCAAGUUUGUUAACAGUGUUGGGACAGUUGUUAUCCGCUCAGACUCUUUUGCGAAACGUCAUGCCUACUCGAUGAAGUCCUCCUUAAUUGCCACAAUGUAUAAGACUUUGAUCCUGGCAUCUGAGUCAUGCGCAUUGACCAGGAUGCUGUCAAGUGUACUAAGGAAGUCGAACAAAGGGUUUGAUGUCUCUACCCCCACUUCCAUGCAGUUGGAGUUUUCUCAUCAUGAGGUCGCCCAUUUGAAGGCUAAACUUAGUACGACUCAGGCGGUGUUAGAUGCUGCAGAGAAGAAAAUCAGUCGUGUUUUUCCGAUGGUCGAAAACCUUGAGCGUCUCAAUCCGGAGCUACGAUCUUCUUGUUUCGUCUCAAGAAGGUUGCUAGUAAGCUUGAGCCCAAGGAAGUGGAUCUGCAAGGUACUCUGUCUGUUAGCGAGAACCUAAGAAAGGAACUGGAUAAGCUGCAGGUUGCUCACACUAGGCUUGUUGAGAAGAAUGUAUAACUAAAGAAUGAGAAAGUUGGUCACGAAGUGGUGCUUGCUUCUUAUCAGGUUGAUUACUACAAGCUUGGCUAUGUAGACCAUCUUCAAUGCAAGCAGUCGAAUUAUGAAUUUUUCGAGAAGGACUUCGAGACUUUCGCCAUUUCUCCAGUUCAUUUGCUUAAUUUCUUAUUUGAGGCUGCAUUUGGUGGAGCAGUUGAGGGUCAGGUAGUCCAUGCAAUGGCGGUGAGGAUGAAUUGAUGGAAACUUUGGCUGCUAUGAGCAAUGUGGCUAUUGAAGGCAUGGCAGUUGAGGAACUAGUGGUUGCAUAGACUGUCAAUGAGUAGUUUUUUUGCUUAAACUUAGGAGUUUUCUUUUUUUCCUUUUUGUCCUACUUUAUUUAAACUUUGUUAGCCUUUAAACCAGUUUAUCAAUUUGCUAGAAAUUUAAUAAUCAGAUUUCUUUCCUUUACUUCAAUCCUUCUAUUUUGCCAUGUUUUUUGCAAAACUUUAUAGUAAGAUAGGUGGUUGGGUGAGCUGCUUCAAUAAAGUAAUCGAUCCCAUAUCAUCACUUAGAUUUUAGUUUCAGCUUCGGGACUUUGGGAGCCUUGCCUGCUUGAGGUGACUUGCAAAGCUUUGGCGUUGGACGGGCAGUUGUAUUGGCUACUUUGAUAGAGCAAUUAAUCCCACAUCGUCACUUUAGGCUUUAUCUUGGCUUUAGGGCUUCUAGAGCUUUACCUGGAAGAGGAAAAAGGUGCGAGACUUUUAACUUAUAGAGCAGAAAGCUGAACUCGUUGCCUCCGUAGGAAACAAAAUAUUCCACAUAGGUAUUAUAGUCAUGAAUCUCGACUUUAAUGGCUACUUGAGCUUCGGCCCUCCUAGGGUGUGUUGCGAAGUUUUUCACUUAUAGAGUCGUUGGCCAGACUUUUGUUUCUCGUAGAAAACAGAGGAAAUCCGUGUAGCUGCUAUAGCUGUACCUCGACUUUGAGUGGCUUUUUGAGCUUCGGCCAUCCCGGGGCAUGUUGCGAAGUUUUUAACUUAUACAGUCGUUGGUUGGACACUUACUUCUGGUAGAAAGUAAAUGAGAUCCGCAUAGCUGUUAUAGUCGUCCCUCAGCUUUAAGUGGCUUCUUGAGCUUUAGUCUCUGCAAAACUUGAACCGUAGACCAUCGACCAGAAGCGUUGCUUUUAAAUAAGCAGACGAGUCCAUGUAGUCAUAGCAGGUGUAAGUCUUGACUUACGGAUUGCCUUGGGCUGCCAGCAAUUAGGUCGUUGGCUGAGCGUCUUACUUACAAAAGCAGAUUACCUGCGUGACCACUUCAGGCGUCAUCCCUGGCUCUCGGAUGUGUUUUAGGCGUGAGGUGUAGGCGGAAUCGUGCCUCAAAAGCCAUAUCCUUCCGAGUUGUAACUUGAUUCCGCAAGUCGCUUAACUAGUACUUCAACACUUAAAAACCAAGCUACUUUCAUGAAGACUUGCACGUCGAGGACAUACCAUCUAGUCACGUGAAUUCUUUCAUGGGCAGGUGUCCUGCACUUAGCUUCUCUUCCAGUUAAAGAACCGGGAUCCCACGAAAUUGAAUCAUUUAGUCAACUAAGUUUAUUUUAGGAGAAUGACUAUCUUGCCAAUUUUGGGAGUCGUCCGGCUCAAGUAGUCAUUGUAUUCCAGAAUAGUUUACCCUCUCCUAAUUAGAGAGCAUACGCCAUGUCUGCAAGGGCAAGGGUGUCUAAUGCUUGUCCCAGGCUUGUGAAUAAUUCCUUCAAUCUUCAUUGAAAAUAGAGAAAUUUAUUAACUUUGCUGGUAGGCAGUAAUGGCAUAACAACUGAUAAUCCUCGACAUGCGAGGUCUUGUUCAUCAAGCUGCUUGAGUCUUUGAACUUUAUUUAUCUUGAAGGGGGUCCAAGGAAUGGUAGGAGGUCACACGUAGUACUUUCUCAGGUUGUAGACAUUCCACUUCUCGUCCAUUUAUUUAUCUCUCAUGGUGGUGAGGGUGUAGUUGCCCAUUCCGCCUACUUGGCUGAUUCUGUAUCGAUCUUCCCAUAUGGGAGCCAUCUUUUUUUAGCCUUCCCAUCGAGCGGUGAUAAAGGCUUUUCUGAAGACUAAGUAUCCUGGCUGGAACUGUCAAAUCUUCGCCCUCUUGUUGUAGCUGAUAGGCCGUAAUGCAGGUGAUAACCUUUUUGCGCUUUUCCUUUGCCAGGUAUAAGUUCGUGGCCAUCUCUUUCUCGAUUUACUCGAAAUUCAGCAGUACAGUGCUGAUGCUUGGCACCAUGAUGUUGGGAAGAAUGAUCGCCUCAGAGCCAUAAGCCAGGAAGAAUGGAGUUUCGUCAGUUGCUCGUCUCUUGGUGGUGCAAUACGCCUACAGAACACCAGGAAGCUCGUCUGGCCACUUGCUCUUCUUGUUUGAGAAUGACUUAUAGAAGCAGUCGAGGAUGGUUUUGUUGGAUCCCUCGGCCUACCUAUUGCCCUGCGAAUACCGAGGCAUGGACAUGUGCUGCUUGAUGUCAUAUUUUUUUAAGAACUUCUCUAAGUCUUUGCCAACGAACUACGGGCCAUUGUCGGUGACGAUGGAGUGUGGGAUACUGAAGCGACAGAUGAUGCUCUUCCAUAUGAAGCACUCUAUAUCUGUGUGGGUAGUUGUAGUCAUGGGUUCAGCUUCGACCCAUUUUGUAAAGUAGUUGGUCGCUACGAUCAUCAUGCCUCUGCCCCUAAUGGCAAGCGGCAUUGGUCCUACCAGGUCAAUCGCCCACUGCAUCAAUGACCAAGGGUUCGUCUGGGGGUGGAGAUCACUAACAGGUAAUGCGAGCAUAGGCUUCAAGUGCUGGCAACUAUCGCACAUUUGUACAUACUUUUUGGCGUCUUGAUGCAUGUUUGGCCAGCAAUAGCCAACGUUAAGAGCUUUUUGUGCCAUGAAACGGCCUCUAGAGUCAUUUCCACAGACGUCUUCGUGGAUUGAGCUAAAAAUCUUCAAGUUAUCAGGAGGCAAUAAGCAGCAAAGAUGUAGUCCUGAGAAGGAUCUGCGAACGAGCAUAUCGUUCCACAUGUAGUAGCGUGUUGCCUUCAUCUGGAGCUUUUUACACUCCAGUCUGUCUCCUGGAAGCAUUUCAUUGACUAAGUAGUCGAUGAUGUGAUCAUGCCAACUCGAAGUUGUGUUGAUCUGCUCCACCUCGACUGCUGGUUCCUCAUUUAUACUCUGCUUCUCCAAGUACUCUACUGGGAUGAAACACUUGAGCUGAUGGUCUAAGGUAAAGCCUAAGCCUGCUAAUGCGUCUGCGUGGGCAUACCUUGUUGAGUCAACAAGCAGGUCAAUUCGGGGAACCGGGUAGUUGUCUUUAGGGUAUGCCUUGUUGAGGUUGGUGUAAUCCACACAUACUUUCCAUUUGCCCUUAUCUUUUUUCUUCACAGCACGACGUUGGCUAGCCAUGCUGACUGUGCCACUUCCUCAAUGAAUCCGACCUCCAGUAACUUGUCAAUCUCAGCCUCGAUAAUCGUUACUCGCUCAGGUGGAAAAUGUUGCCUCUUCUGGAUCAUAGGUUUGGCAACGGGUAACCAUGCGAAAACGUCACAGUUUUCCUUAAGGAAAACCGUGAGUUUUUCCUUCUUCAUUGGGCUCAGAAGUGAGCCAAUCCUAGCCGUCUUUUUUGGAUGGUAGGGGUCAAAAAUGAUGUCAUCGGCGUUCUCUUCGAGUUUCCAUCCUGAUUCAUCUUCCAGGGCAUUGUCGACCUUGACGCCAUCUUCUUAACCUGCCUACUGUAGUUGCUAUUUGGCGGGGGUCGAGUAGUAUUUAUGCACUUCAGCUGCUAUUGCUAGGGCGAAAAACUUCUUCUUCGACUUCUUAAGAACUUGCAUAGUGCAUCUCCAAGACAUGGCAUGGUCGUCUUUGAUCUCUCCUACUGCUCCUCCCAAUAUGCAAAAUCGGAUCUUUUAAUACUCGAUCGAGGUCAUAGCUCCAAUCUUCACUAGCCAAGGUCAGCCCAAUAUCCCAUUAUAGGGAGAUGGGCCACUGACGAUCAUGAAGGUUUGAAUGAUACAAUCGGUGGGCUGGUUACAUCAAGAGUGAUGAUGUUGAUGGCAAUUGAGGUAAGUUCAUUGAAUUUGGUCAAGACUUUUGCUUUGCGUUUGAUCGUGCUUUCUAGGCCCAUUUUCUGGAUGACUGACAGUUGUAGGAUGUUGAUCGAGCUGCCAUUGCCCACCAUAAUUCAGUUAAUGAUGGCAUGCGCCAGUUGAACAGAAAUCACCAAGGCGUCGUCGUGGGGAAAAUCUAUUCCAUCCUCGUCCUGCUUGGUAAAGCCAACGAUUGUCCAGGUACAACAUCUAUGGCUUGAAACUGAAAGACCGAUCUCGCCUGCUGGAUCUUCCCCUUCUUGGAGUUGUUGGUGGUCCCUAGAUGCUCAUACUCGGCAAAGAUUGUGAAAGUGAAUUAAAACCUGAGAGGUGUUAAUGUAAUGUCUCAAACGUGAGGAAAUUUUGUGAAAACUCGAUAAACCUCAGGAGGUGUUAUUGUAAUUAACCAAACCACUGCAAUAUAUUUAUCUCGUCUGCUUUUUCGAAAUUUCAGUUUGCUAAAAAUGUGUGCUUUUCUCUUUGUCACUUUCAAUAGGAAUUUUCAGUAUAAUUGAAAAACCAUUUCGUAUAUUAGUUUAGUUAUGUUAUACCAAGUAUAUUGUCGGCCAAAAUUAAACUUUUUAUCUUCUUCUCUAUCAUUUGAUUUGACCAAACUUCUUGUUCUGAACAAGUUGAGCUCAAGUUUACAUCGGAGAACAUGUCUGCACAUUUGUUAAUUUGAGGGGGUUUUUAUUCAAGGAAUUUUGAGGUGAAAUUCAUGUAAUUGGAAGGGAAAAAUAAUACUCCAAGGUAAAUAUCAUAAAUAAUUUACAUUUAACUAGUGUAUAUAUGUUUUAUUUAUUGAGAUUAAAAUCAAAUACUACGUUCCUCUUUAAUCAUAUCCAAAGUGCAAGUCAAAGAAUUGCUUUGGUACGAUAAUAAAUUGAAACACACAGCUGAAUAAACAGAGAAAGCAAAACACAAGAUUGUUGCCAGAUGGAUGGUUUUAGUUGUAGGCAUCAGGAUUGGCCACAAGGUAGUUCUCAAUAAGCUUGAACAGAUCAUGGGCCUUGUCUUUUCCAACCUUAACAUGUUCUUCUUUGAUCUCAACAUCUCCCUUAGUGUGGUAGUGGCUGGUGUUCUUGAUGAUGGAACCACUGCCAGAUGCCACCAACUUAAUUUCAUAAGAGAUCUUCUCAAUUUUGUCAGAAAUGGCAUCCCCUUCAAUCAAGCUAUAGCUAUAGUCAAAGUUAUCUUUGUCAAUUCCCUCAACCUUGUGCUUCACAUAGCUGUAUUCACUCCCUGUCAAAUGAAAAUGAAAUAGAAAUUAAGAUACUAGCUAGUAUUUUCAAUAUGUGUGUGUGUGUGUGUGUGUGUGUGUGUGUGUGUGUGUGUGUCUACAUACAAGAAGCUUUUAUGGGAAGGGAUCUCCAUUUUUUUUUUAUAAAAAUGGGGAUUAGUUGUGGAGUCUAUCCGACAUCGAAUUUUAAGGAUCCAAACCGUCUAUAUUGCAAGUAGCACCUUAUAGAUCAUUCUUGCAAAAUAUUAGCCAAAUCGGAAAUAUUUAAGACAUCUAAUUGAGUUCAAAAAAAUUAAUGAAUACUUUAUUAUAUAAGAAACAAUGAUAUAUAUAUAUAUAUAUAUAUAUAUAUAUAUAUAUAUAUAUAUAUUAAAUAGGUAAAAUUAACAAAUUAAUGAAUAAAACUGUGGAAAUUAAGCUAACCUUCACCAAAGCUAACUUUCUUGAUGGUUCCAACACUGCCAUCUCCCUCGAGAAUUUCAACAGUUUUGACUGCUUGUGGAGCAAUCUUCGGGAGGAGGUUGUCAGCAUCAAGAACAAGGGCAUAAUACAACCUAGCAGGAGGGAUGACUGAGACAUAUUCGGUUUCGUAUGUGAGGACACCCAUGAUGAUUUUUAAGGGCUUAGGAAAUGAUCAAGGAAAUUAAUGAAAAGAGGAAGCUAGGAGGAUGAUCGAUGUUGAGGUAAGAUAAUGUUCUCUCCAGAGGGUGGUAUUUAUAGAUUUGGUAUGGAGGGUAUAUGUGUAAACUAACCGGCCCCUUAUGUAUAAUUUCAAAUGCAUGCAUAAAAAUAAAAACAAAGAAAAAUCAAUGCAUAAAUAUUUUAGUCAAAGAAAGCCACCAAUAGAAACGUAAUAUAAGUUUUUUUUUUUGUCAAAUGGCAAACUUUAUUAAAUUCUAAUAUGAAUGUUUACAUCUUCAGCAAAAACAUUAAAUAAAAAUUCCGGACCAAUAGCAUCCCAACGGAAGGCACCUCCAAGUGAGGCAACGUAUGAGGCGACAACAUGAGCAGCGACAUUUCCAUUCCACUUGACAAACCUAAACCUCACCCCUCGAAAUUGAGACUUUUUUUAAUUUUUAAUGCAUAUCAACAAAAAAAUACAAAAACAUUAUUCUCUCACUUUGUUUCCAAAAAUGAAAAUAUUUACUGAUGGAAAAAAAAUAUGAUACCCUAAGAAAAGAGAGUACUUGUAUUCUUUGAUAGAAUAAAGAGUAUUGUUCAACUAACACGGUACUAAUGAGGUUAUUGAAUGUAAUUGUUUAUCACACUAUCAUGUUGAUUGUUACGAUAUAAAUGUUUUGUUAGAGGAUAGAUGUAAUUAGUGGACGUCAUGAAAUUCUUCAUUAUUGUAUUCAUUUUUUGGGCCUUUACAUUUUAAUGGUAUUGUAAUAACGUUAAAAUUCAACUUUUGAGCUCCUUAAUACUGUAACAAUGAUAAUUUUACGUUGUGGUCAUCAUUUUACACUAUUGAAGUAUAAUAUUAUACAUGAACGUGCUUACAUUACAAAAAUAUCGUUCAAACAUAGCUAGUGAUAGAGCCACAUAGAGCCUAGGAUUGGCCAGGCUUACCUUGGAUAUAUGUUUAAUUAUCUGCAAAUGGUUCAAAAACUAGCGGUGCCCCAUUUGUCGGUUGUGUUUUGCACUUCCAAAAGGCCACGGUUCGAGACUUUUCGGCAUGCUAAACACUUCUAGAUUUUUUUUUUAACUAAAAGGGAAAAAAAAACCCUUAUAAGUUAUCUUAUUUUUUACCAUAUUAAAGCUAACCCCUAUUUUUUGUUAUAAUUGGCCUUAUGUUUUAGCUAUAAAAACCACGUAGUUGAGACCAAUGUCUUAUUUUAAGUUAUAACCUUAAAUUUAGUUUGAAUUUAAUGUGUUAGUUUUUUUAUAUCAAAACAAGUGUAGGUAAUCAUUUCAAAACUAAGAUUUUCAUACAAAAUUAAGGCUCCGCCAUUCAUGUUUGAUUGAAAAAUUUCAUGCCAAAACAAAACACAAAAACUUUAAUUUUCCUCUCAUUAGUUGUAUUGUAAUUAAUAUUUCUAGUUUUUUUUGUAGGGCUUCAAGGGCCCUUCCUAGUCUGAUUUUUUGACUCUGCCACUGAUCAUAGCUAUGAAUACCCUUUGUUUUUUAAAAGGUGUAGACUAUUGAGUGUACAAUUUUUGUAUAUAAGAAAAAAAGGUUCAUCCAUGUAAAAAUGUGUUAGCUAUAUAAAAUAUAUAGAAAACUUGAAUGAACACUCAUUAUAUGCUUGUAAUCAAAUUUUUUUAUAUGUUCUAGUAUUUUAUACUAUACAUAUCAUCUAUUUUAAAAUUUAUGUUUCCAAUAUAAUUAUAUAUUUUUUAGAAUAAGAAAAUAUUUAUUAUAUGUUUUAUAAUAAAAGGUAAGUAAAACUAAAAGCAGACCUCCUAGACGCUUAUACUGGUCGUAAGCUCUGACUGGUCGGCUGACUUGGACCUUUUAGAACGUUGGUGUAUAAGAAUAUUAUUAUUUUUUAAUCAUAUAAAGUAGAUAAUAUUAUAUAUUUUUUCUCAUUAUCCGGUAUCUUUUAUGUCAGACCUAGAAAACCCAUGUUUGGAUGAUUAUGUACGUUGAACGUGGACGGAUUUUUAGGACAAUCAGCUUUUUGGACGUAUCAAGACAAAUAUUGGUGCCAAUUUGCACGAUCAGAUUGGGUUAGAAGGUAGUUUGUUGAACGUGGGCGGAUUUUGAGGACAAUCAGCUUGUUGGAUGUAUCAAGACAAAUUUUGUUACUAAUUGCAUGAUCAGAUUGAUUAAACGGAUAUGACUUGAAAAAUUAAUUCCUACUUAUUCAUGCGGCCCGAAUACAAAAUGAUCCACGUCUUUCGCAUAUUAACUGUACUUAAUCAUUUCUAUUGUCAAUAAAAAAAACGUUCCUCUUGAAAAGCUGUUUUUUUUCAAAUUUAUUAUUAUUUAAGGGGAGCGGGGAGGGGGAGAAAGAAUAAGACAGUUUGAAACCAUUACAAUAGUUUUAAGAAGAGAAGUUUUGAAUCUAGGACGUAUAGGUGGAAAAUAGGGCUAGAAAAAAAUCCCGAAAAUUCCAAAAUGUACCAAAAAAAUCCCGAUCCCGAACCAUUCGAUAUGGAAAUUGGUCUCACCAUUGUAAGAGUUUGGUAAUCCCAAACUGAACGGAAACCUUAAUAUAUAUAUAUAUAUAUAUACAUAUAAUAUUCUUUUUGUUAUGACAAUUACUUAUUGGUGCUUUUGUUUUAGUUAAAGCGGCUUAAGACUGUCUUUCAGCUUCAUGCCACUAAAACAAACAAGCUAACUAAAACCUAUAUAUCUUUCACCAUCAUUUUUCAGUUUGCGUCCACGAGCACUACAAAAUAAAAGCUCAUCUACCACGAUAAUUUUAUCACGGGCUUUAUGUGUCCGUUAUAAAAAGUACAAAUUUAUGACGGGCAUAAGAAGCACGUGAUAAAUAACAAUUUUAUAUCACAGACAAAUUUAGUCUGUUGUAAAAUAGCAGUGAAUGACGAUGCGCAAAGUUGUACGUUGUAAAUUUACUAAGCCACCAUGAAUAAUGCUCAUGAUCAAUAUUGUCUGUAUCCAUAGCGCCUUUUUGUUAUCUACCACGGGAAAAAUGUGUAGUAUUGUACAUGCUUAAUUGAAAAUUUUGGAGGAGGCUGGACACCAAAAUUUUGCAAAAUUUCAAACUAUGUAAUUAUCUGUAUUAUUUAAGAAAAUAAAAACUGAAACAAUAAUCGUUUAGAACCAGAUAAACACCACACCACAUCCAUCGUGCAAAACUAGACCAGUAAAAGAAAUCGAAGUAGUUUUCUAAACGUAUGUCUAUGAAGUGCAAUUAAAUUCUGAAACCCACUAUCCACUUCUCCCACGACAGUUUCCUCCACAAAGGAAAAGCUAUGUUGUUUAUUCGAUCCUCUCAUGUACUUUUUUUAUUGCAAUUUUAGUUUAUCUGGUUUAUUUUUAUUUAUCGAUUAGAUUCCUCCAUUAAUUUGGUAUUAAAUUCUGCAAUUGUUUUGUUGUUUUGGGUUCACUGUAUUUCUGACUCUCCAUUAUGUUUAUUAGGGGUUUUGAUAAAGCUAGAUUUCUUGUUUCAUCGACUUUGGGGUAGAAUUGUACAAUGGCUGGCCAGUCCAAGAGUGAAUCCACCUACGAUUUCACUGGCAAGGUUGGUUUUUGACAAAAAAUUAUUAUUUUCCUUUUCCAUCUACUCUACAAUUUGAAGUUUUGGUAAAUUAUUUUUUAACAUUAACAAUCGAACGCUCUCAUAUUUUGUUUUUAGGUUUACUGGGUUGUAUCAGCAAAAUCUUCCAUCUAUUUACUCCUCCUUUGUUAAAUGAAUCUCUAUAAUGGACAAGGAUUGUCUACCCUCCUAAUUGUGGUGCCCUUCCAUGCCCUCCUAUUUUGUGCGGUCACGGUUAAGCCAUGUCAAUAUUUUAUAUUAAUUUUUUAAUGAGAUAAUAAGACAAAAAAUAAUAAAAAUAUAAAAUAUUAAUGUGGCUUAACCGUGGCAGCACAAAAUAGGAGGGCAUGGAAGGACACCACAACUAGGAGGGCAGACAAUCCUUGUCCCUCUAUAAUUUAGGUUUGAUUUUUAUGCUUCAGGAUUCGUAGUUUACAAUAUAUUCUUUUAAAUUUCUAGGUUAAGUAUUGGCUGAUAAUGCUUUCUCCGAUUGAGUUGGCUGGCGCAGAGACCAAAUUGGAGCGGUCCUCCUUGUGGAGGAAUCUGCUAGAAUUCUUUUUGCGCAAAUUUUCUUUCUUUAGUCCUUUUAUUUUAUUUUAAUUAAUUAUCUUUGCUUUCUUAAAUAUUUUGUGUUGCUCAGUUUCAAUAGUUAGUGGAUUUUUUCCCAUUUAAUAAGCUUGCUCGCAUUAAAAUUAAUGGGAUAUAUAGUUAAUAUGUAAUUGGGUUUUUUAAUUAUUAUUUUAUUUUUAUAUUAGUGUAAUCGAUGAGUAGAUUGAAUUUGUAUAUGAUGCUCUUCAUAGAUGAGUUUUCUUUCAAACCUUUAUAUAUGAAUAAACUUUAUGAUAUUAGAUUUAUUGAUGUUCCAGUAAUUGGAUGGGACUGUUUAAAACUAUCAGUUUUGUUAUGCUUCAUUUUUAUUAGAUAAAUUAGAUUUUCUUUUGAUCCAUGUGCUUAUGUCUAUACAGAUAAAGAGAGCAAUUAGUGAGGUUCAAGCAUUAGGAGCAAUAUUUCACUUUCAAAGGACUUCAUUUGGAGGUGUCUAAAGAAAAGUGAAGUAUUUCAAGUGACAAUUUCCUUGUUUUUAAAGGCAUAUUUGGUAAUUCAUGUGCAGUUUAAAUCACGGGUGGCGUUGUUAGCCUUGCACCUCUUGUAAUACAAUUUGGUAUUCUUGGUAUAAAUCAUUGGUGGUGUUGUUAGCUUUGUACAUCUUGUGAUACGUUUUGACUAUAUGAUUAUUCAUGAAAUAUUGUAUUAUAGUAAAUGUGCAAUUUUGUUGUUUCUUUAUAUAUUUUUAAUUAAUUUUUAUUUAUUUUAGAAAACAUUUUAUAACAGGCAUUGAUCAUGGUCAAUUAGUAAUCCACAACGGUCGUAACGCAUGGUGUUUAACUCUAAUCCAUCAGGGGCACUGUCCGUGAUUAUUAUGUAAUUAACAACGUACUUUGUCUAUGGUAAAAGUUAUGACUUUUUAUCACGUCUAGAUACUUAACGGGUAUAUUGUCCAUGGUGAAUUGCAAUUUACCACGGGCUUUCACCGUGAAAGAUGUGGGUUUGUCUUCCAGUGGAGCCAUGUGUCCUCAAUAAAACAAAGAAUAUAUUACACAUCUUUCGUCCUAAUAAGUAGGUAGUAGGAUUUGAAUGCCAAUGCUUUCAAGAUGGAAAGGAAAGUGGUCACUACUCCUGUUGUUUAUCAGUCUACAGAUUUUAGGGUUAUUGAUUAAUACUAUGUUGUUUAUCAGUCUCCUAUUCAUUGUUAUUCACCCCCUACAAUGACUGCCAUCUUUACAGAAUUGAUAAGCCCAUUGUUUGUCAUUAUAAACCCCACUUUAAUAUUCAGUUCAAAAUUCAAAUAAAUUAAAAAAUCCCAACAAUUUGGGCUUGAAGGCCCAAUCCAGAACUAACCCGAAAUCCCCCACCCCAAAAAUUAGGAAUUCUGAAACUUCGGUUUGAUUUCGGAUUUUAGAAUCAUGUCCCGAAAAUUAUUGAUUGGGAUUUGGUUCGAAAUUCCUACCCGAACCGGCCCUAGUGAAACCCAAUAUUUUAUCUACUAUAAUAUUGGACAAUACUAUUAAAAAGCUGUUCUAUAUAAACACUCUUUCAAGUGAUCAUGCACUCUUUGAAUUAAAAAUUUUCCCUUUUAUAAAUUUUUUAGAUUGUCAAUGUUGAUUCCCUUUUAUAUCAAUUUAGAUUUUCCUUGUUAUUUUUUGAAUGUAUUUGUUGAUUUGCCCCAUAAAUUUGUAUAGAGGUGUCAAUUUCUCUCAUAAACUUUAAUUUUAGCCGAUUACUCCCCUGAAUUUUUAUAAUUAGCCAAUUUCCCACAUGAACUUUAACUUUAGCCGAUUAACCCCCUAAAAUAUUAUAUAGUAAAUUACACAAAACUAUCUCAACUAUAGAUCAAACCACAAUCUCAUACCUUAUGGUUUAAAAAUUGGGAGUUUUAAAGAAAAGCCCACGGUAUUGUUUACUUUAACGAAAAACUACAUUUUUAUACUAAAAAGUCAAACAUGGUAUUAUUCACUUUAUCCUUUAUUUUGUCCUUAUCAUUAAAAAUCAAAGUUUUCAAGCCAUUUUCAUUAGUUUUCCUUUAAAAAUUACAAUGUCAUACCUCAUCUUACGAAUUUGUUGCAAUGUUAGACCUCCGUCAAUUUUUCUGUCAAUUUUUUUAUUAAAUGUUGACGUGACUUACAUAACCCACUCCCUACCUGACCAAAUUAAAAAAUUAAUUAAAUAUUAAAAUUAAGAAUUAAAAGGCGUGGGAUCCACCCCCACAAACCCAUCAUUCUUCCCCAUUACACCGACGACAUCCCAUCUCCAGGCACCCAACCUCACCACCCUGCUUCCCCAGUACGCCCACCGUCCUCCUCCUCAAACCCCCAGAACAGCAGCAACCACCACGUCGUCAUGCUCAUCCUCCUCGGCUUCCUUCAAGGGCUGCUGCUGCCGUCUCUUCUUACUCUUCUCCUUCCUAGCACUCCUCGUCCUCGCCGUCGUGCUCGUCAUCAUACCUCCGCCUCAGUCUCUCUCUCUCUCAGCAGUCACGUGCUCUUCUCAACCGCUAACCCCAACAAGGUUGGGAUCAAGUACGACGAGUCCAGGUUCACUGUCAUGUACCUUGAGAUUUCAUGGGCAAGGCCUCCAUCCCCGGCUUCUACCAGGACGCCGACACUAUCGGCCAAGUCAUCGCCACCAUCGCCAUCAAUCGAGUCAAUUUUCUGACGCUGCUAAUUUAGUCUGCGACGCUUCCUUCAAUGUGUUUCCUGCAUCAAAACCCACUUCCCAAUUUUUCUUUGAAUUCUGUUCGGCUACUAAGAAAAUCACAGAAACCCACUAUCUUCGGUGGGGGAGAGUUCUUGGAGCUUUGGUUCUUCCAGAAGAGGAAGGGUUGAUGUGGAGGUGGAAAGAAGGGGAGGAGAGCAACGGAGGGAGGGGGAGUCGAAGGUGUGGCGGAGGAGGUUGAGGUGGAGGCAGGUGGUGAGGUUGGGUACCGGAGAUGGGAUGUCUUCGAUGUACCGGGGAAGAAGGAUGGGUUUGUAGGGGUAGGUCCCACGUUUUUUAAAAUAAAAAUUUAAAUGAUUUAAUUUUUUUAAUUUUUAAUAUUUAAUUAAUAUUAUGUAUCCCUUUCUAGCAUUUCUCCUAGAGUUUUACAUGUCAAAUGGUGAGUGAAAAAAAUAUACAGAAAAGAUAACUAGCAUUUCUCUUAUUUCCAACAAGUCACGCACCAUUUACUUGAUCAAAGCAUAAUCACAUAGAGACUACUGCAGGGUUAGUCUAAGACCUUUUGAACAAGGAAGCAAAUCCAUGCCCGUACCAUCAAGUACGAGUUCUGUCUUAUAGGACCAAUUGGAAGGGCUUUUUCAACCAUGUAUGCAAAGUGUGGGAAUUUGCAAGCAGAAUGCUUAUGAAGUAGAAUCCCAUUGUUCAUAAGCAUUCUCAAUUUCUCAGGGAAAAAGAAGAUGAAGAUGGUGAUGUUUUUUAAUAUUUUAUUUAUUUAUUUAUUUAUUUUUCUAUAAAGUAAUAAAUAUUUUCAUUAUUAUUGAAGCAUUAGUUAUGAGGGUAAAGUUGUCAAUUUAUUAGCAAAAUGUUGACUGAAGGGGCUAUGUACAAGUGAAUUAAAAUAUAAGAGGGUGUUAAUGUAAUGUUUCAAACGUGAGGAGAUUUUAUGAAAACUUGUUAAACUUCUAGAGGUGUUAUUGUAAUUAACCCAACCAUUGCAACAUAUUUAUCACGUCUAUUUUUCGAAAUUUCCUGUGUGCUUCUCUCUUUGUCACUUUCAACAUGAAUUUUCAAUAUAAUUGAAAAACCACAUCGUAUAUUAGUUUAGUUAUGUUAUACCAAGUAUAUCGUCGUCCAAAAUUAAACUUUUUAUCUUUUCUUCUCAAUCAUUUGACCAAACUUCUUGUUCUGAACAAGUAGAGCUCAAGUUUACAUAGGAGAACACGUCUGCACAUUUGUUAAUUUAAGGGGGCCUUUAUUCAACGAAUUUUGAGGUGAAAUUUAUGAAAUUGGAAGGGAAAAAUAAUACUCCAAGGUAAAUAUCAUCAAAUAAUUUACAUUUAACUAGUAUAUAUAUGUUUUAUUUAUUGAGAUUAAAAUCAAAUACAACAAUCCUUUUUAAUCAUAUCCAAAGUGCAAGUCAAAGAAUUGCUUUGGUACGAUAAUAAAUUGAACCACACAACUGAGUAAACAGAGAAAGCAAAACACAAGAUUGUUGCCAGAUGGAUGGUCUUAGUUGUAGGCAUCAGGAUUGGCCACAAGGUAGUUCUCAAUAAGCUUGAACAGACCAUGGGCCUUGUCUUUUCCAACCUUAACAUGUUCUUCUUUGAUCUCAACAUCUCCCUUAGUGUGGUAGUGGCUGGUGUUCUUGAUGAUGGAACCACUGCCAGAUGCCACCAACUUAAUUUCAUAAGAGAUCUUCUCAAUUUUGUCAGAAAUGGCAUCCCCUUCAAUCAAGCUAUAGCUAUAGUCAAAGUUAUCUUUGUCAAUUCCCUCAACCUUGUGCUUCACAUAGCUGUAUUCACUCCCUGUCAAAUGAAAAUGAAAUAGAAAUUAAGAUGUUAGCUAGUAUUUUCGAUAUAUAUGUGUGUGUGUGUGUGUGUGUUAAAUAGGUAAAAUUAACAAGUUAAUGAAUAAAACUGUGGAAAUUAAACUAACCUUCACCAAAGCUAACUUUCUUGAUGGUUCCAACACCGCCAUCUCCCUCGAGAAUUUCAACAGUUUUGACUGCUUGUGGAGCAAUCUUCGGAAUGAGAUUGUCAGCAUCAAGAACAAGGGCAUUGUACAACCUAGCAGGGGGGAUGACUGAGGCAUAUUCGGUUUCGUAUGUGAGGACACCCAUGAUGAUUUUUAAGGGCUUGGAAAAUGAUCAAGGAAAUUAAUGAAAGGAGGAUGCUAGGAGGAUGAUCGAUGUUGAGGUGAGAAAAUGUUCUCUCCAUAGGGUGGUAUUUAUAGAUUUGGUAUGGAGGGUAUAUGUGUAAAGUAACCCCGCUCCUUAUGUAUAAUUUCAAAUGCAUGCAUAAAAAUAAAAACAAAGAAAAAUCAAUGUAUAAAUGUAUUAGUCAAAGAAAGCCACCAAUAGAAACUUAAUACAAAUUUAUUAUAUGAAGAUAUUAUUGAAGGUGUAACAUUAUCUUCGACAUAAAAGAAAAGACAAUCUUACAAUGUCGGUGGGCUGUUUGAUGAUGAGAUGCUUACAAACCAUAAUUUGGAUAAUGGCACAGGUGGCGAGGAUGACACAGGAGAAAUAUCAUGAUCAGUACGUAUAGUAUAAGGUAUAACAUACAAGAACUUGGUCUCUGAAGGCUAAUUAGGUGUAACUUUUUUUUUUAAUUUUUAAUGCAUAUCAACAAAAAAAAAAUACUUGAACAUUAUUCUCUCACUUUGUUGAUACCCUAAGAAAAGAAAGUACUUGUAUUCCUUGAUUGAAUAAAGAUUAUUGUUCAACUAACACAGUACUAAUGAGGUUAUUUAAUGUAAAUUUUUAUCACACUAUCAUGUUGAUUGUUACGCUAUAAAUGUUUUGUUAGAGGAUAGAUGUAAUUAGUGGACGUCAUGAAAUUCUUCAUUAUUGUAUUCACUUUUUUUGAGCUCCUUACUUUUACAUUUUAAUGAUGUUAUAAUGAUGUUAAAAUUCAACUUUUAGGCUCCUUAAUACUGUAACAAUGAUGAUUUUACGUUGUGCUUGUCAUUUUACACUAUCGAAGUAUAAUAUUAUACAUGAACGUGCUUGCAUUACAAAAAUAUCGUUCAAAGGGAUCUUGUUUGAUUUCUGGCUCCGCUACUGAUCAUAGCUAUGAAUACCCUUUUUUUUUUUGAAAGGUGUCGUAGACUAUUGAGUGUACAAUUUUUUGUAUUUAUGAAAAAAAGAUUCAUCCAUGUAAAAAUGUGUUAGCUAUGUAAAAUAUAUAGAAAACUUGGAUGAACACUCAUUAUAUACUUGUAACCAAACUUUUUUGUAUGUUCUAGUAUUUUAUACUAUACAUAUCAUCUAUUUUGAAAUUUAUGUUUCCAAUAUAAUUAUAUAUUUUUUAGUAUAAGUAAAUAUUUAUUGUAUGUUUUAUAAUAAAAUUAAAUAAAACUAAAAACAGACCUCCUAGACGGCUAUGCUAGUCGUAAGCUCUUACUCGUCGGCUGAUUUGCACGUUUUAGAACGUUGGUAUAUAAGGAUAUUAUUAUUUUUCAAUCAUAUAAAGUAGAAAAUAUUCUAUAUUUUUUCUCAUUAUCCGGUAUCUUUUAUGUCAGACCAAGAAAAAACAUGUUUGGAUGAUAUGUAUGGUGAACGUGGACGGAUUUUUAGGACAAUCGGCUUUUUGGACGUAUCAAGACAAAUUUUGGUACCAAUUUGCAUGAUCAGAUUGGUUUAGAUGGUAGUUUGUUGAACGUGGGCGGAUUUUGAGGACAAUCAGCUUGUUGGACGUAUCAAAACAAAUUUUGUUACUAAUUGCAUGAUCAGAUUGAUUAAACGGAUAAGACUUGAAAAAUUAAUUCCUACUUAUUCAUUUGGCCCGAAUACAAAAUGAUCCACGUCUUUUGCAUAUUAAACGUACAUAAUCAUUUCUAUUGUCAAUAAAAAAACGUCUCUAUUGAAAAGCUGUUUCUUUUUUUCAAAUUUAUUAUUAUUUAAGGGGAGCGGGAAGGGGGAGAAAGAAGAGGACAGUUUGAAACUAUUAGAAUAGUUUUGGGAAAGGGAGUUUCGAAUCUGGGACGUGUGGGUGGAAAAUAGGGCUAGAAAAAAAUUCCCGAAUAUCCCAAAAUGUACCCAAAAACUCCCGAUCCUGAGUUGAAAAAAUCUCGAACCAAAAAUCCUGAAAGUUUCAGUUCCACAACCCCAACCGAUCCUGAACCAUUCGGUACGGGAAUCAGUCUCACCAUUUUAAGAGUUUGGUAAUCCCAAACCAAAGCGAAACCUUAAUAUAUAUAAUAUUCUUUUUGUUAUGAUAAUUAAUUAUUGGUGCUUUUGUUUUAGGUAAAGCGGCUUAAGACUGUCUUUCAGCUUCAUGCCACUACAACAAACAAGCUAUCUAAAACCUAUAGGGGGUGUUUGUUUACUCUCAUUAAAGUGUACUGGACUGACAGGACUAAGGGUUAGUCCAGUCCCAUGUUUGUUCCCAACAUGGACUAGGUUUAAUGAGACUAAGUGUCACUCGCUCCGACAAAAACGCUUGCUAGGGGGUCUUAGCAAGACCCCCCGAAAAGGAGCGGACUGCUAGUCCCUGCUUCGCCCCAUCUUUGCUUCGCUUCACCCCUCCCCGCUUUGCCCCAUCUCUGCUUCGCUUCACCCUUCCCCGCUUUGAUGUCCUUCCCUUCCCAGAAAUCCUAAUUGAGCUUCGCCGUAUUUCCUCUCCCAGAAAAGUUAGAAAUGUUUAUCAGAGAGAUAAAAAGAGAGAACAAUGGAGUCUCCAUGACUUUGCUGACGAGAGGAGCAUCAAAAAUCGGGUACAAGAUUUCGGUUUAGUUGGGCAAACAUGGAACUUCGAUUGUCGUCAGGCAUUUAUGUAAAUUUCUCACUAUUAAAUUUAAUCCCCAUUUUUUUAACUGCAAUUUGCUCCAAUAUAUGACCAUCUGAGUAGUUGUUAGUAUCUUGUGUUUGUGUUCUUUGUUGUUGAUUUUGUUUUAUGGGUUUUAUUCGGUGAUGCUUGUUUUAUGAAUUUUGUUUUUUGUGUGCAAAAAACAUGUAUAAUAGAUUGUUGUAUUUGUUGCAGGCUAUCGGAUUUGAGGGCGAUAUGUGAAUUUUUGUAUAUAUUUUUUAUUAUUAGAAAAUUAUGAAUGCAACAAUGCUAGAAAUUGUAGGAUUUGAGGGCUUGGAUUUGUGAGUUGUCUUUGAAAUCUCAAAUUGUAGGAUUUUUUUGCUCAAUGAUUUCUGCAAUCAUGGUUUAGGGUUCUAGAGGCUUGGGUUUUGUUGGGUUUAGCUUUCAAUGAUUUUCCAUAAUCGAUUUUUGCAUGUUUUUUAAAGAGUUAAGGUUGAUGCAUUACUCAGGCAUGAGUUUGUUCUUAUGUAUGCUUGUUAUGAUGAGGUUCAGCCAAAGUCAUAGAAAGUCGUCGUAGGAAUGAAAAAGGAGACUGAGAAGAUCGGUGUGAUGAUAAUUUGGGCCAAGAUCAAAAGUUAGGUCAUUGAAAAGAAGAAAGGGAAGAAUAUAAGUACCACAAAGGAAGGACCAGAAUCCUAUAUGGAAAAAUAUUGAUACAAGAAGGGACGCAUUGAUGAACUAAUGGGUAACACCCAUUAUAAAAAAAGAGAGAUAAUGAUGUAAAUCAAAUAUGAUUCUCUUUCCAUCUUUGGCAUCCCUUAUGUGCAAUAAGAUUGCUCAUGUUAAGCAAUGUGAGACUUGUUUCUUUUUUUUUCUUGUGUGAGGUAUAUCCUAAUUAUGUUUCCAUUGAUUUGUUGUGUUUGUUUUUGCUAUUAGGUUUGUGUUGGUGUUUCUCUUGGAUGAGAUUUAAUUGAUAUAUGCAUUUGACUAGCUAUGUUGCAACUCUGCAUAAAAUCAUUUCUUGAUUUGCAGUUUCUCAUGGCUGCUGAAGUCUAUUUGAAUAGGAUAGUUGUAUGUGUAUUGCUGAGAGCGAAUCCCAGCACCUGAAUUAGUUUGCAUGAUUUGUUGAUGCCAUUUGAUGAUCAUAGUGAUGACUGGAUUUGGUUGGUGCAAACUUUUCACAGAAAGAGUUUGUAGUUUAAUUUUGUGCUGAAAUUUGCAGGUGAAACCACUAUUUGAAGAAUUGCCCAGGAUUGAUGGAACAUAUGGGUUGGUAUGUUUCAACUCAUUAAAAGUGUUUGCUGGUUAUUGUGCUAUUAAUUUAUAUAUAGAUAAAAAUCGCAGAAAAGCAUGCUCAAGGUGAGCAGUACGUUGUAAAUAAAGAGAGGUAGUCAACCAAGUGCUGAAUCCAUAUUUACAAUUACAUACCGGUUUAUUCUCCAGUCCCAGUCGCAUAAACAAAUGGUAAGGGUUCUUGCUAACAAAAAGAAGUAAAGAAAGCAGUGACUUGAUUCAUCAAGAAUUCUGCUUCUCUGUUAAAUCAGUUCCAAUUGAGCCAUAAGUAGUCAUCGGUGUUCCUAGUUCUUUUGGCGAUGCUUCUCCAAAAGACAUUGAUGUUCCAAGUUCUCUCAGAAGUGCUUCUUUAGUAGACAACAAUUUUCUAAGUUUAUUUGGGAGUGCUUCUUCAGAAGACAUCGGUUGAUCGGGUAUUGCUGCUUGAGAAGACAUUGACUUUCCAAAUUCUUUUUGCAGUGCUUCUUCAGAAAACACCAAAUUUCCUAGUUCUUUGGGUAGUUCUUCAGAAGACAUCGAUUGAUAGAGUAAUGCUGCUUGAGAAUACAUCGACUUUCUAAAUUCUUUUUGCAGAUGUCUUCUGUUUUUUACACUAAACUGGCAAUUUUUACAAUGUCUACUUGCAAGCAGGUGGUUUCACUGUGGACAUGCUCAAAGCUUUGUACACUUUGCUUUGUUGCUGGAAUUGUUGUUGGUUAUAAGCUGAAACGACGCAUCCGAAGUUGGGCUUCCAAACUUCUCAAGAAGAUCAGAGAUGAUUGAUUGCAACUGGAUCGCAUUUAUAAUGAUACAUUUAAAGUGUUGUUCUCCAUAGAAGAAUGAUUCUCCAACAAUAGUUGUUUUCUCUAGAGGGUGCAAUUUUGAUUAGCUUUCCGCGAUUAUAGUAACACUGCUUCUGACAAUUCUGACAUGAUCAACAUAUAUUGUUACCCUUCGUGUUUUAUUAUGUUAAUGAUAAAUUUUACAAGCUAACCAUCAACAGUGCCUCUGUUUCUGUACUUUGGAAUUGUUGCAUCUGCUGAUUUAGCCUCACUUGCAUGAUCAAUGUGAUUUAAGUCGGAUGAAUUCUGAAUAUCAAGUCGGAAGGGUAUUUCUUUUGCUUGUAUUGUCUGCCAUGAAUACUUGUUCAUACUCUCCAAGCUUAGGUUCUUGUCCUUUUCUUGUUUUUCCAUCGAAAUUUCAAUAUGUUGGGCGCAUAUUCGCUUGAAUUUUGUUUCGUCAUUGUAGAUUCUUAUUUUCGUCAUUGUCAAUACGACCAUGUCAUUUUUCUUCCCGUGUUUUACGGAAAGUUUGUAUUAAAUUGGAUAUGUAUGAAAAACAGUUGCAUUUACAUCUUUCUAAGCUACUAUCAUUAUACAUUUAUAUUUAUCUUUCUCUACGGAUGCUCCAUAGGAUUAGAAAAAGAUAGCUACUUGGUACUUUGACGAUGGUGGUCUUCUAGUUUUAGAUAUACUCCUUGUGGAAUUCAAACCGUGUCGUUGUCUUAUGACUGAGUUCAUGUGAUAGCACCUUCAGCUCCUUUGCCAACAUUGGCAUCCCACAGUAGAAUACCCCUACAAAUUAGCUGAUUUCUUUAAUAUCUCGAUUCUUUGUUUCGUUGCUCUACUAGAUGCAUGAUUAGGGUUUCGUUGCUCUACUAGUCAAGUUUGGAACAAUGCUACUUUUGAAUAAUGUAUGUUUCUUUCGUUGGCAAGAAAAUUUGGUUUUUGUAUUUUUAUUGAGUCUCACUCUCAUCCAAUAUUAUUAAUUUUAAUAAUAUCUUUAAUAUAAAAAAACAAUUAAAAUAGAACAAUAAUGUAGUCCUAGUCUGAGCAAACACCAAAUUGAUGAUAGUACUGUUUUCAUUAUCUUGCUUCUUUGUCCAACAUUGCACCAAACGUUUCACUAAGUUAGUCAACUUAAUCUAGUCCAAUCCAGUCCAGCUUAGUCUCUAAAGCUAAUCCAAUCCGAAACAGUCUGAUACAACAAACAUACCCAUAUAUCUUUCAGCAUCAUUUUUCAGUCUGCAUCCACAUGCCAUGUGUUCUCAAUAAAACAAAGAAUAAAUUAUACAUCUUUCGUCCUAAUAAGUAGGAUGUGAAUGCCAAGGCUUUCAAGAUGGAAAGGAAAGUGAUCAAUACUCCUGUUGUUUAUCAGUCUACAGAUUUUAGGGUUAUUGAUUAAUACUCUGUUGUUUAUCAAUGUCCUGUUAAUUGUUAUUCACCCCCCCUACAGUGACUGCCAUCUUUACAGAAUUGAUAAGCCUAUUGUUUGUCUAUAUAAACCCCACUUGGGCUAACUAAUAUUCAAUCCAAAAUUCAAAUAAAUUAAAAAAUCCCAACAAUUUAGGCUUGAAGGCCCAAUCCCCAACUAUCCCGAAAUCCUCCCAAACAAAUUAGGAAUCCCGAAAUUUCGUUUCGGUUUCGGAUUUUAGAAUCUUGUCCCAAGAAUUAUUGAUUUGGGAUUCAGUUCGAAAUCCCGACCCGAACUAGCCCUAGUGGAACCCAACACUCUAUCCACGAUUACCCCCAUGAACUUUUAUAAGUAGUCAAGUUCCCCAUGAACUUUAACUUUAGCCGAUUACCCCCUUAAAAUAUUAUAAAUAGCCAAUUUACCACCCUAGCGUUAGAUUUUAAAAUUUUCAUCCAUCCAAUUUUCCAUUCUUUUUGCCCCAAUACAUUGUCAUGUGUUGUCCACGUGAUCAAAAUGGAUAAAAAUGAUUUUUUUUAAAAUCCAGCGUCAGGAGAAAAAUUAGCUAUUUAUAAAAGUUCAGGGGGUAAUCGGCUAAAAUUAAAGUUCAGGGGGUAAUCGGCUAAAAUUAAAGUUCAAUGGGGAAAUUGGCUAAUUAUAAAAGUUCAAAGGGUAAUUGGCUAAAAUUAAGGUUAAGGGAGGAAAUUGACACCUCUCUACAAGUUCAUGAGGCAAAUCGACAAAUAUGCUUAUUUUUUAACUGUGAUCUUUUUGUGUGCUUCAGAUUAUGAAUAAAUAUCUUUAUUCAAAAAUACAAAUUUAUAUUUAACGGUUAAAAAAAUAGAGUAUAGAAAGUCCAAAAUACCAUAAAAAAUGGCUUUUUAUAUUAGCACCCCACAAAAUGUUGAAUGCAACUCACAUUAAAAUUUAGUAUUAAAUGACUUAUUUACCCUACUAUGCAAUGACAAUUUUGACUUUAUUAGGUUAAAAAAAUAAUUAAAAAAAAUUUAUAUACACCCCAAAUCACUUUUAAUGUAUUAUUUAUGUUCUUUAACUAUCAAAACCCUUUCAACCCUUCAUUGUUGAACAAAACUCUAACCAAUGAAACUACAAACAUGUUGAUUGAGAAAAUUUAUUUUUGAUGAAUGAAACACGAAAUCGAUGUUUUGGAAACUUCAUAUGAGGUAAGACUUCAUAUUUUUUUAUUGUUUUAGUGAUUUUGAUGACUUCGAUAAUUAUUAAAUCUUGCUUUUGAUGCGUUCUUCAAGCUUAUAUGUUCGUAUUCAUCUUUUAGGGAUCUCAUGUAUUAAAUGAAGAAUUAAACAUCUAAAAUUACCACCAAAUAUUAAAAACUAAAGACAUGGGUUUUAAUGGUGAAAUUGAAAACAACCCACAUAUGCUUUAAAUCUUAGGCGACAUCUUUUGUCAAAAUUUCAGUAGACAUUUUUUGUCCAAAUUAAGGUGUAUAUUAAGAAUGUGGGGUGUGAGGGUAUUAUGAGGAAAUAUGUGGGGUAUAUUAAGAUAAUUUUUAAUUGAAAAAGCAAAUGUGGAGUGUAUUAAGUAUGUAGAGUUUAUUCAACAAUUUGUGGAAUGUUAAUAUAAUAAGCCUAAAAAAGUUUAUUCAACAAUUUCAUGCUCAAUAAAUGUUUGUUAAGUUCGUUGUGUAGUACAGAAGUAGAGAUUUCGGGUCACUACAGAGUGUGGGCAAUAAAAAGGCACCGCACCGCAGCAAGGCAACAAACAAAGUCUUUAAACAAAGAAAAUUCAAAGGUAAUGACAAUAUCCAAUGUUGACUGCUAGUUGCCAUUGCUGAAACCAAACCCAAAAGUCAGAAAAAGGGAGAACAAAAUAAAAACCUCAGCUACAUAGGUUUCCUGCAUUACCACCAAAGUUUAGUUUUAAGAAGAAAAAAAAAUGUGAGAGUAAUUUUUUAGAUCGUAAAAAUAUCACUAUUUCGAAAAUCUCUGCCUAACAUUGGCUAAAUCUUGUCUACGCGCUAGGCGGUUGCACAUCGUCCUGACUAAUUCAUAGGCAUUUGAAAAUUAAGAAAUGACACAUAGACUGCCUAGGCGCCCUCCUAGCUUACUCAGACCCGCCUAGGCAUCAACUUAGAUCGGGACUCUCACUUGGACAAAAAAUAGAUAACUUGCAUAUUGCAUUAUUUUCUAAUAUUAUAAUUUAUAUGUCAUCAUAUUUUGCAAUUUAUAUAUCCAAAUGCAAUUAUGUAUUUUUUAAGUAUAAGCAAAAACUUAUUUAUAAGGUAUAUAAUAAAUUUACUUAAAUCCGCUUAAAUCUCGCCUAGCCGUCUAAGUGCCCGACCCCUACCCAUUGCCCAACUAGUGCCUAUCAUCUUCAGAACUUUGAAAAAUAUUAUGAGUAGCUGUUGUGGGUUUAAUAUGCUGAAACAAUUUGUGAAGUUCUUACUAAGGCUGGUUCGGUAUGGGAUACCGAACCGAAACCACCAUCCUGAUUUCCAAACUGAAAUAUUUCGGAACGGGAUUUCAAUUCCCGAAACUGAACCGAAUUUCUAAGAUUCCCGAACUUCGAGAUGCCCAAAUUUUUUUUCGAAAUAUCAGGACGGAUCGGGAUUGAUCCUUCAUGCCCAAAUCCAAUUCAUACGAAGCCAAAUUGCACCAUAACUCUGCAAUUCAAAACAAAAUAAAAAUAAAAAUUCUGUAAAAAGGUCAAAAUGAUCAAACAAACAGAUCCCAAAACAAAAUUCAAAUCAAAUAAAGAAUCAGAUUUACAUCCCAUUAUUAUUAUUAUUAUUAUUAUUAUUAUUUGAGAAAUGACUACAACCCAUUAAAAAAAAGGAAAACUAAUGAAAAGGGCUUGAAAACUUUGAGUUUUAAUGAUAAGGACAAAAUAAAGGGUAAAGUGAAUAGUACCAGGAUUGACUUUUUAGUGUAAAAAUGUGGUUUUUCGUUAAAGUGAACAGUACCAGGUGCUUUUCGUUAAAGUUCCCUUAAAAAAAACCACAUAAUUAAUCAUGAAGACCUGAAAGGAUGGUUGUUGCUCCGAUGCGGUGAUGGCAAGUGGGCGAAGCUUGUAGCGAGGAACGGAGGAUUUGGGUUGAGCAGAGAUGGCGCAAAUGAAAGAAGAGCUAUUUUGGGGUUUUGGGAAUCGAAAAGAUACAGAGUAGGAAGAAGAAGAGAGGGAAGAAAGGGCAACGGUGGCAGGACAUGAAGAGACAGCUGUUAUGGCAGUAGUUGUAGCCACUGACCUCAGAAAUGCAGAGGCAGAGGAGAGAACAGAGGCGAAGAAGUGAGAACUCAAGAGAGAUGAGAGGGUUGAAGAUUGAGGCUUCGGUGAGAAAUGUGAGAGAGUGAGAGUGUGAAACCCAUAACUUAGAUUGGACGGUUGGGAUUAUAUCUCAACCAAUCCAACGGUCCAAAUAGUUUAUAAUUUCUAGUUUAAAUUAAAUACAUAUUAUAUAUUAAUAUAUUGUUGUUCGGUUCGGGAUUACCGAACUUAAGGUUUAUCGAAACCAAAUCCCAUACCGAAAGUUUCGGACUAUUUCGGUUCGGGUUACCGAAGUUUCGGGAUUUUCGGGUUUGGGUUUUUUUCGGGGCGAGUUUGAGAAAUUUCUGAUCGGGUUCGGUUUUUUCAGCUUUUUUUUCCAGCCCUAGUUCUUACACUCUAAAUUAGAAACGAAAUUUCUUCAUUUUUUCGACUUUCCAAAAAUCAGGUUUUAACUUUCAUGACCGACACCAAAUGAAAACAGAAAAUUCAAAGUUGAAAGUUGGAAGACCACCUAGAAACCCGGCUCCUUCAUAGUUCCUUAAUUUGUCCAACUCCUCGUCGACCGAGCAAAUAAUUUGGUUGGAAAUUAAAUUUUUUGGAGAUAAUAUGUCCGAUAAUAACUAAAUGUAGUAACAAUUGCAUAAACUGGUUGAUGAUCUACACCGACAGUUCACAGCUUCACAACACUUGUGGCCUAAAAUCUCAACCUCAGUUCAUCUAUAAAUACCACCUAUACCAUUCUCCUCUUCAUCUCAAUAUCUCCUCGGUUCAAACAAUUCUCUUAAUCCUUUUUGCUCUUCAUUUGAUCAUUUUUUCAAGUCAAAAAAUCACAAUGGGAGUUUUCACCUAUGAAACCGAGUUCAUCUCGGUCAUUCACCCACCUAGAUUGUUCAAGGCUUUCAUCCUCGACGCCGAUAACCUUAUCCCGAAGCUUGCUCCACAAGCAGUGAAGGGCAUUGAAAUCCUUGAAGGAAACGGAGGGGUUGGAACCAUUAAGAAAGUUACCUUCGGCGAAGGUUUGAUGGUUGUCCCUAUUUCUUUAUGCUCAAGUGUCUCUCCUUCUUUCUCCUUCAAAAUAUCAGCAAAACCUCAUGAACUCAUAGCCUUGUUUCGAUUUUCUCCAUGAACUUUAAAUUAGGUUAUAAGCCAUCUGAUCUUGAAAGAGAAAUGACUUCAUAUGCGCCUUUUAUUUUAUGUAUGUCCAUUGAUUUUUUUUUAAUUUAUUCAACACAAUGGACAAAAAUAAAUAAAGGUGCAUAAUGACGAGUAAAAAUCACUUCCCUUUUUAAAAGUGCCAAUUAUCCCUUGCCUCACAUCGAUUUAGGGGUCUUAAAUAACGGAAAUUUUCUUUUUUUGGGGGGGGGGGGGGAGGGGAGGGGAUUGUUUCUUGAUUUUCCCAUCUUUUUAGUAUCUGAUGAAUAAUAUGAUGGUACAAAAUUUGUGGCAAUAUGACAAGCAUUAUUUAAACUAAUUUGAAUAUUUAUGUUUUUCUAGGCAGCCAAUUAGGGUUUGUAAAGCACAGAAUCGAUGGGAUUGACAAGGACAAUUUUGUAUACAGUUACACUUUGAUUGAAGGAGAUGGUUUGUUGUCCGACAAAAUUGAGAAGGUAGCUUAUGAGACCAAAUUGGUGGCAUCUCCUGAUGGAGGAUCCAUCGUCAAAAGCACCAGCCAUUACCAUGCCAAGGGUGAUGUUGAAAUCAAGGAAGAGCAAGUUAAGGCUGGUAAAGAACAGGCUUCCGGUCUCUUCAAGCUUGUUGAAAGCUACCUCUUGGCCAACCCUGAUGCCUACAACUAAAUCUGAAGUUAUUCAUAUUUGUAAUAUGCUUGAGCUCCCAGCUUAACAGCUGAAGGUGUGAAGGGUGCGUUUAAAUAUUUCUUGACCAGUUGUUCAUGGUACUAGUAGAUUGAAUAUCUAUAUGUUGUAAUGUAUUCUAUAAUAAUUCGAUCGGUAUUACCUUUAAUAAAAAUAAAUUAAUAAUAUACUCGAGACUCGAAUUUAAAUUUUUACUUAUAGGUGGAUAAAAUGUUGAAGUGCAAAUUUUCUUAGUGUGUUUUUCUUAAAAUGUUAAAAGAAAUAUGUUAAAAGUUGUCAUACUUCGAAUUUGUGUCAAUAAUCAUGUUAUUUUUAGGAAAAAUUAGUUUCUGGUCCUUAGUUUCUAAUAUUUAUUGACUAAGACCUUAUCAGUUUUUAAAUUUUCAUCAAAGUCUUUAGCAUUAAUAUAUUAAUGAAUUACAUGUAAGUUAAUGUUGUAGCCUAUUUUAUUUGACAAAGGUGAUGGGGCUGGCCGCAAGGAGAAGAGAGAGUGAGAGAGAUGUAUUUGUAAAAUUGUAGGGGAAUAUAUAUGUUAUCCCUCCUACAUAGUGCCUUUAUUUAUAGUAGUAAAAGGAGAGAAUAUAUUUCUUCAUCCCCAAGGAAUACAAGUUGUAAUAGGAAGGGAUAACUAGAAUCAAAUCUAAUCUAGGAUUUACACAAUCACACUUAAACUAGGAAAGUUUACAACACUCCCCCUUAAGUGUGUAAAUACUCAAGGUAGAUUUAGCAUCAUGCAGAAGUUGAUGAAGUUGACUUGUCGACACUGAUUCUAAGGAAUAACACUUAUUCUGAAUAAGGUAGGAACUUGCAUAAGUAAGUGAGUCUCACUAAAAAAAACCCUAAGGCUAUGACAAAAACCCGAUGAAGGACAAAGUCCAUAGUCUAAGGAAAAAUGUGUGAGAAAUGCAAAGUCAAAAGAAACGUCUACGAGACGUCAUCAGGGAUAUGACCAGCCCAAGGUGGGUGCCUCGUUAAAACCUAGUUAGAUAGCAAAAACCCAGUGGGAAAAAUGCUCAUAAUCGUAGGGAAGAAGAGUACAUUAAGAUCAAGCAAAUAUUCUUCAGGAUACUCCCUCUGAGUUUAACACAAUUCCAAAGAGAAAUAGCAAUGUUACAACUCAGACAAUUUACGCAUACUAAUUCCAUGAACAAGCUUCUGAAACGUCAUCUUUGAUAAUGAUUUAGUGAAGAGGUCGGCUAGAUUGUAUUGUGAACGAAUUUGCGUGACUACAAUCUUCUGAUGCUCAUGUUGUUGAUGUGAAAAGAAGAACUUUGGUUCAAUGUGUUUGGUGUUGUCUCCUUUGAUAUAAGAGUUGUUCGAUGCAUGCUACGUUGUCUUCAAAGAUGGCCGUUGGGACAUCAACGACGGGAUAAAGAUCUCAAGAGCUUCGAAUAUGGCCUACUACUGCUCUCAACCAAAAGCAUUCCCGAGUUGUUUCAUGUAAGGCGAUAAUUUCAGCAUGGUUAGACAACGUGGCAACUAAGGUCUGUUUAGUUGACCUUCAAGAGAUUGCAGUGCCUCCAACGGUAAAGACAUAACCCAUUUGAAAACGCGCCUUGUGCGGAUCAGAUAAGUAUCAUGCGUUGGCAUAACCAAUAAGGCGAGAAUCGACUCGAGAAGCAGAGGGUGCGGCAUCACUCUAGGAUUCAUAGGGAUAGAACAAACCCAAAUCUGUAGUACCCUUAAGGUAACAGAAGAUGUCUUUCACGCCAAUCCAGUGUCUGCAUGUAGGUACAUUAUUGUAUUUGCCAAAAGAUUAACAGUGAAGGAGAUGUCAGGUCUAAAGUAUUAAGCUAAGUACAAUAAAGCGCCUAUAGCACUUAUAUAAGGUACUUUAGGCUCCAAAAUCUCUUCAUCAUCCUCAUUUGGACGGAAGAGAUCUCGUUUUGCAUCUAGCGAUCAAAUGACCACAAUAGUACUCGAAUGCUUUGCUUUAUCCUCAUUAAAGCGGCGCAACACCUUCUGGGUGUAGUUCGAUUGAUGUACUAGGAUUCCAUCCGAACAAUGCUCUAUCUCGAGACUGAGACAAUAUCGAGUCUUACCUAGAUCUUUCAUCUCAAAUUCCGACUUCAAGUGCGUGGCAGUUUUCGCGACCUCUUCAGGAGUUUUGAUGACAUUCAUGUCAUCGACAUAUAUUGCAACAAUCGUAAAUCUGGAAUGUGACUUCUUAAUGAACACACAAGGGCAUAGUUCGUUGUUCAUAUAUCCCUGACUAGUCAAAUACUUACUCAGAUGGUUAUAUCACAUUCUUCCGGAUUGUUUCAAACCGUAGAGUGAACACUUCAGCCGUAUCGAGAGCGUGUUCUGGGGUUUAGAAACAUUUGAACUAGUCAAUGUAAGUCCUUGGGGAACUUUCAUGUAAAUUUCCAUAUCAAGAUCCCUAUAUAGAUAUGCGGUUACUACAUCCAUCAGCUACAUACUCAGUUUUUCAAAAACUACCAAACUGAUAAGGUAGCAAAAAGUAAUCACAUCCAUAAUGGGUGAAUAAGUUUCGUCAUAGUCAAUCCUAAGGCGUUGUGAGAAGCCUUGUGCAACAAGACGAGCUUUGUAAUGCACAAUUUCGUUCUUCUCAUUACGUUUCCGAACGAAAACCUACUUGUAGCCAAAGAGCUUCACAUGUGGAAGAGUAGGAGCCACAGGUUCAAACACCUCAUGUUUUGCAAGCGAAUCGAGUUCGACUUGGAUUUCUUGUUUCCAGUUUAACCAAUCAGUUUUACGUCGACAUUCAUCAAUGAAAUGCAGUUCAAUGUUAUCGCUCAACAUGAUUGCAAAUGCCAAUGCAUCGUCGAUAAUCAUAUCAUUUCUACGCCACACGUCAUCUAAGCUAGCAUAAUAGACUGAAAUCCCACGAUUCUCGGAAGGAGGAUUUGUCUCUUCAAGGACACUUCCAUAAUUUAGAAUUUCGUCAUGAAUUGGAUAGAAUGAGUAAGCGAUAGUCAGAUUCACGGUAGGCUCUUCGGGACCUUGUGCUGUGGAUUUCCUCUUCCGGGGGUGUGAAUCAUUUAAACCAAGGGGUCUGCCAUGCUUUUGUGUAGGGCCAAAUGAUUGGCUAGCCGGUAAUGUACGUGGAUCACUAAGAUUGGUGUCCCAGGGUUCCAGGAAGGAAGUCCAUCGUACAUUUGGUAUAUCCGUCUUUGCAGGCGUAUUUGGAGCUGGAAUAUGUGAUCUUGUCACGCGCGCUAAAUUGGUGAAAACAUUUGGUAUGCUCUGAGCUAUACAAUGGAGAUCUAAUAUACACUGCACUUCAGUUUCAGACUGAGUGGUGCGGGGAUCUAAAUGAGACAAAAUGGGGGUCAUCCACAAUAAUUCAUGUCAUUUUUCAAGAACGUUAACAUUCUUAUUUUCCCCUAAUGACGGGAAGACUAUCUCAUAGAAGUGACGAUCCACGAAAUAAGCGGUAAACAGAUCGCAUGUCAAAGGUUCUUAGUAGCGAAUAAUCGAAUGAGAAUCAUAUCUGACAUAGAUUCUCAUCCUUCACUAAGGCCCCAUUUUUGUACAUAAGGGCGGGGAGAUCGACAUAUAUACAGCACAACAAAAAACAUGCAGAUAUGAUAAGUCGAGUUCGUAUCUGGUAACCAACUGAAUGGCACAAAAAUAGUUGGGUUGCAAUAGGCCUCAGGCGGACCAACUUUGUUGCGUGCCAUAUUGCAUAGCCCCAAGCAGCGAUCAGAAGUUUGGUACGUAUGACCAACGAUCGAGCAAUCAUUUGUAAGCGCUUAAUGAAAGCCUAUGCCAGGUCAUACUAGGUGUGAACAUGGGGUACAAAAUGUUCAACUUCAACCCCAACUGACAUGCAAUAGUCAUCAAAAGUUUUAGAUGUGAAUUCUCCAGCAUUAUCCAAUCGAAUAUAUUUGAUCAGAUAAUCAGGGUGGCAAGCCCCGAGCUUGAUAACCUGAGCUAACAGUUUAGAGAAUGUAGCGUUCCUUGUGGACAACAAGCACACGUGUGACCAACGUGUGGAAGCAUCAACCAAAACCAUAAAGUAUCUAAAUGGUCCGCAUGGAGAGUGAAUCAAUCCAUAAAUGUCCCCCUGAAUCUGUUAUAGAAAAAUGGGAGGAUUCAAAUAAAUCUUGUCAUAAGAAGGCUUGGUAAUAAGCUUUCCCAUUGAACAUGUUUGACAUGUGAUUCCUUGGAUCGAACCUAAACUUCAGGCUAGUGGAUGCCCGUGUGAUGAUUUAAGGAUUCAGCGCAUUGCUAUUCAUCUAGGAUGUCCCAAACGAUUAUGCCAAAGUGUAAUUUCGUGCGUGGUCCCAGUAGUAGGGCCAGCCGUAUAGUGGAAUUUUAUAGGGCGUAUGGUCGUAGUAUAUAGGCCACUCGAGAUACGCUCCAUAUUUUCUAGAAUAUACUUUUGGCCAUAUUCGUAUGAAGUUAUGCAUUUAAGUUUAACUCCGUUUUCUACAUAGGUUUCAACGUGGUAAUUGUUAUCUCUAAUGUCCUUGAAACUUAACAACGUUCUUCCAGAAUGUGGAGAAUCAAGUGUCUCAACAAUGGUCAAGAUUAUACCAUUGGACAACAUUACACGUGCCUUAUCGUAUCCUUCUAUCAGGUUGGAUAAGUCUGAAAGGGUUGUCAAAGGUGUAUUCUUAGGUAUGAAGUUAGUGAAAUAGAUGCGUUCACUCAAAACGAUGUGUGGUUACACUAUCUGCCAGACAACUAACUUCCCCAUUAGUCAUACCUAGAAUGAAAAAUUAAUUUGAAUCGGUCACAUGCAUAAAAAUUCUAAAAACAAAUAUCAAUUCAAAAUAAUUUCAUAUAUUCAAGGAUGGUAAUUAAUGAAAACUUAAUAUCCAAAAACAAAUCACCAAAAAAUAAUCCAAACAUAAAGGAAAACUGUUCAAAAAUCAACCAAAAAAAACAAAUGAAGGGUUCAACCCCAUUAUUCAAUUUUAACUAACUAAAAUUGUUUAUGUCUAACAUUCUAAUCUUCCAUAUGGGUGGUAUCCUCUUGAAAGUCAUAAACCUCCAUCAUUGUAGUCUUUGGUUCGUCCACUUGUACGAAGUUUGAUUCAAACUUCUUACAACGAGAAUUAUAUUCAUCUCCAACCUUCUUGGGGAGCUCGGCAAACACAGGACCAAUCGUCCUUUGAACCACAGCGAUAGCACAUGUCUGCAUCCAUGUUUCAAGUGCUUUACCCUUAUUCUUGAAGUUCGGGGCCUUAGAAACGAGGUUUGAGAGCUUCUGGUCUUUGUUUCCUCCCUUGGAUGGGCCUUGACUAUGUUGACCUUGGUGGGAUGGCUUCUGGCCACUCUUACCAUGCCUCUUUUGGUGUUUUGUACGUUGAUUUGUGCUAUAAUGUGUUUCAAGCACAACAGUCAUCCCAAUAGGUCAAGCUUGAUGAUUAUUCAUCAAUAGCUAGUUCUGCUUUUCAGCGAGAAGUAAAAUAGAGAUCAAAUCCGAGAACCUAGUGAACUUUUAAGCUCUAUAUUGUUGUUGCAGGACAAUAUUAGACGUAGAGAAGGUCAAAAAGGUCUUCUUUAGGAGAUCCUCUUUAGUCAAAGUUUUGUUACAAAACUUGAAAAGUGAUCAGAUUCGACAAACUUCAUAAUUAUAUUUAUUCACAGACUUAAAGUCUUGGAAGCGCAAAUGUUGCCAGUAUGUCUUACUUCAGGCAAGAAUAAGUCAUUUUGAUGAUCAAAACGAUCAGCCAAAGCGACCCAUAGUGCACGUGAAUCCUCCUCAGCAAGAUACUCAAUUUGCAAGACGUCAUGGAUAUGUCUUCGGAUGAAGAUCAUAACAAUGGCUUUUUCAGCUUUGCCAACAGGGUUGUCCGUCUCUUCUUCAAUGGCAAGACGCAAGUUCUUUGCAGUGAGGUGGAGCUUCACAUCAUGGACCCACUUGUGGUAGUUCUUUCCAAAGAUGGUGAAGUCAAGUUUGUUCAAAUUCGACAUGUUCCUAUCACAAAAUAGAUGGACAAGAUGUGGUUAGUGUAAUGGAGAAAAAAAUCAAUCCAUUCACAUAGGAGUAGAAUAUACAGGUUAUAAUAGACAUGUAUUGGUUUAAUUUUGCAUGAAAAAUUUCGGGUUUUCAUGGGUGACGUUUUUAAAUGAAAACUUCAGGUUUUUAAAUAAGGCAUGUUUUUAAGAAACUUCAAGUUUCAAAAUAAUUAUGAACUUCAUGUUCAUAUAUUCCAACAGGCAAACACAAAUAUAUAUACAAAAAUAUGCAAAUAGAACUUCAGGUCUACGAUUGUAAUUGAAUUCAUUAAUUGAACUUCGGGCCAAAUUUAAAGUGUGGGUGAAAAAACUAUAAAACCCAAUUUGUUUAAAAAUAUUAAACAAUAGAACUCAGGGCCCAAAAAUAUAGGCCAAAGCCCACGGGUGGGCUGAGCAAAUUUUGGUUAGGGACAAAACAGGCAGUAACAGGCAAACCCCAAAAAAAAAUAUCAAUGCAGCCCGUUGCACGCAGGCCCAAAAAUGUGGUUUUUUUUUUUUUCACGGGCUAAUCAAGCCUUAAUAUGAAUAGUGGGCUGCAGGCCCAAUAUAGUAGGCCGGAUCAUGUGUGACGCAAUACGGGGGAACACAUAUGCAUCAGGAGAGUUGAGAUCCGGUGCGGCACACAAUGCCGGGACACCAUAACCCCUUAGGUCAGUGUUGGGUUGAGCCAUGUAUUGGGCUGCAUCAUGGGAGCCCAUUCUAAAAAAAAAAUUCUCUUUUUUUUUUUUCUGCGGGCCGAGAAAGGUCAGCCCAAAGAUUUGGGGCUUAGGGUUUCAACCAAGAACACCUCAUCCGAAGUUGGGUGCAGUCAUUGGGGACAAAGGCCAGUGCCACCACUGCAGACGGCCAUAUUGUGGGAAAAAUUUCUCGGUGCAAGGUCAGAGGUUCGACAACAAGAAAGUUAUGGGGGAUGAAAGGAGUACCUCGACAUCGAGGGGAAAAAAAACCUAAGAAAUUCAAAUUGGAAUUUCACCCAAAUUCGAUGAAAUUUCUUCGGGAAUUUCAAUGUUAUAGAAUCAAAAUUAUGAUACCAUGUCAAAUUUGGUCACAAAAUUGCACGUCAAAGUCGUGGUCUCGUUACAGGCGAAGUAAAUUUUCUGGGUUUGGACGCCAUGAGAGUCAAGUUUCAAAUGAGCUUUGAUGCUCCUUGCUUGCUCGGGGUCACGGGUUCGAAGAACCCAUGUGGUGAUUUUGAUUUUUUUUUCCUUUUUUUUUUUCAAUUCAAUUCAUAUAUAAUUCAAUUUCAUGCAUAUGCAAUUCAAUAUUUUAAUGUAUGUACAUAUAUUUGAUGCAAUUCGUAGCAAAUAUCAAAUUCACAUAAUUCAACAAUUAUGAAUAUAAUGCAUAUACAAUUUAUGUAGAAUCUAAAAUUCAAAAAAACGUAAAGUUGGGUCAUGCAUUAUGGUGAAUAUUCAUGCUAUUAGGGCUGCAAAAAUAUCGAGAUAAAAACCGUUGUUUUGAAAGAACCUAAUUACGUGAUGAUAUGGAUGAACUGGUUGGAUGCAGAAAAACUCUUCAACGUUAGAUUCCUAAGCGUAGCCGUAGAAGCGUGCUGAUAACGUAUUGUAACCUAUUUUAUCUAACAAAGGUGAGGGGGCCGGCAGCAAGGAGAAGAGAGAGUGAGAGGGAUGUGUUUGUAGAAUUGUAGAAGACUAUGUAUGUUAUCCUUCCUACAUAGUGCCUUUAUUUAUAGUAGUAAAAGGAGAGAAGAUAUUCCUUCAUCCUCAAGGAAUACAAGUUGUAAUAGGAAAUGAUAACUAAAAUCAAAUCUAAUAUAGGAUUUACACAAUCGCACUUAAACUAGGAAAGUUUACAAUAGUUACAUAAUUUUUAUAUUAAAAAAAUUAGUAAUUGCUUUAGAGUUUUAAUACUCACACCCUUAAUAAACUCCUAAUUAAUUUUCAAUUCAAGCAUUUUCCAAAUAUAAAAAGUAAAGGUUUUUUUUAUCACAAAUGGUCCCUAAAAUUGGCCUAACUCAUCAUGUUGGUCCUUCAAUUUGAAAAUCAAUCAAUGUCAUUUCUGAAAUUGACUACCGCAAAUCAACUUGGUCCUUACCGUUUAAUCCGUUAAGUUUUCUGUUGAUAGGGCAUACAAGUAAAGCCCCGUGUCCAAUUAAAUAGUGCCAUGUGGAAAAAUCUAUAAAAUCAUAAAAAGACGAAUUUAAAAACCCAUAAAAAAAUACCCAAAACUAAAAAAGAAAAAACGAAAAGAAAAAGAAGAUGAAGCAGGCAGCAUCAUCGUCUUCCUAAGAUGCCAUAACCCAGCCACCACUUAUGCCAGAUCCUAACCAGCAACCACUCCUUCCAAAUCCCAACCACCAGCCAAGCCCUUGAUUCUUUGACUCUAUUCGUUGAUCUGUUGGCUUGACCAGCCACCCAUUCUCCCUCUGCAUAUCCUUCCAUCGCCCAGGCAGUGGCGUUGUCCGUGUGCUGAUGCGACACGUCUUCUAUCCAUCGAUCUACUUAUAACACCGCUUGCAAUUUCGUUCUCUUUCUGCAACACCCACGUUGCUCCUCUUGAACCCAUAUUCUUGCUUUCUCCACUUUCUUACAGCAACACACACUCUCACACUGAGUUCUUGGAAGGGCUCUGCAACUGUUGCCAGAACGAGGAGCAAGAGGGCUCAGACUGGAUUUUUUUUAUAAUUAUUUUAUUUGGCUAAACAAUAAUACAUGGCACUAAAUCAUUGGUUGUGUUGGCCACAUGUGUGCUACGUUAGCAAACUAACAGAAAACUUGAUCGAAUUAAACGGCAAGGACCAAGUUGAUUUGUGGUAGGCAAUCUCAGAUAUUACAUUGAUUGAUUUUCAAUUUCAUGAACCAUCUUGAUGGUGAGAGUUCAUUUUAGGGAUCAUUUGUGAUAAAAACCCAAAAAUAAAUUUGGAAUAAGUUUGUAACCAUUAAAUUUUUGUAAAAAAUUGAUAUGUAUCCAUUUUUAAAUAUACCAAUUUGUUAAAAAUGUGCCCUUUUUUAAAAUGUAUCCAUUUUUUAUAUAAAUUUCGUUCAAUCUUUUCUCUAAUCCAUUUUUUUUAACUUAUAUGGGUACAUUCUAUUUCGUUGAUUUGAGAAUGUAUCUAUGUCAAGUUUAAUGGAAAAAUUGAAUAAUGUUAUUAAGCCUAAAUGAUUUGUUAGAUGCUAUUUUGACUUCAGUUGUUUUUCUUUUUCUUCUACUAAUCUUUUCCUAUAUGUUUGAUUUAUAGGCCUCUUGAAUUUUGAAUUGUGAUUGGAAAUUGGAGUCCGCACAUGGAGUAUAGGUAAAACCACUACUUAUUUUUCUUAUUACUUUUCCUUAAAUAUCUUUUGAGUCUGAGAUUGAGUCUCUUUAGAUUGUAAAUUUCCGACAACUAUGCAUACCAAGAA
rnacentral:lncRNA from 1 species